UUGCAAAGUUUGAAGGCAAUGGCGAAGAUGACUAAUGACGAAAAGGCUAAGCUGGAUUAUAUCGGAGAGAAUUAUUAUCAAGACUCUGUGACAAUUGUUAACAAAGGGAUUGAAAUGUUGUACCAAAAAGUCUUGACAAUUCUUACUUGUCUUGACCUUUCCAACAAUAGUUUCCAUGGGAGAAUACCAGAAGAGAUACAAAUGCUGAGGUCACUCAGAGUGAUGAACUUAUCCAACAAUGGCUUUUCUGAUGAAAUCCCAUUAGCAUUUGAAAAUCUAAAAGAUAUUGAAUCUUUGGAUCUCUCACAGAAUGAGCUUUCAGGGAAGAUUCCUGCACAACUUACAAGUUUAACUUUCUUAGCGGCAUUGAACUUGUCUUACAACCAACUCGAAGGGAGCAUACCAUAAAGCAACCAAUUCAUUACAUUUACAAAUGAUUCCUACCGUGGGAACCCAAAAUUGUGUGGGCUGCCAUUGUCAAGGAAAUGCAAUGAAGUCGGUCUUCCAGUGGCACCACCUCCACGGGGAGAUGAAGAAUCAUGGUUAUAUGCUAUGUCUACUUGGAAAAUUGCGUUGAUAGGUUAUGCUAGUGGAUUAGUCGUUGGGCUAUGUAUCGGAUAUACAGUGCUGAAUGAGUUGGGAAACAAAUGGGUUGACAAGUUCAAAAAGUGUGGGAAAAGAAAUAGAAGAAGAUGUAGGUGACUCCAUCAGAAUUCUUGCUUCAAAAUUAGGUGCUAAGCAUUUGUCUUCCUAAUUUGAAUAGAUAGUUGUUGAUAUAUAUAUAUAUAUAUAUAGGUUUUCAUAACCUCAUUUUUUGCUGUCUUUACCAAGUUCACUAUCAUAUCGUGUAGUCUUCCAUGAGUACAAAUAAGUGUUCAUUCAUUUUGGAUCCAGGUCCAUGUGGAUUUGGGGGAUGCAAUGUUUCACUGCUACUGAAUUUCCAUGCUAAUAAUGAUAUUAUAAACAAGGAAAUGGCUGGCCAAGCUUUCUUUUAUAUGCAAUUUACUUUUUCUUCAAUUUUUUUAUCUUCAGAAUAUUUGUACAGCUGAGGAGAUUUGAUGGCAUGAUGUUGAUGAAAGCCAUAUCUGAUGGAUAUUGGACUGAUUGUGUAAAGAGACGCAGAUGCUACUACUCCCAUCCUUAGCUCUUCCAAACAGACAUCAGGUUUAUAUUUUAUGAAUCACGUGUUGGGCUUUAGGACCGGGUGUAAAGGGUGGACCUGUUGGUCCGGGUUUUAGUUCAGUCGGACACUUAUUUUUAUACUAGUUUAUUUAUCCUUUCAAUGAUAGUUUUAUUAAUUUCAAAAAACUUUUGAAAUUGAAAUUAAUUUUUUCAAAGAAUAGAAAAAUUGUUAAUAAUAUAAGACAUCUCGUCAGUCUCAUUUGUCUUUGAUAAUUUCAAUUAAAUCUAAAGAAAUUUUAAUGUGAAAAUAUGUUUCUUUCAAAGAAAUUACCAAGAAGAGAAAAACUGUAAACAUUGUAUCAUCAAAAUUUCCACUACUGAUGCCCAUCAAUCCAUCUCAACUACCUAAGAAACUUGCUAAACAUUGUUUUCAUGGGGUAAAAAAAGAUUUAGACAUUUGCAUGCAGUGCCAAAAGGCUAAGAAUAAGUCCAAUAAUAUCUCAUUCCAUAAUUCUCUAUUGAUCCAUACACUUUAAGUUCAUUAAUGAAAAGUCAUCAAAGUAGUGAGAAAAUUUAGUCUUUGAGCCAUCACUCUCUCUCAGUCAGCUAAAAAAUAUCACCACAAUUCCAUUUUUUUUAAUUAAUUGACUAAAAUAAAAUUAGUGGUACAACAUUAUUUUCAUGCAGUAGUGAUCGGGCUUAGUCCAAAAUUAAAAAUAAUGUAUGGAAAGUAUGGAAACAAUCCUCCUUCACAGCCACCAAACAUGAAAGCCAUACCUGAUGGACAUUGUACUGGAAAGAGACACAGCUGCUGCUUCUACUCCCAUCUUUUGCUGGCACAUUGGGUUUUUAUUUUAUCAAACACAUGUUGGGUUUUAGUACAGCCUCGCACUUAUUUUGUACCAAUCUGUUUCGCAGAAAUUGUGUGGUCAUCAUAAUUGUCACUCCAUAUUCCCAUCAAUCCAUCUCAACCAGCUAACACAAAAGCUUUAUUUUUGUGUAUAUAAUGACUUGACUUAAACAAAGUGGUAAACCAUUGUUUUCAUAUAGUAAGGAUCGUACUUGUAGCGUUGACCUUCAUUUUCAGAUUCUAUUGUAAUUUUAUGCUAACAUUUAGGAAUGCAGGACAUGGAAUGUCCAGUCAGGAGGUACGUUAUGUUUGAAGAAAAUGGUAAUAGUUUCUUAUGACUGUGACAUGCCAAUUCUGCCCGGCCCACAAAUUAAACCCAAAUAAAUAAAAAUCUAAUAUAAGUCCAAGUCCAUUACAGAAAAAAAAUCAGACCCAAAUUUACAAGGCCUUAAAGCCAAAAAAUUUUAAAAAAGUCUAUGAUCAUAAAUCUUAACAAAAGAAUGAUUUUACUAUAAAAAAAAUUUCAGGAUUAUAGGACUUUAUCAUCAAUGUAACUAUUUUUAAUGUGGUUAUAGGAGAGGGUGUGGCUGAAUUAUCAUUAGCUAAUCAUGGUCAAGCCAUAGUUGCAGAAAUGGGACCUGAAUAAUGUGCAACCAUGGGUUGUCUUUCCUGUGGAUCAUACAGCCUUGCAAUUCCUUAAUUUAACCAGCAGGAGUGGUGACACAGUUCAUUCUCUGCGUGGUGAUGACUCCAACAAGGUUUUAUGUUAUUAUUGCUACUAUUUUGUCUUUUUAAUAAUUUAGAUAUAAGAAAAUUUUCAUAUAUAUAUAGAAAAAGGAUGAGACAGAAAGACUAAAAUAUUGGCAUCAAUAAGAACACUAAGACCAAUAAAAUCUCAUAUUUCAAAAUUAGAAUUGAAAAAAAAAUAUAUAAAAAAUUGAAGAUGCAAAAGUAAAUUAAGUGUGAAUUGAAAACCUUAAUGCUAAGACUAAGAAUAAAUAAUUCAUCCAUUAAGACUAAUAGCUUCAUCAUCAUUCUUUGCUGUGAUAUGACUCUGGCUUGAAUUUAAAGAAGCAAAUAUGAAGUACUCAUAAUGCGAGAGAAAAUUACUUAGCUAAGAGAAGAAAUCAUUUACUUUAACCAAACUAUCCCCGGUAGAAAUAAAAGCCAAACGAAUUAAAUUCAUUCAAAACAAAAAUUGUAGGGAUUAGUUUUAUAAUUUUACUUAAAUUUUCAUUUCAACAGCAGGACGUGGGUUUGAGUACGUUGAAGUGCAUUAUCCUCCUAUUUAUGGGUUGGAGAGAGACUAUGCGUAAUUUUAGGCAUUGUAUCAAAAUAACAGAUUUAAUCAUAACCUAUAAUGUGAAAAGUUGCUACUAAAAAGUUUAAAAAAUAGAAUUUUUAGUUUCCUUUUGUUUAUUUAUUACUAUUUUUCAUAAUAUCUUUUAUGUAUAUUUAAAGUGUUUUGGGUUUGAUUUUUAAUCAUUAUAAUCAAAAACCCAGUUUUGUACUAAUAAAUCACGCCAUUGUUAAUUUUUAGUGUUAUUUUUGAGGUAUUAUAUAUUUGUAUUUGACCUAUGUUUAUAACGGUGAUCAGACCCGUUUUUGAUAUUUUUGAGACCCUAGGCGAAAUAAUAAAUCAGGGUCUUGUUUAAAAAAUUAUUAAAUGUAAUACAAAAAAAAUAAAAAAAUGAGCCCUUUUUAUUUUAUAUUUUUUCUGCCUGUUAUAAAUCAAAAGACUAAAAAAGUUAAAAAAAAUUUUCACUUUAAAAAUUAAAAAAAAGAAACUUUUUGAGCUCUAGACGGCUACAAUCUGAAACUACCCUAAAGUCGGGCCGACUCCAACAAAUUCUAAUCAAAUCUCAAGCUCCAAAAUUGGAAUUAACAAAUGGAAAAACAAAAAGACAUUGGUAAAGCAAAAUAAGUGUGAAACAUGAAGAAAUUGAUAUGAAGACUAAGAAGAGAGUAUGAAAAAUUUGAAAAUUGUAAAUUAGGAUGACUUUAAAAUAUGGGGAAGAUUCAUGGGUUUGAAAUCAAUGAUUUUGCAGUUAAUUUCUCUUUGUUGAUUUGGUGGAUGUUUCCCACUACUUUUGCUUUUAAUGGUUCCCAUUAUAUACUUGGAAAUUGGAAUUACUUUUGCCACUCAUUUCUCAUGUUUGUUUGGCCAAUAAAAGAUUAUUUGCAUAAAGAUUAUUUUGAAUUUUUUGAAAAUUAUUUUAAAUUAGAUUGUAAUUUGUGUUGAGAGAGAUCAAUUUGUUAAAUUUUAAAAUUAACAGGGACCAAAGGAGCAUGUACACCAAUUUAUUGUUUGAAUUAUUUGAGUUAUUUAAAUUAUAAAAUUCAACUCGAAACUUAAAUUAUAAAUAUUUUUAAUAUUAUAAAACAUAAAAACAUUAAAAUUAAAUAAUAAUAUAGAAAUGGAAUUUUUUUCUCCAAAUUUCUCAUCCAAAUACAGUCUAAGAAAGCUUGAAAGCUGAAAUUUAAAAAUAUUAUUAUCUUAACUCGAUUUAAAAUUUUUUUGAGUCAAGUCGAGUGCAAAGAAAUUAGAGUUGAAUUGAAUCAAGUGAAAUUGUUUGAGUUAAACUAAAAAUUUUAAUAUGUCAAAUUGAAAUAUUUUUAUGGUAUUAAUUUUAUGUUAGAGCCCAUAAAUUUGAAACCAUAUAUAUAUUUGAAAACUUUUGUUGAGAGAGAUCAAUUUGUUAAUUUUUAAAAUUGACAGGGACCAAAGGGGCAUGUACACCAAUUUAUUGUUUGAAGUAUUCGAGUUACUCAAAUUGUAAAAUUCAACUCUAAACUUGAAUUAUAAAAAUAUUUAAUACUAUAAAACAUAAAAAAUACUAAAAUUAAAUAAUACUAUAAAAAUGAAUUUUUUUCUUCAAAUUUCUCAUCCAAAUAUAGUCUAGAAAAGUUUUAAAGAUGAAAUUUAAAUAUGUUUGUUUCAAAAGUGGAAAAUUCUAUAUAUUGUAUCAUCAAAAUUUUCACUUAUUGUGUCCAUCAAUCCAGUUAAGACUUAACUUGUACACAUUUCUUUGAUAAAUUAUAACAUAUUUACAAAUUCGAUACUCAUUAACAAAUUGAUAUUAUAUUUUAAGUUAAAUUAUUUUAAAUUAUUUUGUAAUUUUUGUUGAGAGAGAUCAAUUAAUUUUUAAAAUUAACAGGGACUAAAGGAGAAUGUACAUCAAUUUGUUGUUUGAAUUAUUGGAGUUUUUCAUUAUGAAAUUCAACUCGAAGCUCGAAUUGUAAACAUUUUUAAUAAAUAUAAAACAUAAAAAAUAUUAAAAUUAAAUAAUAAUUAAAUAAUAAUAUAGAAAUGAAAAUAUUUCUCCAAAUUUCUCACCCAUAUACGCUCUAAGGAAGUUUUAAAGCUGAAAUUUAAAUAUGUUUCUUUCAAAAGUGAAAAUUCUCUAUAUUUUAUUAUAAAAAAUUUCACUCAUUGUGUCCAUCAAUCUAUAAUGUGACUUGACUCGUACACAAUGGUUGAACAUUGUUUUUGUGCAAUAAAAACUUAGGCAUUUGCAUGCAAUGCUAAAGACCUAAGAAUUAAAAGUCCUAUAAUAUUUCUAACUAUCAUUUUUUCUGGUUCAAAAUUAAAAGUAUUAAAAAUUUCAAAUUAAAACGUUAUGAAUUUAAUUAGAACAUCAUGAAGUUUAGGGAUCAAUUUAAAAUUCUAUGUAUAAUUUUGAGAUGUAAUGUGAAUUAACCCUUUGAUAAAUCAUAACAUAUUUACAAGUUGGAUACUCAUUAGCAAAUUGAUUUUAUAUUAUAAAUUAAAUUUUAUUUUUUUGGUGAUAUAACAAAAUUUACUUAAAAAAUUAAAUGAUGUAGAAAUAAUUAUAUAUAAAAUAAAAAAUGAUAAAAUAUACCUGAGUUUAAAAUAAUUAAAACUAAAAUAUUUGCAACAUCGAUUUUUAUUCCUAAAAAGUUCAUACCUAAAAUAUAUAAUUUAAACUUAAAAUAUCAGUUGAAUUAUUAUCUUUGUUCAUUCUAUGCGUAAAAAUAGUUUUAAUAGAAUUUAAAGUACAUUAUUAUUGCUAUAAUUUUGUCUUUUUAAUGACUUCGAUUUAGUAAAGAGUGGGCAAGACAACUAAAACCUUGGCAUUAAUAAGAAAAAUGAGAUGAAUAAAAUAUUAAAAUCUCAUUCUUCAAAAUUAAAAUUAACAAAAAAAAGAAAGACUAAGUGUGAAUUUAGCAACUUAAUUCUAAUACUAACAAUAAAUAAUUUAUGCAUCAUGACUAACAGCUUUAAAUAAUAAAUUAUUAUCCCUUGCUUUAAUAUGUUGGAAAAAAUUGACCAAAAAGACUUAACUAAAGUAGUGGAACAUUCUUUUGAUGCAGUAUUGAUUGGGCAAAAAGACUUGGAAAUUGCAUGCUAUGCCAAACAUGAAAACUACACAUUUGUGUAUAAAUAAGUUGUAUGCCAAACAAAAUCCUCCUUCACACCCACCCAACAUGAACACUCUUCAUUCCCUUUUUUCUUCACUCUUUCUCUUCUCAUGCUUCCUUCCUCUUCUCUCGUCUUUUUCACCUCCUCAAACUCAUCUCCCAAUGCAAUGCCUUGAUGACCGGAGAUCUCCUCUGCUGCAAUUGCAACAUCAUCUUUACUAUGCCCCCCAUUUUACUUUCUCUUCAAAAUUUGACCUCUGGGAUGUCAACACUGAUUGUUGUUCUUGGGAAGGAGUCACUUGUGAUGCUUAUGGUCAUGUCGUUGGCAUUGAUCUUAGUUACAAAAACCUUUCAGGCAGCUUCCACUCCAUAUUCGAUCUCCAUCAUCUUCAACACCUUAAUCUUGCUGGAAACAACUUUAAUGCCACUCUGUUUUCCCAUGGGUUUGAUAAACUCCAAAAUCUAACUCAUCUCAACCUUUCACGCUCAUGUUUCCAUGGCCAAAUUCCAAUGAACAUCUCACACCUAAAAAGGUUAGUCUCUCUGAACCUAUCUUAUCAAGAUGAUUGCUAUUGGAGAAAUGGUUACAAUUAUAAUUCAGCUACUUUAAAAUUGGAGAAACCAAACUUCAAGACAUUUAUCAAGAAUUUGAAGUUCCUCACGGAGCUUUAUUUGGAUGGUGUCGACAUUUCAACUCAAGGUACUAAAUGGUGUGAAACCACAUAUCUUGUACUUCCAAACCUGCAUGUGUUGAGUCUGUCAAGCUGUAGUUUGAAAGGUCCAUUAUGUUCUUCACUCUCAAGACUCUCCUUUCUUUCCAAACUUAUCCUUGAUUGGAACCCAAUCUCUUAUUUACCUCCCAAUUUCUUGGAAAUUUCCUCUCGUUUGGUUUCUCUCAGUUUGAGGAACUGCAAUUUGAGUGGCCAUUUUCCAACCGAAAUUCUCUUAUUGCCAAAAAUUCAAAGCAUUGACAUUUCAUUUAAUCCUCAACUUAUGGGUCAGUUGCCAGAAUUUCCAGCAAACAAUGCUUUACAGAGUUUGUCACUUUAUGACACAAAUUUCAGUGGAAAACUACCUGAAUCGAUUGGUAAUCUUAAGUUCCUGACAAAUUUAGAGCUUUCUUAUUGCAAUUUUUUUGGACCCAUUCCAUCGUCAAUUGCAAAUCUUAGUCACCUGGUGAACUUGGAUCUAAGUUCAAACAAGCUUUCUGGAUCAAUACAUUCUUCUUUAUUUACUCUUCCAUCGUUGAGGAUCUUGUAUCUUGGAGAAAAUCAAUUGGUUGGGAAAAUUGAUGAGUUCCCCAAUGUAUCUUCUUCUUUGAUUCAAGAAUUAUAUAUAGGCAAUAAUUAUUUAAAAGGAACAAUCCCAAAGUCAAUCCUUCUACUUCCAAGGCUUGAAUGGCUUUAUAUCGAAAGCAAUAACUUCAGUUCCAUGAAGCUUGACAUGUUUGUCCAACUUAAGAACUUAAAGGGUCUCGAAUUAUCCAACGUAAGCUUGUUAAUUGAAAGCGACAACAGAAGUCUUACUUUUCCCCAAUUAGAGAGCCUAAGGCUAAGGUCAUGCAACCUUACUGAAUUUCCAGAAUUCAUUAAAAGGCAAGACAAGUUGUUUGACUUAGAUCUUUCUAACAAUCAUAUCCAUGGUGUUGUGCCUAAUUGGUUGUGGAAGAGCAGUCUUUCAUCCUUACACCUUUCUUUCAAUGUGAUUGAUUUUCCAAAACAGCUUCCCUUAAAUGAUGCAAACUUCUCAUUUCCAAUGUUGACAGAAUUGUAUUUGAGAUCCUGUAACAUAAGUGCGUUUUUAGAGUUCUUAAAGAGUCAAGAAAAUUUAGAAGAACUCGACCUUUCAAAUAAUAAAAUAAGUGGUGCAAUACCAAACCGGGUGUGGAAGAAAAGUUUGCGGUAUCUGUUUCUUGCUAAUAACCAUCUCUCAUCUUUGGACCAACUUUUACCCAAUCAGAGUUCAACUUCUUCACAAACCUCCUUGACUAGACCUAUUUGCAAUUUGAGUCAACUUAGAAAUUUCAAUGCAUCUCAUAACAAUUUGAGCGGCACGAUUCCAAAUUGGUUAGGCAAAAUGACUGAUCUCUAUUUGUUGGAUCUGCAAGGAAAUAACUUCAGUAGAAUGUUACCAAAAUUUUCAAAAGCAACGUAACUACAAAUUCUCAAAAUUAGUGAGAAUAUAUUGGAAGGGAAGUUUCCCCGAUCAUUAGCUGAAUGCACUCAGCUUGAAGUUUUGGACGUGGGAAACAACAAGAUGAAUGAUACAUUCCCUUUUUGGUUGGAGAAAUUGCCUUACUUGACGGUUCUAAUAUUGCGGGAAAACAGAUUUUAUGGUCAAAUUAAACAUUUCAAACAUAAAUCUGUUUUCCCAACUUUGGAUGUAUUGGACAUUGCUUCAAACCAGGUUUCUGGUGAACUAUCCAUUGAUUUCCUUCAACCCACUCGACUAAGGUCACUCAAAAUAGGUGGGAAUAAAUUGGAAGGGAAGCUGUCGAGAUCAUUAGCGAAUUGCACAGCACUUGAGGUUCUGGACCUUGGAAAUAAUUUUGCACAGAUUCUAUGGCACAAUUUCAAAAAUCGACACGGAACGUGGGUUUCCAAAGCUACGCAUAUUGGACAUUGCUUCCAACAAUUUUUCAGGUGACUUGUCCAUUGAAUUUUUGCAAAGUUUGAAGGCAAUGGCGAAGAUGACUAAUGACGAAAAGGCUAAGCUGGAUUAUAUCGGAGAGAAUUAUUAUCAAGACUCUGUGACAAUUGUUAACAAAGGGAUUGAAAUGUUCUACCAAAAGGUCUUGACAAUUCUUACUUGUCUUGACCUUUCCAGCAAUAGUUUACAUGGGAGAAUACCAGAAGAGAUACAAAUGCUGAGGUCACUCAGAGUGAUGAACUUAUCCAACAAUGGCUUUUCUGGUGAAAUCCCAUUAGCACUUGAAAAUCUAAAAGAUCUUGAAUCUUUGGAUCUCUCACAGAAUGAGCUGUCAGGGAAGAUUCCUGCACAACUUACAAGUUUAACUUUCUUAGCGGCAUUGAACUUAUCAUACAACCAACUUGAAGGGAGCAUACCACAAAGCAACCAAUUCAUUACAUUUACAAAUGAUUCCUACCGUGGGAACCCGAAAUUGUGUGGGUUACCAUUGUCCACUAAAUGCAAUGAGGUUGGUUUUCCAAUGCCACCAGCUCCAGGGGAAGAUGAAGAUUCAUGGUUAUAUGCUCUGUCUACUUGAAAAAUUGCGUUGAUAGGUUAUGCUAGUGGAUUAUUCGUUGGGCUAUGUAUUGGAUAUACAGUGCUGAAUGAGUUGGGAAACAAAUGGGUUUACAAGUUCAGUAAGUGUGGGAAAAGAAAUAGAAGAAGAUGUAGGUGACUCCAUUAGAAUUCUUACUUCAAAAUUAGCUGGUAAGCAUUUGUCUUUCUAAUUUGAACAGGUAGUUGUUGAUAUAUAUAUAUAUAUAGGUUUUCAUAACCUCAUUUUUUUGCUGUCUUUACCAAGUUCACUAUCUUAUGGUACUUGUAAUUUUAUGUUUCCAUUGAGCAAUGCAGGAGGUACUUGAAGCAGGGCAUGGAAUGUACAGUUGUGAGGCUCAUGAAGAAUGUAGGGCAAUGAUCCUAACAAGAUCAAUCCACUGGUUUGUAAUUUUGCUUUAUAUGCACUUUUUUCCUUUUGUAGUUUUCCAUGAGUAUAAAUAAGUGUUUAUUCAUUUUGCAUCCGGGUCCCUGUGGAUUUGGGGGAUGCAAUGUUUCACUGCUACUCAAUUUCCUUGUUUAUAACCAUGCUAAUAAUGAUAUUAUAAACAAGGAAAUGGCUGCCCAAGCUUUGUUUUAUAUGCAAUUUACUUUUACUCUAAUUGUUUUAUCUUCAGAAUAUUUGUACAGCUGAGGAGAUUUGAUGGCAUGAUGUUGAUGAAAGCCUUAUCUAUAGACAUUGGACUGAUUGUGUAAAGAGAAGCAGAUGCUGCUACUCCCAUCCUUUGCUCUUCCAAACAGACAUUAGCUUUAUAAUUGAUCAAUCACGUGCUGGGCUUUAGGAUCGAGUGUAAAGGGUGGACCAAUUAGUCUGGGUUUUAGUUCUGCCCGACACUUAUUUUUAUACUAGUUUAUUUUUCCUUUCAAUGUUAGUUUUAUUAAUUUAAAAAAUAUAGUUGAAUUAAGUAAUAAUAUGAUAAAAUAAUAAAAAUAAUUAAUUGAAUGAAAUAAAUUAUGUCUUAAAAUCUAGUAUGCUUUCCAAUGUUAGCCAAAGGCCAACAAUAUCUCACACUAAUAUUUUAUUUGUUAGUCCAAAAUUAAAAAUUUCAAAUUAGAAUGUUAUUUAUAGUUUAAGGACUUAAUUAAAUUUUUAAAAAAAAUUUAAAGAUCAAUUUAAAAUUUAAUCUAUAAUUUAAGGAAUUAACCCUUUGGUAAAUCCUAACAUAUUCAUAAGUUCCAUACUCAUUAAUAAAUUUGUACUAAAAAUGCUGAUUUGGAUGUAUACAAAAGUCAAUUAUGAUAAAAAUGAAAAUAUAUGAAAGAAAUGAUGGCUUAUAAUGUGGUGUGCUUUAAUUGGAUUUAAAUUUUUCCAAGAGGAAAAUAGUUGAAAAUCAGGAGCAAGAAUCUGAUUUGUUAUUCUUCUAUUAGAAAGGGAUAAAGAUGACAUAAAAUCACAGUUUCAUACAAUCUAUUCUCUUUAUUCAAAUAUUUAUUUGCAAGAAAUAAAAAUUAUAUGUUGUUUAAUCUAAUAGUGUUUUAAUUGGUUUGAUAAACUUUGAAAAAAAAUUUUGAAAUUGAAAUUAAUUUUUUCAAAGAAUUGAAAAAUUCUUAAUUAUAUAAGACAUCUCGUCAGUGUCAUUUGUCUUUGAUAAUUUCAAUUAAAUCUAAAGAAAUUUUAAUGUGGAAAUAUGUUAAGAAAUUGCUAAGAAGAAGAAAACUGUAAACAUUAUAUCAUCAAAAUUUCCAUUACUUGUGCCCAUCAAUCCAUCUCAACUACCUAAAAAACUUGCUAAACAUUGUUUUCAUGGGUAAAAAAGAUUUAGGCAUUUGCAUGCAGUGUUAAAAGGCUAAGACUAAGGGCUCCUUUGGAUGCCAACGCACAACAGUGCCUUGAAUUUUUUCUCCUUUAUUAUCUAUCUCACUGCACUGGACUGAACUCUGGACAGCCUUUGGAUGUGUUGGCUUCCAGCACAGUGAAGAAUUUCUACUACACUGGACAGCCUUAAGUUGACUUUAGCAACUUCUUUUCCUCUUUUACCCAUAUAUUCUUCGGUUGCAUUCUUCAGGUUUUUUUUUAUGUUUGGUUACCCUUCUUCUCCCCUUUCCCCUUCACUUUCCCCUUCCCCUUGGGUUGCAAAUCAGUUUGGUCAAGCACCUCUUCCGAUUCCUCCUUCAUCCAGGUAAGGCUCCUUCUCCUUCUUCCGUUCUUCAUUCCUUUUUCAGAUCGUUGAAAUCAAGGAGAAAUCCGAAGACCUACAUGCUCUAAUAAGGUAUUCCAUUAAAAACUAAUAGCUUUUAUUUAUCAAUUUUUAAAUGUGCAUGCAUAUAAUUAUUUGAAGAAAAAAAUCGUUCGUUGUGGAAAUUCUUAUAUGAGGUUUUUUUUCUUCUACUGAAUUUCUAGGUUUUGUUGGAAUCCUUGAAAAAUAUAUAUUUCGUUGUCAGAUCGUGAUGACAUUGACUAGAUUGGUUGUCUUUGGAUUACAUUAAUGACCUUUCGAUUGCAAAAAGAAGUGUUGGGUCGAUCUUGCUUUUGACCAAUGAUGAGGGUUUAGUGAAUAUCAGAAUUAUGGAAUCAAUUUAUGUUUUUUUUAUAAUUUUAAUUGUUUGCAAUGAUAAUUGUUCAAGUGGAAAAUAGUAUUUAUUUUCAGCUUUGUGGUGGGUGGUUGUACUUAAGAUUGAGAAUGAAAUUAUCGAAUUAUAGUCAAUUGAAAUCCGCUGUGCCUUUUUUUAAUAUCAUGGUAAUCAUUUCAUUUUUUUUUCUGUAUGUGAUAUAAUGUAAGCUUCAACAUUUGUUCAAUCCAAUAGCAGUUUGUUCAAAAUAGGAACAUGAAACAUUCUCUUGUUUUUAGUGACUUCUGGGCCUUCUUCAUUCUUCUUAGUGGUUCCUUGGUUGCUUCAUAUGGUUCUCUCUCCCUGUCUACAUUUGGUUUGACUAUUCAAAACAUUCUAAUGGGAUUUUCAGAAAACUUAAGUGGGUUCUUUUUCUUUUUAUUGCUGCAUAUGGGCCUUUAUAUGAUUUUACUGCUUACACAGAGGUAAAACAGUUUGAGAAUAGAUCAUUUAUCUAUUGACUAUAUCAUGAAUAUGUAGUCUGAAGUUAUUUGAUUCACCGCAAUGUCCAUAAUAAUUGUUGAUGAUGUUGUUGGUUUGCAGUGUAAAGCACAGCCAGAGGAGACACUGUACCAAGGAGGGAUUCUGAAAGAUGAGCCUCCCAUUAUGAGACCUGCCAUUUUUGGCGAAACUGCAACUGGUUUUUACACUCCAGGUUUUCUCUUGAAGAAUCUCACGGUGGGCAAUUUUUACUGUUUCUACAGUUAAGUUCUCCAUCCAUAUGAAUUUCGGAUACAAAUAUUAAAACACAAAUACUUUAAAAAAAGAAUAAACAAGUUCAUCGACAUAGGUGAACCCUUAAUGUACCUGUUACUGACUUACUGGCAUGUCACACUGUAUCACCCGUGGCCCAACAAGUGGCAAUGUUUAUGGUUUGGGUUUAUCAAAUAAAGUGGCAACCGACAUAUGCAAAUGCUAGAUAUGGCCCCAAUUCAGGAACAUCCCCCUAUUGUAGAGGCAAUUGACAUUUUAACAUAGACAAAAACUUUUACUAUGAAUAUCAGACAAAUUAUAUUUUGAAACAUUACAGGAUUGGCUUACUCUGUUUGGUGCAAUUACUGCUUGGAUCAAAAUACAAAGUGCAAAUUCAGCUCUCAUUAGGGCAAGCUUGAAGACAGAAAACAGAACAUAUAAUUGUAUAGGGACUGUUUUGGCUAAGAAUGGUUGCUGGUCAUUUCUCAAAGGUGGAUUUGUUCUUGAUUCACCUUCAAAUUUAGCUUUACUGCUAUUCCAGGUGAACCUGUUUUCAAAUCAAUAUAAAUUUAGGCUUUUAUAUGUGAAAACAAUUGAGCAUUAGAUUAUUAAUGCUGUCACUAAUUUUUGCUUCUAAGAACCCUUUUUUUUUCUAAUGUCCUGGAUAUGCAGAACUCAGAUGAUAAAGACAUUGAUAUAACAAUUGAUAGUUCCUCGUUACAGCCAUUUACAGAUCAAGAAUGGAGGUUCAAUCAGCAAUUCAUGAUUAACACUGUAAUUACUAUUGACACACUUUGUGAAAUGAUAUUUCAACAAUGGUAAUGUUCAAUAUCUUAACAAAAUUACUUACUGUCUAGUAAAGGAAGCGUGCUGUAACAAUACAUGUCUCAGAUCAACAAGGUAAUAGGUUGCAAGGAGCAGCAAUAACUAUAAACCAAGUCUCAAAGGAUUUCCCAUUUGGUUCUGCAAUAGCACACACCAUUCUUGGGAAUUUGCCCUAUUAGGUAUGUGUUCAUAUUCAUUUCUUAAUACUUAUCGGACAAUGCUAGCUAAUUGAUCUUGUUUUUUUUUGUCUUCCAGAACUGGUUUGUUGAACGAUUCAAUGCAGCAGUGUUUGAAAAUGAACUGAAAUGGUAUGCAACAGAACCAGAUCAAGGGAAGACCAACUACACCUUAGCUGACCAAAUGCUGGAGUUUGUUAGAGCUCACCAAAUAAUAGCCAGGGGCCACAACAUAUUCUGGGAAGACCCCAAGUACACGCCUAGAUGAGUGAAAUUACUUGUCUUCUGCUAGAUUAAAAUGUUUUUAAUAUCCUUUCUGUAGGCAAUUUGAUUAAGGUCAAAUGAGCUAAAAUUGGAGAGGCAAUUGGAGAACUCACAGGCUGAAAUUUCUUCUUUCAAGUAUGCUUUUUUAGGUCUAAUUAUGAAAUUUGUCCCUUUAUUUUACAGCAUCUGAGAAGUUAGUCCCUCUGAUUUGUCAGAAUGGUCCUCAUAUUUUAUGAACACUAAGAAAUUAAUCCAAUUGAGUAACAUUGUUAAACCUUCUUGUUAAACUGAGCUGUUCAGGAACUUAUGUGCUAGGAAUUAGUAAAAACCAGCAGUAGCAUAUUUAUGGUACAAAAAAAUUGACCUAUAUUCAACUUAGAUUACUAUUGAAGUUUUGAGUAUAGUUUUGGCACAGCAUGCAACAUGUUAAUUUUGCACCAUGCAUCUGGUGUAAUUAUAUGUUAUUUUCAGUCUUACUAACCUAGAUUAUUUUAACAGUUUGUAUCCUUGGUGCAUCCAUCAGUUAGUGUUGAUUGUUCGAUACUACAUGAUUGCUAUGAAUCAUUUGCAAUGUAUUGCUUUGGAAGAUACCUUGUUGCUUGNNNNNNNNNNNNNNNNNNNNNNNNNNNNNNNNNNNNNNNNNNNNNNNNNNNNNNNNNNNNNNNNNNNNNNNNNNNNNNNNNNNNNNNNNNNNNNNNNNNNCAGCCUUGCACGAUAUUUCAUUUAGUUUACAGUUUCUGUGGUGACAUUGUCUUUGUUAUUUGCUUUGCUUAUGCCCUUGAAUCUGAAUUUUGGACACCCAUAUAUUAUUUUCAAUGUCAUUUCAACACUCUGUUUUUUCAUAUCUUUACUUUUUAAGAAUAUAUAGGUUCUUCUGAUGUCUAACAUACCAUAAUCAUAAUUCCCCUUAAUGCACUAAAAGGAAUAUUGACUACUUUGUUAGUAAGCAAAGUAUAGGAUGUUGUUGAACUUUGGCCUGCAAUGCAAUAGGAAACCAGCAGCAAACCAGCAUGCAGACCAGCAUCCAAGCUGAACCAGAUAAGCAGCAGCAUUUUGUUUAUUUUGUUCAUUUGUAACUUGAUUUAGUUGCAAUGUAAUUUAUACUUAAAGUUAGUAGGAGUAGUUGUUGAUUUAUGUUUGAUGUUAUAGCUGGUAUGUCAGCUACAUUUUGUUUGAAAUUGUAUCUAGGAUUUNNNNNNNNNNNNNNNNNNNNNNNNNNNNNNNNNNNNNNNNNNNNNNNNNNNNNNNNNNNNNNNNNNNNNNNNNNNNNNNNNNNNNNNNNNNNNNNNNNNNAUUAGUUAACUGCCAUAUUUCAUUGUAACAUAAAUGCUUCUCAAGUCAAUGAAAAAGAUCUGAUUUUUGGAAAUCAAAUUCAGUUUUCUUCUUGUUCAAACUUCUUUGCAUUCGUUUUUUUUUCUCCUUAUUUUUAUGCUAAAAAAAACCAACACAUGUAAUCCGGACUACUUAUGUAUAUGGCAUAUUGCUUAUUCAAGUAAUGAAGUUAAUUUUUACAUCAUCCGGGUUACUUGCUUUUGUUUUCUUUCUCUGCUAUCAAAACCCCAACAGAUGUGAUUUUCAACUCUUCCCUUUAGCAUUGAUGACCAGCUCAAGGCUCGACAUUGCACGUUCUACAUGGUGGCCAUAGGCUAUUUCAGUUACUAGCCAACAGUUGGUUUUAGUUUUGAAGUUAUUUGGUGCUAGAAAUGUCUUGCAUUGAGUUAUUGAUGACAAACAUUUGAAAUAACAUGCAUUAAGACGCACAGACAUUGAGAAAAAGGGUAUUGUAAAUAUUUCAUUAAAAAGAUUUGAAAGAAGAAUGAAUAGUAAUAAUUUUUGAAUUUUUCUCUAGUUUUAAUUUAUUUUUAAUUAUUUAUUAUUAAAAAUAAAUAUAAUUGUAAUAAUUUUUAAUCAUUUAUUAAUUUUGUAAUUGUUAAAUGAUUUUAAAAAUUUCUAUUAUAUAUCAUUUUUAAUCUAAUGUCCUUAAAAGUCAUUUUCUAUUUUCACCUCACCGCUACAGCUGCUUUUGAAUCCAAACAUACACUCCACCGCUGUUUCUAAUCUCACUGCUACAAUAUCCAAUCUUACCGCUACAGUAACUAAUCUCACUACCACCGCUGUUUUUAAUCUCACCAGAGCUAAACACACCGCCCAUCCAAACUAAGCCUAAGUCUAAAAAAAAAUAUAAAAAUUGUAUGAAAAGGUUAUAAAAACCAUUUGGACAGAUUGUAAAAGAUAUAAAAGAAACAAAAAAAAAAACUUUCAAAAGGUGAUAUUUUUUCCCUUAUUUAUUUAUUUUGAAUAUAUAUAUAUAUAUAUAUAUAUAUAUAUAAGAACAAAAAAUAAAAAUAAAAACUUUCUUACCUUUUCGGAUGGUGAUCGGCAGAUCUAAGCUCGGGUGGCCGAUAGAGAGAGGAAAGAAAAAAAGGAAAAACUUUCUUACCUUUUCGGACGGCGGCUGCCACGUGGCCAAUGGCCAAAAUCUGGGCUGUGCCCAGAGAGAAUGGGAGAGGAUUUCUAUUUUUAUUUUUGAAAAUAUGGUGAAAUGAUUUUUUUUUGUUUUUUUGUUUUUUACUUAUAUAGGCAGACAAAAUGACGUUGUUUUGGGACUGGCCUCAGACUCUCAAAAUGACGUCGUCUUGAGGUGGACCCAAUCUGAUCCGAUCCAUUCCCUAGGAUUUUUUGUAAAAUGAUCUAUUUUUGCUUUUGGCCCUUUCACUGUUUUGAUGAGUUACAAUGAGGUCCUAUUUCUUUUUUUCUCUUUUAAUUUUACCACGGAAUUUUAAUUUUAUUUCAUUUUAGUCCCCUAAGAAAUGGUGUGCAUAAGGUCAAGGAAUAGUUUCCUAUUCGGUCCCUGUUCUUUUUAGCGUGUUAUUAAUUCUUAUUAGCAUAUUUUGUUAUUUACAAUUUAUACCCCUUAGUUUUAUUUCAAUUUCAAUACGAUCCUUAGUUUAUUUAACUUCAAUUUUUUUACGAACUGUUUCAUUUAUUAUUUUAUUAUUUUAUUACUAUUUAUUUAUUUUCAAUUUUUAAUCAAAUGUUUUAUUGGUAUUCAACUUAUUUAUUUAUUUAUUUACUUAUUGAUUCCUUUGUUUUUAUUUUUAAUUGGCUUGCUUUUUGUAUUUUCCUUUUAUUGUGCAAUAUUUUUUUUUAUUUUUCCUUUAUUAUUGUUAUUAUUCCAUUAUUUAUUUAUUUAUUUAUUACCUUUUAUGUACUUUCAAAAAAAAAAAGAUUAUUUAUUAUUUAUAUUAUCAUUUUCAUUAUUAUUAUUAUUAUUAUUUGUUUAUGCAUAUUAAUAUUAUUAUUGCUAUACUUUUAUAUUUUAUUAUGCAUAUUAUUAUACCGUUAUUAUAAAUUGGUGUUGCAUUAUUACUAUUAUAUUAACAUGAUCUCAGCUACCUACUUAUUAUCAUUUUUACUAUGAACAUUUCGAUUUCUCUUCUCUUUAUUCGUGUAGCCGUUUUAUUUUUAUUUUAGGCCUUAUCAUAUUUUCCCUUAGGUUUAGAUAUAUUUAUUUGUUUCCUCACUAUGGCUCAAUCCCGUAUUGUGUUAAAUAGUGAAUCCAUUUUUUACACGACUUGUAAGAAAUAAUUAAAAUUAAGCCAAUGUUCUGUAUUUGGAAUUUGAGAAGUGAUCCCCUAACUUACGGGGCUCAACUUUCUUGUUAAACCUAGAUUACAAAAUAUUAUUUUAAAAUUAAAACACGUGAGAUUUAAAUAAUAAUUUAAAUAAAGAGCAAGCUUAUUUUUGAAGAUUCGAGAUGUUGUAUCCUAACUUACGGGAUAUGACCUUUAGUUACCUCGAGAUAAGAGGGCCUUUUACAUACAUUUUUGAUUUAUUCAAAUGAUUUUUAAUAACAUAAUGCAAAGUGGGAUCGUGUUUUAAACUCUCUUCAAAUUUUUUAAUUCACGACACUAAGACUUUAAUUAAUCAACUAAGUACCAAUUUUGGGCGUCACGAGAUGCUAAUACUUCCUCAGAAUUCAUUUUUUUUCAAAAUCAGCGGGUAUGCACCACCUUAUUUCUUUUUUAUCUGUGGACAAAGUUAACUAUCAUAUGGUAUUUGGACUUGUAGCUUGUAACAUUGACAUUCGUUUUUCAGUCUAUUCUAAUUUUAUGUUACCAUUUUACAAUGCAGAAGGUACUUAAAACAGAGAGGCUCAAGCAAAAAUCUUUAAUGAAAAUGGUAAAAGUGUCUAACAAAUAUGAGCAUAUUUUUCCUUAAAAUUGUCUUUUCCUUGACAUUGGCUUUAUAUUUUAUCAAACACGUGUUGGGUUUCUUCAUCUAUGGGUUUCCAGCAAAUACCAUAAUUUUUGUUCUUAUCGUCCAUUGCAGCACCUAUAUAUGGGUUUCUUCAUCUUUAAUUCUGGUAAAGAAGACGGGAUUUUUAUAGCUUCAAUUGUUUUAUCAAACCCAUAGUCCUCAUCUUUUACAAUCUUCUUCACCACUCUCCCUAGUUUUGAGUUUUUUAACCUAUUCUAGUAAAUAAUCUUUUAAAUGACCCAUUUUUGUAAAUAAAGUUGGAAAGGGGUCUUUUUUAGUAAAAUGCCCUAUAAAAGCACCUAUAUAAACUAUUUUCAUCAAAAUUUAAUUUCCAAGAAAUUCUCUUUGUUGCCAAAAUUUCAAAGCAUUUGACAUAUUAAGCAAUGAUGAUCAAAAGUAUUUUUGAAUUCCCAAAAUAAUUGGAAAUUUCAUUAUUUAUGAUCAGUCAGUCAACAAACUCUUCAAUCUUAUUUGGUUUGAAAAAAUAGAUAUAUUUUUGAAGUAGUUUUUUGAAAAAAUGAAAAGCGUCCAACACAUCUCAAGCGUCAACAAAUUCAUUUUUCAGUUAAACCAAGAAAGUUUAAAAAGUUCAAUCUUUUUAAAAAUAAAAAUAAAAAAAUUAAAUUUAAACUUAAACUUAAAAAAAAUGAAAACAUAUUUUAACCUUCAACUAUUUGUUAAUUUCCUACUUAUUUCCACAACUUUUGCUUUUGAUUUUGAAUCUAAACAGUGAAAAACAAAGGAGAAAGCAAGAAAGGAAUGAAUAGAAUGAAUUAAAAUAUUUGGUGGUACUCCAUUUUCUCUUUCGAGUUUGAAUAUUAUGGUUUUGGAUAAUAUUUUGACUAUAAUUGGUAGCAGAUAUGGAAGAAAAAUUUAAGACUAAGGCUAAUAAAAUCUCAUAUUAUCCUUUUCUUUGUUAGUCCAAAAAUAUUAAAAAAUUUCAAGUUAAACUAAUUUAAGGAUUUAAUUAAAAUGUUUUAAAAAAUUUCUAUACUUUUGUAAAUAAUGAUUUGAAUAUCGGAAUUAACUAUUAAGUAAAAGAAUAAUGUUGUAUGGAAACUACAAAUUUCAUAAAUAUAAUUUGAACAACAAUAUUAGCAAAAAGGACAACUAAGAAUCCCUGUUAUGAAUCUUAAAAUGUAACGGGCAACUUAUCAUUUGAUGUAGAAUUUUUUAUAAUUAUUUUAUGUCUUUUAAUAUAUUUUUUUAAAUUUUAAAAAUUACAUUUAUCAACUAAUUAAAUUAUAUUCUAUAAUUAAUUUUAAAAAAUCUAUUAAAUAAAUUUUAUAACUUAAAUUUAACACCUAUUUUUAAUAUUUAAUUUUUAACACUUAAUAUUUCAAAACAACUAAAACUCCCAUCAAUAAAACCUCAUACCAUCAUUUAUUUAUUAGUCCAAAACAUAUAUAAUUUCUAAUUAGAAAUUCUUGGAAAAUUAAAAUGCUCCACCACUAUUGGAAUAUUAUUCAUAUAGAAUAAAGAUGGAGAAAAAAAAAAGACCGAAACAUUGAAAUUAAUAUGACUAAUAAAACCAAUAAAAUCUCAUAAUCCCAAAUUAAAAUUAACAAAAUGACAAAAGAAAGAUGUAAAGCAAAUUAAGUGUGAAUGGGACAUAAGACUAGGAAUAAAUGAUUCAUGCUUUAUUACUAAGAGGUUUAAUAUAUAUAAUAAGGGUAAAGUUAGACCAUCAAACCACUCAAAUUUGAUUUCAAUAACAAAAAAAAUUAUUCAACUUUCAACUCAAUCAUUUAAUUUUCAAAAAAUACCAAACCAGUCUUACUAAUUAUUUUUCGUUAUAGAUAUAACGAAAAUGUGACCUGUCAUUUAACUGGCCACGUUGGAGUCAUUGUUGUCAUUUAAUUGACCAUGUUGGAGAGUUUAUUGUCAUUUAAACAACCCCAUUUAAGAACCCUAGCUAGGAAGAAGAAGAAGAAGCCAGUGGCCUCAAAUCCUAAUAAUAAAACAAUAGCAAAAAAAUUAUUACAAGCCCAAAUACAAAAGAGAGGCCCAAUCCUAAUAUUUCAGUAGAAACCCUAGUUGCCCUAGCCUCAUGCUACGCCGCUAGCCGACAUGUCAGCAAAAGCAGCGCCCAAAACCUUUCCCCUUGCACCAAAACGGCAACAGCAACCUCGUUGACUUCCACCGCCUCUGUAAGAAACAAAAAAAGGAAAAAGAAGCAAAAACAAGAAACCGAAAAAACAUAUAUUGUAAUAUUAUUUCGGUUAUAAAAAUUGAUCUUUGUAACACGAAAAGGGAGAUCGAAUACAUCAAAAUAAGAAGACGAAAUUGAAAUACAAAAAAAAUAUUAGAAUAAUCGAAAUAAAAAUACCACAAAGUUCAAAAAGGUAACAUUUUAUUGUUUAUUAUUAUUUUAUUUUGAUUUUUCUCUUUUCAAAACAAAAAAAAAGGGGAAGAAACUUUACCUGUUUUGCGCCAUCGCCGGAGGUGCCCUCCGACUCGAGAAGACUUGGACCCCUUAGGGUCUAUGGAAAGCAUCGUUGGAGAGAGUAGAAGCCGAAAGGUUUCUCCCAUUUUUUACAAAUUUGGCUAAGUUUUCGACGAUUUCGGCUCCAAAUUUGUGAUCUACGCGGAAAAGGAUUUCGGGGCAAUUUCUGGUGAUCUUCAGCCACCGGAGGUGGCAGUCUCCGUCAAUGGUGACCGGCAGCCACAGCGGAGACUUGUUGGCCUCGUGGCCGGACUUGAACCCACUUUAGAGAAAAAAAAAGGAGAAUAAAGUUUUUUUUUUAAAAAAAGAACAGGCUAAAAUGAUUUUUUUAAAAAAAUUUCAACUUAUAUAGACAUAUCAAAACGACGUUGUUUUGGCCUGACUUUAGAAACCCCAAAACGACGUUGUUUUGACAUAUCAAAACCCGUUUUCCCCAUAGGAUCUGCGUGUUUUUGAAGGGAGGGGAUAUUUGCAGCUUUGGUCCUUUCACUUUUUUCAUCUUUUUUAAAACACAAUUUCCAAUAAAAUCUAACCCUAGAUCUAGAAAUAGUUAAAAAAAUCUAUAAAGUCGAGGUUGAUUAACAAAUGAAACAUCGUUAAGGAAACCUAUAACAUUAUUAAGGAAAUUUACAUAUCGAUUGGAAGGUCUUCUUCACCGGGUUAAGCGACGGGAAGUUGGGAGGGGGUGAACAAAUUAGGAAGGAAAAGUUUGGAUCUCUGAUGGUUUUUCUUGUUUCAACAUAUCCAUUUCUUCUCCUCCUCCUCCUCAUCUUUCUCUUCUUUUAGUGUUUUGUUUGAUUCUUAAAAUGGGUUUCCAUUGUGGCAAGUUAACUGGCCACGUCACUUGUCUCGUUAGACUUAUAACGAAAAAUGUUAGUGGGUGAUUGAUUUGUUAGUUUUUAAUAAUGUUAAUGAUCAAUUUGUUAUUUUUUAAAAGUUGAGUGACUAUUUUGUUAUUGAGAUCAAAAUUAAAUGUCUGUUGGUGUAAUUUAUUCUAAUAAUAAUUAAUUAUUAUUAUCCCUUGCUUUAAUAUGUUGAGAAAGUUAAGGGAAAUGUAAAUAAGUUAAAAGAAAGUUAGAAAUUAGUGAGUUUCAUCACUUUAGAAUUUUAAAAGACCGAAAAAGUGAGUGAAAAAGUGCCCACUAUCAAUUUGGAAAUUACUUUCCCCUCAUUUUUUAAUAUUGGUAUGAAUUUCGAUAUUAUAAGUUGUGAUGAUAUUUAAAUUUAAAUAUUCUAAUUAUUAUCUAUAAUAAAUUUGGAAUAGAUGUAAAUAUUAAUCCUUGAAUAUCUGUAUAUCAAAUUAGCUUUGCUUUUGUAAACAAUGGACUCAGAAUUUUGGACUUUUUAAAUUUAAGAUAAUUUUUUUAUUUUAAAUUUGAAUAACAAUAUUAUGAUUUAAUGCACAUAAUAAAGGGUUUAAAAUUUAAAGUAAGGACUCAAGUUGAAAUAUUAUAAGAAAAGUGCCAAACAAUUCCACAAAUUAAAAGCAAAGACUAAGAAUAGUUUAUAUUUUCCUCAAAGCAACCCAUUAUUGACUUUUUUUAGUCGUUAAUUUCAGUGUGUAUCUAUUCAUUUCAUACGCUUUAAGAAGAUUAUUGAAAAUUCACUAAAUUAUGAGAAAAUUUAGUCUUUGAGCCAUCAAUCUAUCUCGAUCAGCUAAGACACUCACCACAAUUCCAUCUUUUCUUUAUGUCAAAACUUAAAUAUGUUCUUUUUCGAAGAAAUUAUGUUAAGUUCCGUCAUCAUAAUUUCCACCCUUGUUUUUAUAAUGACUUGACUUAAAUGAAGUGGGAGACCAUUACAUUCAUAUAGUAAAAAUCAGAAAAAAAGAAAAAGAAAAAGAAAGAUUUGAUGGGUCAUAAAAGUAACUAAAAAUUUGACUAAAGUAAUUGUACCUAUCAAUUAAUAGGAUAGUUAUAGUGAAUAAAGAUAUCAUUUUCACGAAGACUUAAAUUCCUGUCAAAGAAAUAAUAUACUGGUAAAGCUAGGUUGACUUUGAAAUUUCAGUCUAAUUAAAAUCUCUAUUACAUUAACUUGUUCUUUGGAUUCCCUAUUAGAUUUGACUCUAAUUCGGUAGAUUUAUGUCGUCAUAUUUCUAGGAUUGCAUGCAACUUCACUCAACUACGUAAGAUUUACUCUUAAACAUGAUCUAUUCCUCAUUUGAUUUAAACACAUUAAACAUGGAUCAAUAAUUUAGAAAUAUUAAACCAAGAAUUGAGCACACAUAAUUGAAAAUAAGAAACUAAGCGUUUAUUAUGUAAAAUAAAAAUCAAAUGAUAGAAUCCAUCAUAGGGUUCGUCUUUCCUAGGUAUUUAGAAAAUUAGUUCAUGCUCGAAAAUAAAAACAUCCAUGAGAUAGUAUAAUAGAAAGAAAUAAAGAAACUCAUGAUAACUCCUUAGGAAUUCAACUAGGAAUCUUCAAUCUUAACUGAAAUCUUCUUCCAAGACAAGUUCAAUGGUUUUUUUGAGUUUUUUUCUUAAACGGCUUACUCCUCUGUUCUUAUUUCUGUCAUGUAUAAGUCUUAGAAUGCCCAAAAAUCCUAAAAAUCGCAUUUUUCGCAACUGGGUGUGAAAUCCCAUUAAAUCGAUAUAGUCUACCACAUGGCUAUGUGAUAGGCUGUGUGGAAUGGGUCAGCCUUUGUGGCUUCUAUAGCUUGCUCCAAUUUUCACUCAUUUUUCACUUCUUUUGUUCCCAAAUGCUCUAUUAAGCAUAAAAUCAUGAAUCUAAAGGAUUAGGAGCAUAAAAUUCACCAUUAACAUUGAAUAAUCAACCAAAAACGCAUUAAGAACGAGCUUAAAAUAUGUUACUUUUUAACACUUAUCAAGACUUAGAUGUUUGCAUGCAAUGCUAAAUAUUAGCAGCAACCUCAUUGACUUCUACCGCCUUUGCAAGAAACACAGAAAAGAAAAAGAAGCAGAAACAAGCAAUCGAAAAAAACAUAUAUUGUAAUAUUAUUUUAGUUAUAAAAAUCGAUCUUUGUAACUCGAAAAGAGGGAUCGAAUACAUCGAAAUAAAAAAAUGAAAUCGAAAUACAAAAAGAAAUAUUAGAAGAAUCGAAAUAAAAAUACGACAAAGUUCAAAAAGGUAACAUUUUAUUGUUUAUUAUUAUUUUAUUAUUAUUUUUCUCUUUUUGAAACAAAAAAAAGGGGGGAGAAACUUUACCUGUUUUAUGCUGUUGCCGGAGGUCCCCUCCGACUUGAGAAGACUCAGACCCCUUGGGGUCCAUGGAAGGCAUCGUAGAAGGGAGUAGAAAUUGAAAGGUUUUUAUUGUGUUUUUCACAAUUUAAGAAAUAGAAAUACCAAUGGAACAGUGAUUUUGGGUAGAUAAUGGACAGGUACUUGAUGAAAUUAUAACGAAUUACAAGGAAAAUUUGCAGAAAAUAUGAGUUGAGAGAAGAAAGUUACAGACUUAGGGAUGAGAAAAGAACAAAAACGUAUUACUGAAAUCAUGACAUUUUCUGGUAUUUUUCCUCCUUAAAAAAAGGGUAGCUGCAUGAGGGAAGUGUGAACUGUUAUUCCCUUCCACGUGCAACCAGCUGAGGUGUCACUUGACAAAAUCUUUCAGCCAUUUGGGAGCCAUUCUGGGCUGAGUGCUUCCUCUAGUAGCCUGUGUAUUUGCUAUUCCAGUAGCCUGCUGCUGCCUUGGUGGAUCGUUCACAACAUUACCCCCACAUCGAGACAUACCUUGUCCUCAAGGUUGAGAUCAGGAAAUAAUUUCAACAUGUGAGCCUUAUCUUCCCAAGUUGCUUCAUCAACAGAUGAGCCGUCCCAUUGUACCAGCCAUUGCUUAAUCAAGGAAUUAGCUCGCUGAAUAGACCCCGUCUUCAAUAUAGCUGUUGGUUGUAAUAUAAGAGCAGAAGUAGAAUCAAUGAGGUGGAGAGGUGUUACCUGUUGAUCUGGUUGGCCGAGGCAUUUCUUGAGCAAAGAAACAUGGAAUACAGGAUGGAUAUGCGCGGAUUCCAGUAGCUCCAAUUUGUAAGCAACUUCACCAACACGACCAAUUACCUUAUAAGGACCAAAAUAACGUCUACUCAGCUUGUGCUGGCGUUGCAAACGAAUAGAAUGUUGGCGAAACGGUUGGAGUUUGACAUAUACCCAAUCUCCUACGACAAAAGUCACUCACGAUGGCUCCUAUCAGCCAGUAACUUCAUUCGGUUCUGUGCUUACCGUAAAUUCUCCUUUAACACCCGAAGAACUUGAUCACGUUCCACGAGUUGAGCUUCUACCAAAGCAUUACCAGAAGUAUCUCGUACAUAGCGAGCAACAGUAGGAGGAGGGCGACCAUAUGGAACCUCAAAUGGUGUCAUUUUGGUAGCCAUUUGAUAUGCCGUAUUAUACCAAAAUUCAGCCCAUGGCAGCAUGUUUGUCCAAGUCGAGGGGUGAUCCGAAGUAUAGCAGCGAAGAUAUAUUUCAACACAUUUAUUCAAUGCUUCAGUUUGGCCGUCAGAUUGUGGAUGGUAGGCAGUACUCAUACUCAAAGUUGUACCCUAUAAAUGAUGGAUUUCCUUCCAAAAGUCACUGAGAAAUAGAGGGUUGUGGUCUGAAACAAUCUCCACUGGUAUGCCAUGCAAACGAAUAAUCUCCUGAACAAAAACAGCAGCCACUGAGAUGCUAGUAAAAUUAGUGGGCAACCCGAUGAAAUGGCCAUAUUUGGAUAAUCUAUCAAUGACAACAAAGAUAACAAUUUUGCCUUUGGAAGAAGGUAAUGCUAUAAUAAAGUCCAUAGAAAUGCUCUCAAAAACCAAAUUGGGAAUCGGUAAUGGCUACAGCAAUCCACUAGGACUCAAGGAUGAGGCUUUCAUUUGUUGACAAAUUUGGCACUCUUUGACAUAUUGCUUAACAUCUCGACGCAUAGAAGUCCAAAAGAAAUUGGAGGAAAGACGAUGAAAUGUGCGUGUAAUAUCAGAAUGGCCACUGAUGGGAGAUGCAUGAAACUUAUGAAUAAGCUGUAAACGGAUAGGAGAAUCAGCUGGAAUCAUUAGGCAACCCCGAAAUAAUAAUAGGCCAUCAUGGAAACUAAAGUCAGGAAAUUGUGCUGGGCCAGCACACACUCGUUGCUGCAUACCCAAAAGUUCAGGGUGUUGUAAGUUUGCUGCACGAAGAUCAGCAAUAAGAUCAAAUUGCACAGUAGAUAAAGUAAGUAAUUGAGAGGAAGGGAUGCGAGAAAGAGAGUCAGCAGCAACAUUCAACUUCCCAGAGCGAUAGAUAAUGUCAAAGUCGUAACCAAUAAGCUUGCUCAACUAUUUCUGUUGCUCAGGGGUUUGUAUAACUUGAUGCAUGAUAUUCUUAAGUGGUUGUUGAUUAGUGAUAACUGUAAAUCUCCUCCCCAACAAAUAUUACCGCUAUUUCGAAACAGCUUGAGUGACCACAUACAUUUCACGUUGGUACGUCGAGUAUUGUUGCAUGCGAAGACUCAUUUACUAGCUGAAAAAUGCUAUUUGAUGCUUAUCUUGGGACAAAACAGCUCCGAUCCUAGUACCAGAAGCAUCUAUUUCAACUGCAAAAGGUUUCAUGAAGUCCGACAAGGCUAAGACAGGGGAUGAACUUAAAACCUCUUUCAACUUGACAAAAGCAUUGGUAGCAGAUUUUGUCCAAAAAAAUUAUCUUUGCGAAGAAGAUUAGUAAGGGGCUCUGCAAUAGAAGAAAAAUGUCGAACAAAACACCGAUAGUAUCUUGCGAGACCAAGAAACCCGCGAAUCUCCUUAACUGAACGUGGUAAUGGCCAUUUUUGAAUUGCAACAAUUUUAUCCGGAUCGACAGAUACGCCUUGGCUAGAGAUGAUAUGCCUCAAAUAUCCAAUAGAAGUUUGGCCAAAAAUAAAUUUGGAUUGCUUUGCCACUAAUUGAUGUUGCCGUAAAAUCGAGAGCACAAGAUGAAUGUGCUCCAAGUGAGCCUCCCAAGAAGGGCUGUAAAUUAAGAUAUCGUCGAAGAAAACGAGUACAAAAUUCUGCAAGUAAGGUCGAAAAACAUUGUUCAUGAGACUUUGAAAGGAGGAUGGCGCAUUGGACAAGCCAAAUGGCAUUACGAGGAAUUCAUAAUGCCCCUCAUGAGUUCAAAAGGCAGUUUUGUACUCAUCGCCAAUGCGAAUUCGCAGUUGAUGAUAGCCGGCCAACAAAUUUAAUUUAGAGAAAUAAACAGCACCAUAUAACUCAUCAAAAUGUUCAUCAAUGGAUGGAAUAGGAAAUGGAUCAUUGAUGGUAAUGGCAUUUAAGGCUUGAUAGUCAACGCAAAAUCGCCACGUGCCAUCCUUCUUGCGCACAAGUAGUACCGGAGAAGAGAAAGGGCUAGUGCUUGGCCGAAUAAUUCCAUCCUGAAGUAUUUCAGCAACUAAUUUUUCAAUCUCAUACUUUUGAAAAUAUGGAUAACGGUAAGGUUUAACAUUGAUUGGCUCACUGUCAGACAACAAAUGUAUCGCAUGAUCACAUGCACGGAUAGGAGGCAGACCCUGCAGUUUGAGGAACACAUCAGCAAAUGAAGUAACCAGUUGUUCUAAUUCCAAUGGAAGGGGCGUGGAGUUAAUAGGUUGAAAGGAAACCAAUUCCAAAUGAAAAUACUAUGCAAUAGCAUUGAUUUGAUGAAGGCGACGCAACCCAUUAAAUUGUACCGGUUGAACCGAAGAUGAAGCUUCUCCUGUCCAUCGAAUAGAUUGACCGUGAUGCUUGAACUCAAAAAUUGAUGACCCAUAAUCUAUCAUAACUGGUCCAAGAGUGGAUAACCAAGUAACACCGAGGACCAUGUCCCAUCCCUUUAAUGGUAAGACAUAAAAAUCAAUGCAUAUUUCACAGCAUUGAAUUACUAAGGGUACUUGUUUGACAAUACCAGUGCAAACUAAACGCUCGCCACUGCUGACCAAUAUAGAGAAACUAGGAGAGGCAGUUAUUAGAAGAUUCAAAUACGUGGCCACACGGGUUUGCACAAAGUUAUGUGUGCUCCCACCAUCGAACAACACCUGGACUUGCUUGCCACGGACUGUACCCUCAAAUCGAAGAGUAGAAGAAGAGCAACCUCCAGCCAGGGCGUUGUAAGAAAUCGAAGAAUGGAGCUGUAAGUUGGUGUCAGGUGUGGUGGAAUCGAAAUUUAGUAGGUGAAGAUGGCGAUAAAAGUUCAGGCGCGAGAGCAUCAGGUGGCUCGGACUCUUCUUCCAGAAGUAACAGGUGGGAUUUUGCUUUACAUUUGUGUCCCCACUCAUACUUCUCAUCACAAUGAUAACAGAGGCCCUGUGAACGGUAGUGGGCAGCCUCAGUACAAGUAAGGCGGCGAAAUGGAACGCGGUUACCACUAGGUAAGGUUGCAGUGGCUGUUGGGGUGGAAGGAGAAAACACUGAAGGACCAGGAGAUUGUUUGGGAGUUGGUAACAAUGGUUUGGAACCACCCAGGCUAGGCUUAAGUACCCCACGUUCCAGCUGAAUGCGCUGUUCAUGGAGCUGGGCUAGAUGCAUGGCUUCAGACAAGGUGGCUGGUUUAUAGACCAAAACGGAGUGUUUAAUGUCAGCGCGGAGCCCAGAAAUAAAGCAAUGAGUCAAGAACUGGGUCGGAAGAUGCAUCGUGUGAUUUGUAAUGGCUUCAAAUUGAGAGCGAUAAUGAGCCACGGUAGAGUUCUGCUGCAACUUUGCUAAAAUUCCCUCGGGUUCCUCUAGGUCUUGAGAACGAAAUCGCUUCCAGCACGUAAGUUGUCUAUUUCUAUGCAUCCAGUCAUACCAAUCUAAAGCGGCACCGUCAAAAUAAAAUGAAGAAAUAGUUACCCGAUCGUCCAGUUUGAUUUGAUAAAAAUCAAAGUAACGUUCUGCCUGCAUUACCCAAUGUUCAGGAUGGUCGCCGGCAAAUCGAGCCAUCUAUACCGGAGUGGGUUUAUGAUGGCCCAAAGGUGUGAAACCAACAGAAUCCAUCGAAAGAGAAGCACCUGAAGAAUCAACAAUGGAUGUCCCCUUGAGCUUAGCCAAAACGUCCUGAAGAAGAUGCCUCUGAUCUUCCACUGAAGAAGCUAAUAGGUCAAAAUCACGACGCAUCGUCGUUUGAGAAUCGACAAUCGCCUUGAUAUUAUCAUCCAAGACCUUAAGACGAGUUUGAUGUUCACCCAUGGCUGGGGAGGCUCAAUGAAAGCACCAAUGUUGUGUUUUUCACAAUUUAAGAAAUAAAAAUACCAAUGGAACAGUAAUUUUGGGUAGAUAAUGGACAGGUACUUGAUGAAAUUAUAACGAAUUACAAGGAAAAUUUGCAGAAAAUAUGAGUUGAGAGAAGAAAGUUACAGAAUUAGGGAUGGGAAAAGAAUAGAAACAUAGUGCUGAAAUCAUGACAUUUUCUAGUAUUUUUCCUCUUUAAAAAAAAGGGUAGUUGCAUGAGGGAAGUGUCAACCGUUAUUCCUUUCUACGUGCAACCAGCUGAGGUGUCACUUGACAAAAUCCUUCAGCCAUUUGGGAGCUAUUCUAGGCCGAGUGCUUCCUCUAGUAGCCUGUGUAUUUGCUAUUCCAGUAGCCUACUGCUGCCUUGGUGGAUCGUUCACAACAGUUUUUCUUAUUUUUUAGGAUUUUGGCUAAGUUUUCGGUGAUUCUGACUCCAGAUUAGUGAUCUACGUGGAAAAAGAUUUUGGGGAAAUUUUUGGUGAUAUCCGACCACUUGAGGUGACAGUCUCUAUCACUGAUAACCUGUAGCCACUGUGGAGACUUGUUGGCCUCAUGGCCAGACUUGAACCCACUUUAGAGAAAAAAAGAAGAGUAAAGUUUUUUUUUUUAAAAAAACGGGCUAAAAUGAUUUUUUUUUUCAAAAUUUCAACUUAUAUAGACAUACCAAAACAACGUCGUUUUGGCCUGACUUCAGAAAUCCCGAAACGACGUUGUUUUGACUAAUUUUCUUAUGGAUAUGUUUGACUAUUUUAAUGAACAUCGCAGACACAUUUAUUUAGUUUAUAUGAAUAAACGUGAACACAAAUAGACCAAAAAAAAAUAAACUGACGGAUCAAACCUAAUUCAUAUACAAUCCUACUCACAAGGCGGGACAAAGAUUACUACAGAAUUAUGUGGAUUUGUUACAAUUUUAUCAGGCACAUUCCUCCUUCACAAAAACAAAGACAUGGGAAAAAAUUCUAGUGGCAGACUCCCUGUUUAUACAUCUCUUGAACCAAAUACAAUCGCCGAAUCUAGAUAGUUAGCCCUACAGGUUUGGAAUUCGUAUUUGGAUUCUAAUCCAUAGCUUUCUUGCAUUUAGUUUGUAAUAGGCCAAUUUAGCCCGAGCUCACAAAAAAAUAAUAAACCCAAAAUAAUAAAAUAAAGUCCAAGUCCAGUCCAAAAUUGUAUCAUUUGGCCCAAUCAGAAUGACCCAUUACUUGAAAAAGGAUAUGCAAUCUUAGAUAUGAUAUGCAAUCUUAGAAGAUAAGAUUUUGUAAUUUUAGAUAUUUAAUUUAUAGAUACCCUUUAAAUCUUAACCGUUGAUGAAAUUGAUCUAUACCGUUGGAUUUGGGGAGACUCAACUAUAAAUAGAGGCCUCCCCCUUCAUUGUAAAACACUGGAGUUGGGAGCAAUAAUAAAUCUUAAGAGCAUCCACUCAAAUUUAUCCUUCUCUUGCGUUCUUAUUUUCUGUGGCUUGUUCUUAUUUUGUUUUUCGUUCAUCUUCGUUUCUUUUUAAGUUGCUUUCAUUUGAGUUGGAUUUUGGUGGAGGAAUUUCUUUGAAUCUUCAUAUUGUGGGAGUAAGGCUGCUUUAAGCGUUUUUUAACCUUUUUUAAUUAUCUAUUUAAUUGUUUAAUCAUUAAUUAUUCUCUUACUUUUAUUUGUUUAUUUAUCUAUCAACUUUCUUAUUUACAUAUUGUUCAUUCAUUAAACCAUUCUUAUCAUUCUUUUAUUUUUUCAUUAAUUAUAUAUUUUAUUUGUUUUUAAUAUUAUGUCACACAUGUUGUUUAUUUUUUAAAAACUCGUGUUAUAAAUCAUUCAUUUUAAAUUGUUUGAUUAUUUGCCUUAAAUUUUUUUCCAUAUAUUAUCAAUUGCAAUUUAUAUUUUAUACUAUCUAUUUUUUUCCAUAUUUUGGCCCUCAGUUUGGUUUUAUUCUCAUUUUUUUUCCUUUUAAUUCUGUUUUAAAUUCAAUUUAAUCCUCACAAGUUUGAUUUAAUUUGUUUGUGUUUUAUUUAUUUAAGUAUUGAUUAUCAUGUUUUUUCAAAAUUUUGAAUCUGAUGUUAUUUGAAUGUUUAUACUUAUUAUUAUUAAAUUAAUCAUUAAAAUUAUCUAAGUGUAUUGUAUAUUAUUAUUUUAGAUUUAUCAUGUUUUAUUGUUUGUGAUUUAUCAAUAUUAUUAUUUUAUAUUUAUUGUUAACAUUAUUUUAAAUUUAUCAUGUAUAUCUAUUUCAAAUUUAUCAUUAAUAUUUUUAAAUUUAUUGUAUGCUAUUAUUUUGGAUUUAUCACGUAUGAUUAUUCUAGAAUUAUCAUCAAAAUUUUUAAAUUUUAUAUGUAUUAUUAUUUCAAAUUUAUUAUAUAUUAUUUAUUGUAAACUAUCCAAUUCAUUUUAAAUUGUAGAUAUUAUUUGUAUUAAAUUGUACAUUCAUAUAUAUUAUUAUUUUUAACUCAUAUAUAUUGUUUAUUUUAAAAUUUUCAUCCUAUAAUUUAUUGAUUAUUAUUUCUCCUCUUGCCAUUGAUUUCUUUAGUAUAUCUUUUAAAAUUGAUUAUUAAUUCAUUUAAUUUUAAAAUAUUGAUAUUGGUAUUUGUAUAAUGUAUGAUUGAAAUUAUUGUUGCCAUGCAUGUUUAUAUUUGUUUAUUAAUUAUUUGUUAUUCAUUAGUGUGUGAUUUAUUUACAAAUUAUCCUUUUGCGUCGUAUGUUAUCAUUUAAUCACAUUACAUUUUAUUCAAAAGUUUAUAAAACAAGACUCGAUAUUUAAGAUUUUCGAGAAGAUUAUGCCCUAACUUACUGGGCUUCAAUUUUCUCUUUAAAUUCAAAAUAGCCGAGUAUCCCUUUUUUCAAUAAAAUCAUACAAAUUUCUAAUAAAAGUUUAUUCUCAAGAAUUCAAAGGGUUGUGUCCUAACUCACUGGAUGUGACAUUUUGUUAUCUCGAGACGAGUUUUUAAAACAAAAGCAAAUUAUUCAUUCGACCUUAAGACAUUAAAUAAUUAAUUUGGUACCAAUUUUAGGCGUUACGAGGGUGCUAAUCCUUCCUCGUACGUAACUGACUCCCGAACCCAUUUUUUUUAAAACUCGUAGACCAAAAUCGUUUUCAGGUGAUCCAAUCAUAUCCCAAUAAAGGAUUGGUGGCGACUCCAAUUCUCAUUUUUAAGUCGAAACUAAAAGUUUUUUGUUUUCAAAAAGUGGUUUCGACAGCUUGGUGACUCCACUGGGGACCUAAGAGAGUCGAGCCAUAAAUUAAUUAAUUUUUGUCUCAUGGUCGAAAAAUCAAAUUUUGUUUUAAAUUACGUUUUUCCUUCGCAUUCAUUGGUUUUCAUCAUGGCAUACUUGCUUGGUUUAAGUCUGUAAAUUUGUAUUUUGCAUUACAUAAGUUGGUCGAAUUUACCCCUUUAAGUGGGAGUGAGAAGCUAGUCCUUCGUGAGGUUUUCACCUCCGUGCAGGGUAGUGGACCGCUUUCGGAAUAAAUCCGUACCUAUGUCUUCGUGAGAUUUUCAUCUCUGUGCAGCCAUAGGGAAAUGUAUUCCCCUGAACCAAACUCGGUCCAUAUGAGCCUAUAAUGGGUGAGGAUCGAGGAAUCUGCUGGUUCGGGUACCUUUGCUCUAGAAGCCAAAACCUCAUAUAGUGAGCUUUAGAAACUUGCCCUAGGUAGAACUAUACCAAACCUUAGCCAAUUCUUGAAUAGGUGUUUUUAUUAUUUCCUGUUUGUGAUGAAUUAUGUUUUUAUACAUGAUACUAACUAUGGUUGUGUUUUGUUGUGUUUGCAUGGCAUUUUGAUUACAUUGCAUUAUCAUCAUAAAAAAAGGGUGUUGAUUCAAGUUUGAUUACUAAAUUAGAAGGCUUGUCAUGGAAAACGAAUUUCUUGAUAAAGUGGAAGAUAAUAUGGCUGCCCAAAUAUAUUUCAAAAAACAGAACAAAAAAAGUACAUGAUGUUACUUAGUGGCCCAAGGAUUCAAGCAGAUUAUUCAAGAGCUACUGACAUUCUAACUUCCUUAAAAGAGCUGAUUAGUAUUACGAGGAUGGGCAAAUGAUGGAUCGUGACCAGGAUUAAGAAAAAGGAGCUAGUAGUAGCAUCCAUUGGAAAUUUGUGAGAUUUAUCUUGAACAUACGAAUAAAGAAAGAAACCGAUGUUUCUUAGAGUAUAAGGGCGAGGCCGUACAUGCAUCCGUUUUGUGUAAAGAAGUUUGUUUUCUAGUAAAGUCUUCUAAAUGGAAUUGAAUUAGAAUCAACAUCCCUUUUUGCAUUCACUUUAUGCAUUUGCAUUGCAUUACAUCAUAUGCAUUAAAAUCCACUAAAAGGGUCCUAAUUAAUUAAAAUCAUUUUAGUUUAUCUCGAAACCGAUAAAAAAACUUACCAACCAAACCUUGUUAUGGUAUCUGAGCAAAAGACGCCAAUGAAAGAAAGUAUUAAAGAGAUGUUGGGAGGCUUUCAUAAUAAUGCCAUAGACACAGCUGAAAGAGGGACCCUGUUAGUAAUCCGUCCUAACGAAUCUAGAAGCAAGCUAAAUAAUUGGACUGCAGAAGAAAGCCCUGUAGUCUUUAGAGCUUAUUUAGAGUAAUGUUCCGAACAUUCUUGUUGUUUUUAGCCUAAAAAUAAGAGGAAAUCCUUUGUGAAAUAGGCUCAUGUCUGAAUGUUAUUCUAAUAAAACACAUUUUUGCAUUCGCUUUAAGCAAAGUGUUCUUUUAUUCUUUCAUUUGUUUGAAAUUGUCUUCCAAAUCAUUCUUUCAUUACAUUUAUAAUCAUGUUCAUAAAUUUAUAUAUUCUUUGUAUAUUCUUUGGUACCUACCGUAGGUCCACAGAUAUCAAUGACAUGAGUGACACUGCUACAAACUUAGAAUUUCCUUUUGAACGAGACAUGUGUUUAGAGGGAUCGUAUGACUUUGAAGAUGACAUAGAUUGUAGCCUAUCUCCGGACUUGUUGAGGAUGGUGGAACAGGAAGAGAAACAAAUCUUACCUCAGAAGGAGUCAAUAGAAAUUAUGAGUUUGGAAGAGGGAAAAAAGGUGAAUAUUGAAACUGAUAUUAGCACAAAGACGAGACGAGACCUCAUUAAGUUACUCUAAGAAUUUAAAGAUAUCUUCGCAUGGUCAUACCGAGAUAUGCCGGGAUUAAGCACUAACAUCGUAGUGCAUCGCCUUCCUAUAAGAGAGGAUUGCAAGCCAGUACAGUAGAAAAUCUGAAGGAUGAAGCCUGAUAUUGUGCUAAAAAUAAAGGAGGAGGUCAAAAAGUAGUUUGAUGCUGGGUUCUUACAGGUGAUCAAGUACUCUGAAUGGGUAGCCAACAUUGUCUCAGUCCCUAAAAAAGAUGGGAAAGUAAGAAUGUGCGUGGAUUACAGGGAACUGAACAAGGCCAGCCCAAAAGAUAAUUUCCCAUUACCUCAUGUCGACACUCUAGUGGAUAAUACAGCGGGCUAUUCUCUGUUUUCCUUUAUGGAUGGCUUCUCGGGAUACAACCAGAUAAAGAUGCAUCCCGAAGAUAUGGGAAAGACCACAUUCAUCACCCUUUGGGGAACGUUUUGCUAUAAGGUGAUGCCGUUUGGUUUAAAGAACGCUGGGGCAACAUAUCAAAGAGCUAUGGUAGCCUUGUUUCAUGACAUGAUGCAUAAGGAAAUCGAGGUUUAAUUUGACAAUAUGAUUUCCAAAUCUAGAAUAGAAGAGGAACAUGUGCAGGUCCUGAGGAAGCUGUUCUUAAGACUGUUCUUAAGACUGAGGAAAUUCCAGCUCAAGCUUAACCCAACGAAAUGCACUUUCAGAGCUAAGUCAGGAAUGCUAUUGGGUUUUAUAGUCAGUAAAAAAGGGAUCGAGAUUGACCUAGAAAAAGCUAAAGCGAUACGAGAUUUACCUCCACCACGUACUCAGAAGGAAGUUCGAGGUUUCUUAGGGAGAUUGAAUUACAUUGCCCGGUUUAUCUCACAACUAACUGAGAAAUGUGACCCAAUAUUUUGUCUAUUAAAAAAACAUAAUACAGGUGAAUGGGAUGAGGAAUGCCAAGAAGCCUUUAACAGGGCAAAACAAUACUUGUCAAAUACUCCAGUACUGUCACCACCUAGCCCCGAUAGGCCACUGAUACUGUAUUUGACAGUGUUUGACAAUUCCAUGGGAUGUGUGCUGGGCCAACAUGAUGAGACAGGAAAGAAAAAAGGGCAAUAUACUAUAUCAGAUUGUGAAAUGAGAUACUCGCCUAUUGAGAAAUUAUGUUGCGCUUUGAUCUGGACGACUCGGAGACUGAGGCAGUACAUGUUGUACUAUACGACUUGGCUAAUUUCAAAAUUAGAUUCUCUAAAGUAUAUGAUGGAGGCGCCUGUUUUGAAUGGGAGGAUGGCUAGAUGGUAGGUUUUACUUUCUGAAUUUGACAUAGUUUAUGUGAGUCAGAAGGCCGUGAAAGGGAGUGCAAUAGCUGACUUUCUAGCUAGUAAAGCUUUAGAAGAUUACGAGCCCUUGAAUUUUAAUUUUUCGAACGAGGAUUUGAUAUAUGUGGCAACUACUAAAGAAGAUUCCCAAGUGGGUCGCAUUUGGAAGCUAAAUUUUGAUGAAGCCUCGAACCCUGUGGGCAAUAGAAUUGAGGCAGUCUUAAUAUCCCCAGAUGGGAAUCACUAUCCUUUUACUUGCAAGUUGGAUUUUGGUUGCACAAAUAAUAUGGUAGAAUACGAAGCAUGCAUUAUGGGUAUUCGUGCUACUAUAGCGCGUGAUAUCAAAGUACUAGAGGUAUAUGGGGAUUCUACAUUGGUGAUAUACCAACUCAAAGGUGAAUGGGAAACGAGAGAUCCCAAAUUAAUCAGCUAUUGAAUGCUAGUUCUCGAAUUGAUUGAAGAGUUUGAUGAUGUUACUUUCUGCUAUCUCCCACGAGAUGAAAAUCAGAUGGCUGACGCGUUAGCUACUCUAGCCUCCAUGAUUAAAGUGAACAGACAAGAGGACAUGAAGCCUAUCUAGAUGAGCAUCUAUGAAGCCCCAGCUCAGUGUUACAAUAUCAAAAAAGGAAAAAAUAAUGAUAGCCCUUGGUAUCAAGAUAUAUUGUGAUAUGUGAAGAAUUUUGAAUAUCCUGACCAGGCAGCUGAGAAUGAUAAGAGGACUCUGAGAAGAUUAGCCAUUGAUUAUGUCCUAGAUGGAGAUAUCUUAUAUAAAAAGGGAAAGGAUCAGGUACUAUUAAGAUGUGUGGACGCUGUGGAGGCUAAGAAAAUAUUGGAGGAGGUCCAUGAGGGUAUUUGUGGAACACAUGCCAGUGGUUUCACAAUGGCUAGACAGAUUAUGAGAUUCGGAUACUACUAGUCCACCAUAGAAGGAGAUUGCAUUAAUUAUGCUAAGAAGUGCUAUAAAUGCCAAAUUUACAGUGAUAAAGUGCAUGCACCUCCUUCGCCUCUUCAUGUUAUGACUUCUCCAUGGCCUUUCUCCAUGUGGGGUAUGGAUGUCAUUGGGCCAAUAUCACCAAAGGCUUUUAAUGGGCAUCAUUUCAUCUUUGUGGUUAUCGAUUACUUUACUAAGUGGGUGGAAGCUGCUUCAUAUGCUAAUGUCACAAAGUCAGCAGUCAGCAUGUUCUUAAAAAAGGAGAUCAUAUACCGAUAUGGAAUGCCCGAAAGAAUUAUAUCUGACAAUGCAUUGAAUUUGAACAACAGCUCAAUAGCAUAGGUCUGCAGUCAAUUUAAGAUUAAGCACUAUAAUUCGUCACCGUAUCGCCCAAAAAUGAAUGGAGCAGUAGAAGCUGCCAAUAAGAAUAUCAAGAAAAUUAUGGGGAAAAUGGUUGAGACUUGCAAGGACUGGCAUAAGAAACUACCAUUUGCCCUCCUUGCUUAUCGAAUGUCAAUCAAGACUUCCACCGGGGCAACGCCUUUCUCCUUGGUUUAUGGUAUGGAGGCAGUGUUACCUAUUGAAGUCGAAAUCCCUUCUCUCUGGGUGUUGACUGAACCAAAGUUGGAUGAAGUAGAAUGGGUUCAAUCUCGGUAUGAUCAGUUGAACUUAAUAGAGGGAAAAAGAUUGAAAGCUAUUCAACAUGGUUAGAUGUAUCAAAAGUAAAUGAUGCGGGCCUACAACAAAAAGGUUCGUCUAAGAGAAUUCCACGAGGGGGACCUAGUAUUGAAAAAGAUCUUUCCCAUGCAAAGGGAUUUCAGAGGGAACUGGAUGCCAAAUUGAGAAGGUCCAUAUGUUGUAAAUAAGGCUUUUUCCAAAAGGGCUCUAAUCUUGAGGAAGAUGGAUGGCAGAAACUUGCCAAACCCUAUAAACUCAGAUGCAGUCAAGAGGUACUUUACCUAAAAGGAGAAGGAUCAAAGUGAAAACCCGCAAAGGACGCUUUGAGUCCUUAAAAAAAAGAGAAAAGGAGAGGCCAAGGUGAAAACCCGUAAAGGGUGCCUUGAGACCAAAGGGGAUUUGAGUUGAAAACCCGAAAAGGGUAGCUCAGAUUUUGAUCAAGGUGAGACAUGAGGUGAUCAAAGUAACUCAAAAUUUUGAUUGGGGCAUGUGGUGGUUUUGCUAUGCCUGAAUUAAGGAGAAAGGAGGUAUGCGAUGUUUAGGGCAUCGACAGAGUACUGUAGAUCUUCUAAACACAUGUCUUCAGAAAGUUUGUACAAAGAAGCUCAGGCUGCGAUAUCUGGGGCACCUAGCCUUCCUACUAUUUAUAUUGAACUUGUCAUCCCUGGAAUACUUUAUUCUUUGCUAUUCUUGGAAUACUUUAUUCUUUUCAAGAAACUUGUUCUCAAUCAGUUUUUUUAUAUAUUUACAUACUUUUUGACAAUUUAUUCAUUUUGAACUAUCUUAUUCUUAUCCAGUGUUAUAAUCUUUCGCACUCAUGUUGCGUUAGAAUACUGAUUAAUAGACUAAUAAAAAUUUCACAAGGGAAGUUUUGCAUAUUACUCUGGAAGUUUCUAAAUAAUACAGUAAUCUGAAACGGGACUAGUGUUUAGAAUACACCAAGCUUAAAUGUUGAAAUAUCUAGGAAUGAAAAGUCUAAAUUCAGACUAUCCCUUUAGAUAUCCCUUCAGAUUUUGUUGUCAAAAGUAUUAAUUGAACAAAAUGACAAGAUGUCAUGUUGGAGAUAAAGCUUCAAUCACCAAGCAAUAAAAAGGGGUUUUCUUGGAGAAGAGAAUAAUUCAUUGUGUAUAGGCAUGGUGUAGAGAGCCAAAGAGUUUCACAUUCCAUAUCCUUGAAUUGCGAUAAGAGAAGAUUGAGGGAAAACCAGAUUUUUUUCUCUACCCUUGGGUUACAGAAGGAAAAGAUGGUACAAAUUUUGUGUCCCAGUGGAUUGAGCCUUGAAGUUUAUAGUGGGGUAAUCUGAUUAAAUUCUGUUUUGGAUGCUGGCUGAGCAUGAAGGCGUUAUAGCACUUCGGUGAUAAGACCUUAAUAAACUUUAAGCAAUGGCAACAUAAGCGAUAAAGAAGGAUCAUUCUAAAAAAUGACAUUCUGCAUUCAUGCAAACAUCAUUCAUACAUGUCUAGUUAGGAGCAUUUGACUCACUUUGAUCAUGGCAUCCCAAUCAUUAGGCAUAAUUAGGUUCAUGCAGGUCUUGUUCCCUAGAGAAUAGACCAUUGGAAAUAGCAAAUCUUGUCUCCCUAAACAGUAGUGGAGCAGAUCGAGGACAGCAAAUCUUAUAUUCCUAAGAUAGUAAUGAAGCAGAUUCAAGCCACCGGUCCUAUCUCCCUAAGCAGCAGUGGAGUAGGUUGAAUAUUGUAGAUCCUGUCUCCCUAAGCAGUAGUGGAGCAGAUCGAAGACGGCAAAUCUUAUCUUCCUAAGAUAGUAGAGAAGUAGAUUUAAGCCACCGGUCCUAUCUCCCUGAGUAGCAGUGGAGUAGGUUGAAGAUUAUAGACUCUGUCUCCCUAAGCAGUAGCGGAGCAGGUCGAAGACGGUGAAUCUUAUCUUCUUAAGAUAGCAGUGAAGCAAAUUUAAGCCACCAAUCCUAUCUCUCUGAGCAGCAGUGGAGUAGGUUGAAGAUUGUAGAUUCUGUCUCCCUAAGCAGUAGCGGAACAGGUCGAAGACGGUGAAUUUUAUCUUCCCAAGGUGGUAGGAAAGCGAAUUUAAGCCACCAGUCCUAUCUCCCUGAGCAGCAAUGGAGUAGGUUGAAGAAUGUAGAUACUGUUUCCCUAAGCAGUAGUGGAGCAGAUCAUGAAUCUUAUCUUCCCAAGGUAGUAGGGAAGCAGAUUUAAAUCACUAGUCCUAUCUCCCUGAGUAGCGGUGGAGUAGGUUGAAGAUUGCAGAUCAUGUCUCCCUGAGCAGUAGUGGAGCAGAUCUAAGACAGAGAAUUUUAUCUCUUUGGCAUUACAGUGGAACAUAUUAAAGCUACAACAGCGAAUCUUGUUCCCCAGACAUUACAGUUAAAUAGAUUGAAGUUACAACAACAGAUCUUAUUUUCCUAGCAUUGCAAUGGAACAGUUGAAGCUACAAGUCUUAUCCCCAUAAAGUUACAGUGGAGGCAGACAGAAGAUGACGAAUCCUAUCUCCCUGACAUUGCAGUGGAGUGGAUCGAAGUAGCAACUCCUAUACCCUUGAAAAUAGUAGGUCGGAGUGAAGAUACUUACCAAAAGAAGUCAAUACUCGACAAGACCGGGCAAAAUUGGCCUUCUUUAGUCUUUGCUCUAUUCUCAUUACACGACAAUGAGUAAAGAGGGGCAGCUGUAAUAGGUCAAUUUAGCCCGGGCUCACAAAAAAAUAAUAAACCCAAAAUAAUAAAAUAAAGUCCAAGUCCAGUCCAAAAUUGUAUCAUUUGGCCCGAUCAGAAUGACCCAUUACUUGAAAAAGGAUAUGCAGUCUUAGAUAUGAUAUGCAAUCUUAGAUAAGAUAUGCAAUCUUAGAAGAUAAGAUUUUGUAAUCUUAGAUAUUUAAUUUGUAGAUACCCUUUAAAUCUUAGCCGUUGAUGAAAUUGAUCUAUACCGUUGGAUUUGGGGAGACUCAACUAUAAAUAGAGGCCUCCCACUUCAUUGUAAAACACUGGAGUUGGGAGCAAUAAUAAUUCUUAAGAGCAUCCACUCAAAGUUCUUCUUCUCUUGCGUUCUUAUUUUCUGUGGCUUGUUCUUAUUUUGUUUUUCGUUCAUCUUCGUUUCUUUUUAAGUUGCUUUCAUUUGAGUUGGAUUUUGGUGGAGGAAUUUCUUUGAAUCUUCAUAUUGUGGGAGUAAGGCUGAUUUAAACAUUUUUUAACCUUUUUUAAUUAUCUAUUUAAUUGUUUAAUCAUUAAUUAUUCUCUUACUUUUAUUUGUUUAUUUAUCUAUCAACUUUCUUAUUUACAUAUUGUUCAUUCAUUUAACCAUUCUUAUCAUUAUAUUGUUCAUUCAUUUAACCAUUCUUAUCAUUCUUUUAUUUUUUCAUUAAUUAUAUAUUUUAUUUGUUUUUAAUAUUAUGUCACACAUGUUGUUUAUUUUUUAAAAACUCGUGUUAUAAAUCAUUCAUUUUAAAUUGUUUGAUUAUUUGCUUUAAAUUUUUUUCCAUAUAUUAUCAAUUGCAAUUUAUUUUUUAUAAUAUCUAUUUUUUCCAUAUUUUGGCCCUCAGUUUGGUUUUAUUCUCAUUUUUGUCCUUUUAAUUCUGUUUUAAAUUCAAUUUAAUCCUCACUAGUUUGAUUUAAUUUGCUUAUGUUUUAUUUAUUUAAGUAUUUAUUAUUAUGUUUUUUCAAAAUUUUGAAUAUGAUGUUAUUUGAAUGUUUAUACUUAUUAUUAAAUUAAUCAUUAAAAUUAUCUAAGUGUAUUGUAUAUUAUUAUUUUAGAUUUAUCAUGUUUUAUUGUUUGUGAUUUAUCAAUAUUAUUAUUUUAAAUUUAUUGUUAACAUUAUUUUAAAUUUAUCAUGUAUAUCUAUUUCAAAUUUAUCAUUAAUAUUUUUAAAUUUAUUAUAUACUAUUAUUUUGAAUCAAGUUUAAUAUAAUUAUAUUAAUAAUAUAUUUUUAUUUUUAAUAUUAUAAUUUUAUUUUAUUAAUAAAUUUUAAUAAUUUAAUUUAAUUUUAAAUAAUGUUCUCAAUAUAUUAUUAAAAAUAUUGAUAUUGAUAUUUUAAUGAUAAAAAUAUAUAUAAUUUAUAAAUAUUCAAUAAUAAAUAUUUUACAGUAUAAAAUAUGGUUAUUUUAAUUGUCAUUCUUCAAUGGUAUUUUCAAUGCAAUCACAGUCCAUUCUCCACAAUCAACAAGGAAAGAUGUUUUAAAUAGGUUAGACUUCAAAGUCGAGCUUGCAUAUAUUUGGAAUACUAACCUCAUUUAAUGUCUAAAAAAAUUAUAUCAAUAAAUCGCGAACAUCAAAUAUAACGAGUAUAAAAUUGUUGCGAGGAUUAUAGAGGUGACUACUUCUGAUAGGCAACCCAAAAACUUGACUCAACAAAUUUUAAUAUCUAAUCUAUUAUUUGAUUUCUUUUAAAUUUUUAUUUAUUAAAUUUAAAUAUUGAACAUAUUUCAACAUAUGAUUAUUUGUUUUGGACUUUAAUAAUAAUACUUAGACUUAAAAAGACUGAAACAUCAGCAUUAAUAAGAAGAACAAGACUUCAACAAAGUGGUUGAUCAUAGUUUUCAUGCAUUAAUGAUAUCGCAAAAAGACUUCAACAGUUGCAUCUGCACGCAAUGCCCAAGACUAAAGAUUAAGGCCAACAAUAUUUAUAUUUGCUUUUUUAAUGACUUCAACUCAUGCAGUAAUGAGGAGGCAAAAGACUUGAACAUUUGCUUGCAUGACUAAUCUCUCAUACUAUUAGUCAUAGUUUCAACACUUAAUUAGAAUAGUUUAAAGUUUAGAUACUAAUUUAGAUCUGAUUCAUAGUUUGAGGCAAAUCAAUUGAAACAUAUAGAAUAAAGAUGAAGCAAAAAGACGAAAAUAUCAUAAUUAAUAUGACUGAUAGGAUACAAAUAUUUUAAUCAACAGAGUACAAAUUCUGAUAAUUUUUAGAUUUGAAUAUUUUAAUUAUUAUCUAUAAUGAAUUUGGAAUAGCUGUAAAUAUUAAUAUUUGAAUUUACGGUAUUCAAAUUAGUUUUAGUUUUAAUCACUAGAGUUAGGUGAGAUAUAUAGUAAGGAUCUUUCUUACCUUAAUCCGUGGUUGAGGGUUUGAUCCUCGCAUUAAGUAUGAAGCAACUUUAAAGCUCAUGGCAUCUACUCCCUAAAUGGGCUUACAAAAUGCAAAUAUUUACUUACCGACUAGAUCUUGAGAAAUAUAUUUUUUUGGUUUUAUAAAUAAUGGAGUAGAAUUUCGGAAUCAAUUAACUACUUUACUUUUAAAAUUUAAGAUAAAUUCUUUAUUUUAAAUUUGAAUAACAAUACUAUGAUUUAAUCCACAUAAUAAAUGGUUUUAAAUUGAAAGCAAACAUAUGGAGUGAACUUCAAAUAUUAUAAGAAAAGUGCCAAACAUUGUGCAAAUGAAAGCAAUUCCUCAAACCAAACCAUUAUUGACUCUUUUUAGUCUUUAGUUUCAUUGUGUUUCUAUUGAUUUGAUACACUUUGACAAGUUCAUUGAAAAGUCACCAACAAAAUUUAGUCUUUGAGCCAUCAAUCUCUCUCAACCAGUUAAGAAAAUCACCACAAUUCCUUUACUUUUUUAUGAAUUGACUAAAAUGAAUUGGUAGAAACAUUAUUUUCAUGCAGUACUGAUGGGGAUAAGACUAAGAUUAAUAGUAUUUUAUUCUUAUACUAAGACUUAGUCUAAGGCCAACAAUAUAUUUUACUAUUAUUUAGUUAAAAGUUUUUGAAGUUUAGAGAUAAAUUUAGAAUUCAACUUAUAAUUUGGGGUGUUAAAUUUAAUUAAACCCUUUAAUAGAUCACAACAUAUUUAUAAGUUUGGUACUGCUUCAUAAAUUAGGACAUAAAAGCACUAUAUUAAAAUUAAUUUCGUAUAUAAAUUAAUUCUUUUGGGUGUUAUACCAAAUUUAAUUAAAAAAUUUUAAUAGUAAUUUUUAUUAAAAAUUAAAUUAUGUAAGAAUAAUUAUAUAUAAUCUAUAUCUAUAUACCUAUAUAUAAAAAUUGGUUUCUACCUUCUUUCUUUUUACAUGUGGCAUACCCAAUCAUUUUUCCUUUUUUUUUUAAAUUUACAUUUUACAAAAAAAUUAAAAUUAAAAUUUAGUUUCUUUAAUAUGCCUAAAUUUGAGAUUUAAUCUAUACUUUAUUUUUUAACAUAAUUUAGGCACUAUAUUUUUAUAAUGUAAUAGAUUAGUCCUUACACGUGGCACAUCCAACCAUUUUUGUUGUCCUUUCCUUUAUCCUUUUUUUUUAAUUUUACAAUAAAAUGUUAAAUUUCAGUUUCAAUCCCUCUAAUAUGUCUAAAUUUGAGAUUUAAUCUAUAUACUUUAAUCUUUAACAUAAUUUGGGCCCUACAUCUUUAUAAUGUUAUUAAUUAGUCCAAAUUAUUAAUAUGAUUAACUUUUCGGUGAAACAUUACGUGGUUAUUGAUAGUUUGCAUACAUAAGAGUCUUAGAGACUGACACAUUACUUUCCAUUUCUUUUAGGUUUGCAUCGCUUUUUUGUAAGCUAUACUGAAACUUAAUAUUUAAUCUAUAUAUUUAAUUUUUGAUAUAAUUUAGUUCAUCUACUUUUGUAAUGUAAUUAGCUAGUCAAAAUAGUUAAUGUUGUUGGUUAUUUCUAUCAAAAUGCUAAUGUCAAUUUUUCUUAAAAACAAUAUGUUUCUGAUAGGAUUUUUUUUUUAUCGUGGCGAUGUGAAUGAGUGUUUUUAAGAAAAGUCUUUAUAAAAUAUUUUAAAAGUUAUUUUUAUUGUUACAUGACUACCAAUUGAUUUUUUUUUAAUUUCAAAAUAUCACCUCAGAGAAUUUAAUAGAAGAAUUUUAAUGAUAGUAUAAUUGAAUCAAAAAUUUUAAAUUUUAAAAGUAGAAAAUCAUAUUUCUAAAAAUAAAAAUAGAGAAGCGAAAUUCUAAAUGUACAAAAUAGAGAGAAUUAAAAUAUAUUUUAACCUUCAAAUAUUUUACUCUAUAAUUAUAUAUUUUUACUCUAUAAUUCUCACUUCCACUUUAUCUUUGUUAAUUUCCUACUUAUUUCUAUUUUUUCUUUUGCUUAUGAAUCUAAACAGAGAAAAAAAAGGACAAAAAAAAGAAAGAAAUGAAUAGUAUGAAUUAAAAUUUGAGAUUUGAUCCCUAUUAAAAAUUAAAAAUUUAUUGUUUCUAUUUUUUUUAAUUUAAAAAUCAUAGCUAAAUCCUUCUACACGUAAUUUAAAAUUUUUGUGCAUUCAAUCAUCAGAAUUUCCACUCCUUGUGCCCAUCGGUUCAUCUCAAAUCACCUAAGAAACUUGCUAUAAUUUGUUUUUAUAAUGACUUAUACAAAUCGGUUGAACAUUGAUUUCAUGCAGUAGUGGUCCACCAAGAAGACUUAGGGUAAUUUUGGAUAGGUGGUGUAUUUAUUUGCUGUUAGUCUAAAAAUAGCGAUAACGGUAAGAUUAGAUAUUGUAACGAUACUGUAACAUGAGAUAAAAAAUAAGCUAAAUGCAUCGCACCGCACCGCCCAUCCAAAUCCACCCUUAGACAUUAACAUGCAUGCCAAAACAAUUAAGACUAAGGCUAAUAAAAUCUCAUAUUAUCAUUUUUUUUGUUAGUCCAAAAUAAAAAAAAUAUUAAAAAAAUCUAAGUUAGACAAUUAUUGAUAAUUUAAGGACUUAAUUGAAAUAUUUUUAAAAUUUAGAUAUUAAUUUAUAAUUUAAUCCAUUAUUCAGGGGGAAAAGAUCAGAACCUUGGAAUAUUAUUCAUACAGAAUAAAGAUGCAGAAAAAAGAAUGGUCUUCAUUUCUUUCGUUCUUUAUCAUUUUAAUUAACUUUAAGGAAGCUUCAAAGUAAAAAUUUAAAUAUGUUUCUUCCCAAGAAAUUAUAUUAACAACUUAAUGUAAAUAAUGAUUUGAAUAUUGGAAUUAAUUAUUAAGUAAAAUAAUAAUGUUGUAUGGAAACUACAAAUUUAUGUAUAAAUGUGUUGCAUGAAAACCAUCCUCCUUCAUACCCAAUCAACAUGAAGACUCUUCAGUCCAUUGUUUCACUUUUUCUACCUUUCUUCUUUCUCUUCUCAUCCUUUCUUUCUCAAACUCAUCUCCUAAUGCAGUGCCUUAAUAAAUAAGUUGUAUGCCAAACACAAUCCUCCUUCACACCCAUCCAACAUGAACACUUUUCGUUUCCUUAUUUCACUAUUUCUCUUAUCAUGCAUCUUUCCUCUUCUCUUGUCUUUUUUACCUCUUCAAACUAAUCUCCCAAUGCAUUAAUGCCUUGAUGACUAGAUAUCUCCUAUGCUGCAAUUGCAACAUCAUCUUUACUAUGCCCCUAAUUUUCAUUUCUCUUCCAAAUUUGAGCUAUGUGAUGUCAACACUGAUUGUUGUUCUUGGGAAGGAGUCACUUGUGAUGCUUAUGGUCAUGUCGUUGGCAUUGAUGUUAGUUACAAAAACCUUUCUGGUAUCUUCCACUCAAUAUUCGAUCUCCAUCAUCUUCAACACCUGAAUCUUGCUGAAAACAACUUUAAUACCACUUUGCAUUCUUAUGGGUUUGUGUUGAAGUUGGCCUGCAUGCAGCCAAGAAGUAGAGAAGCACCCUGAGCCAUGAAUGUUGCAAUUGAAGAUGGUGCUGUUUUUUUGUUUAGUUUUGUUACUUUAAUUAACAUUUUGUAACUUAGUUAGAUUCAAACCAAGUUGUUAAUGUACUUGAUGUGUUUGUCAAUGUUUUGAGUUGAUAAACCAGCUUCACUAAGUGUGCAAGUUAUGUUUCAUUAGUUUCAAGGUUACUUAGUGGCAGUAGGUAAUGUUUAGGUAACAAUAUGCUUAUUUUUAACUAGCUUAUGUCUGGUAUAUGUAUUGGCAUUGUGCCAUCCUUCAAUGCUAAUGAAAAUUCAUCAAAAUUCAUCAUAAAAUUUCCUUUUCUUGCUUUCUUUUGUCUUUCAAGCCCGAUUCUAUUUUGUUUGCUCAGCAGGUAUCAAGCCUUCAAGCUCAAGAAAUUGCUAACUUCAUUCAUUUCACAUUCUUAGUUCCAACAAUUGGUAUCUAGAGCUCAUCUUCUUAGUGGACCUGUCAUUUUUCAUUCCUCAAAACUAUGUCUUCUUUAGGUUCUCUCCAGCUGCACCACCAGUCUUCAAUGGAGAAUGCUACCACAUUUGGGUAGUAAAGAUGAAAACCUACCUGCAGGCAUUCGACUUAUGGGAAGUGGUUAACUCGGAUGUUGAACCAGCACCUCUAAGAGUCAAUCCCACAGUGGCUUAGAUCAGGCAGCACAUAGAUGAAAGAACUAAGAGACACAAGGCCAUGUCUUGCAUCCAAAACAGUGUGUCUGAUGUGAUUUUCACAAGGAUCAUGGUUUGUGAGUUACCAAUAGGCCUGGGACAGGCUGAAGGAGGAGUUUCAAGGGACUGAAAGAAUGAGACAACAAUAAUUAGUAAUUUGAGAAGGGACUUUGAAAUUUGAAGAUGAAGGAAGAAGAAAUAGUGAAGCAAUAUUCAAAUAGAAUUAUGGUUGUUGUGAACAGUAUCAGAUUGCUCGGGGACCAGUUUAGUGAAGCAAGAAUUAUAGAGAAGGUUAUCUCAACCUUGCCUGAAAGAUAUAAAGCCAAGAUCUCAUCCCUUGAAGACUCGAAAGAUCUGAUUAGCAUCUCGUUGACUAAGUUGAUUAAUGCUCUUUAUGCUUAAAAGCAAAGAAGAGCCAUUAAACAUGAAGAGCAUAAAAAAUGUGCAUUCCAAGCUAAAAGUAGACUUGCCUCGAGCUCCUCUAGCUAUAAAUGGAAGAAGACCUAGAAAGAAUGUCUAGAAGAGAUGGAGUAAGAAAAAGAUAUCCACCUUACCCACAUUGCAAAAGGCUUAGUCAUCAGGGAGAAAACUAUUGGUUCAAGUCUAAUGUGCAGUGCAAAGUCUGCAAAAAGAUGGGCUAUGCUGAGAAAGUUUGCAGAAACAAAGGCAAGUUGAGACAAAACCAACCUCAACAGCCAAGAGCUGAAGCUCAAGUGGCAGAAGAAGGUAGUGACCAAGAAGAGCAAGCUUUUGUUGUUUCAUGCUCGACUGCCAAAAGAAAAGCCACAAAAGAAUGGCUGAUAAACAGUGGUUGCACAAACCACAUGACUCCUAAUGCUGCUAUUUUCAAGACCUUAGAUAGAACCUUCAACACAAGGGUGAAAUUUGACAAUGGACACUUCAUCAAAGUAGAAGGCAAAUUGGAUGUGCUGAUUGACACUCUUACAGGUAUCAAACUUGUUUCAAAUAUCUUGUUUGUGCCUGAAAUUGAUAGAAAUCUGUUUAGUAUGGCUCAGUUACUAGAAAAGGACUAUUCAGUAAAGCUCAAAGGCAAAGAAUGCCUGAUUAGUGAUCCAUGUGGAUCAAAACUAAUGUCAGUGACCAUGGCUGACAGAAGUUUUGUUGUGGACUGGAACAAGGGUUCUGACAGUGCCUAUACAGCUGCUUUGGAUGAACCCAAGCUAUGGCAUAAGAGGCUAGGCCAUGUCAACUACAAGUCACUGCCUCAGCUAACCAAAGAAGACUUGGUUGAAAACUUCUCCAAAUCAGUUAAGAAAGAAGAAGUGUGUGAAGUGUGUCAGCUAGGAAAGUGAGCUAGACUGCCAUUUCCUUUGAACAAGGCUAGGAGAGCCUUUGAAAAAUUGCAACUAGUCCACACUGAUCUGUGUGGCCUUAUGAAGACACAAUCUUUGAAUGAAAAUAGGUAUUUUAUCAUUUUCAUUGAUGACUACUCAAGAUAUUACUGGAUUUACUUCCUAAAGGACAAAUCAGAAGUGGCCUUAGUAUUCUGGAAGUUCAAGGCUGUAGCAGAAACAGAAACAGGUUGCAAGCUAAAGACAUUGAGGUCAGAUAAUGGGACAGAGUAUACCUCAGCUAUGUUUCAGGGCUUUUGUGAUGAAGCAGGUAUCAAGCACCGACUCACCAACACCUACACACCUCAACAGGAUAGUGUUAGUAAAAGAAAGAAUAGAAGCUUGAUGGAUAGGGCAAGAUGUCUAUUGUUUGAGAGAGAUUUUCCCAAAAUCUUGUGGGCUGAGGUAGUUAACACUGCUGUAUAUCUUCAAAAUAAGUUACCAACCAAGGCAUUGGUUCAUAAAACUCUAUUCGAGGCCUGGUUUGGGUUCAAACCAUCAAUUGCUCACCUGAAGGUCUUUGGAUGCAUAUGCUAUGUACAUGUCCCAGCAGUAAAAAGAGAAAAGUUGGCCAAGAAGGCUCAACUUGGCAUGCUGGUGGGCUAUAGCAGUGUCAAGAAAGGCUAUAGGGUCUUGGCCCCAUCAUCCAAUGAAGUUUUCGUGAGCAGAGAUGUAGUAUUUGAUGAGAAGUGAGGUUGGAAAUGGGAUAAAAAUGAACCAGAGACUGCUGCUGAAGACCUAGCGACAAAUCAAGCUGAAGCUGAUCGAAAUUAUCCUGAAAUGGGCAUUGAUGAUGUGCCAGUUAGAGGAACCAAACCAUUGGCUAAAAUAUAUAAGACGACUGAUGUGGCUGCUAUUGAACCAAAUUGUUUUGAAGAGGAUGAAGCUCAACAAGGUUGGAAACAGGCAUGCUUGAUGAAAUGAGCAUGAUUCACAAGAAUAAAACCUGGGAGGUCGUUGCAAGACCAGCCAACAGGAAGGUUAUAGGAGUGAAGUGCGUGUUUCGAGCCAAGCAUAAAGCUGAUGGAACUUUGAACAAGCUGAAAGCAAGAUUGGUAGUGAAGGGAUUCAGUCAAAGGUAUGGCAUUGAUUACCUUGAAACUUUUGCACCUAUGGCCAAGUUUGACACAAUUAGACUGCUGGUUACCUUGGUUGCACUAAAUCAUUGGAAGAUUCAUCAACUCGAUGUAAAAUCUGCCCUCCUCAAUGGUUUUCUUGAUGAGGAGAUAUAUGCUGAACAAUCUGAUGGUUUCAUAAAAAAUUAUAAUAGUUUUUGCAUAAUAUAAAUUUUAGAAUUUUUUAUGAAUAUUUUGAUUUUAAAAAUUAUUUAAUUUUUUUUUGUAAUUUUUGUUGAGAGAUUAAUUUGUUAAUUUUUAAAAUUGACAGGAAUCAAAGAAGUAUAUAUAUCAAUCUGUUGUUCGAAUUAUUUGAGUUAUUUAAAUUAUUAAAUUCAACUCAAAUUUCGAAUUAUUAAUAUUUUAAUAAUAUAAAACAUUAAAAAUAUUAAAAUUAAAUAAAAAUUAAAUAAUAAUAUAGAAAUGAAAAUAUUUCUCACGCUCUAAGAAAGUUUGAAAGCUGAAAUUUAAAUAUGUCUCUUUCAAAAGUGAAAAAUUCUAUAUAUUCUAUCAUCAAAAUUUCCACUCAUUGUGUCCAUUAAUUUAUAAGGUGACUUGACUUGUACACAUUGGUUGAACGUUGUUUUUGUGCAAUAAAAACUUGGACAUUUGCAUGCAAUGCCCAGGACUUAAGAAUUAAAAUACCUAUAAUAUUUCAUACUAUCAUUUUUUCUAGUCCUAAAUUAAAGAUUUUAAAAAUUCCAAAUUAAAACGUAAUUUGAGAACUUAAUUAAAGCAUUGUAAAGUUUAUGUGUCAAUUUAAAAUUUGAUGUAUAAUUUUGCGAUGUGAGGAGAAUUAACCAUUUGAUAAAUCAUUACAUAUUUACAAGUUGGAUACUCAUUAACAAAUUGAUUUUAUAUUAUACGUUAAAAUUUAUAUUUUUGGUGCUAUAACAAAAUUUACUUAAAAAAUUAAAUUGUAAUUUUUUAUUUAAAAAAAUUAAAUGAUGUAGAAAUAAUUAUAUAUAACAUAAAAAUGAUAAAAUUUACCUGAGUUUAAAAUAAUUUAAAGUUAAAAUAUUUGUAACAUGGAUUUUUUUUUCUAAAAAAUCGAUACCUAAAAUAUAUAAUUUAAACUUAAAAUAUCAGUUGAAUUAUCAUCUUUGCUCAUCCUAUGCGUAGUAAUGAUUCCAAUAGGGUUUAAAGUGCUAUAAUUUAGUCUUUUUUAAUGACUUAGAUUUAGACGAUUCUUUAUAGAGAGUAAGGAGUGGGCAAGAAAACUACAACCUUGGCAUUGAUAAGUUAAUGAGAUCGAUAGAAUAUUAAAAUCUCAUUCUUCAAAAUUAAAAUUAACAAAAAAGAAAGACGUAAGGCAAAUUAGGGGUGAAUUUAACAACUUAUUUCUAAUACUAAAAAUAAAUAAUUUAUGCAUAAUCACUAACAGCUUUAAAUAAUACUUGAUGGAGUCUUUAUUUGGCAAAAUGACUUAGAAAUUGCAUGCAAUGCCAAUCACUCAUAAACAUUGUUCUAUGGAAACUACACACUUGUGUAUAAAUAAGUUGUAUGCCAAACACAAUCCUCCUUCACACCCACCCAACAUGAACACUCUUCAUUUCCUUAUUUCACUCUUUCUCUUCUCAUGCUUCCUUCCUCUUCUCUUGUCUUUUUCACCUCCUCAAAACUCAUCUCCCCAUGCAAUGCCUUGAUGACCAGAGAUCUCCUCUGCUGCGAUUGCAACAUCAUCUUUACUAUGCCCCUCAUUUUACUUUCUCUUCCAAAUUUGAGCUUUGGCAACCCAACACUGAUUGUUGCUCUUGGGAAGGAGUCACUUGUGAUGCUUAUGGUCAUGUCGUUGGCAUUGAUCUUAGUUACAAAAACCUCUCAGGUAGCUUUCACCCCAUAUUCAAUCUCCAUCGUCUUCAACGCCUUAAUCUGACUGGAAACAACUUUAAUACCACUCUGUUUUCCUAUGGGUUUGAUAAACUCCAAAAUCUAACUCAUCUCAACCUUUCAAGCUCAUGUUUCCAUGGCCAAAUUCCAGUGGAGUUCUCAUUCUUAAAAAGGUUAGUCUCUCUUGAUCUAUCCAAUCAAUAUUCUUGUUAUUUGAGAUACUACGAAGUUCUCUACCCUGGCUUCUACAACUAUUUUUCAUUGCCUUACGAACUUCAACAGCCUCUUAAAUUAGAGAAUCCAAACUUCAAGACAUUAAUCAAGAAUUUGAGGUUUCUCACAGAGCUUUAUUUGGAUAGUGUGGACAUUUCAACUCAAAGUGCUAAAUGGUGUGAAACCACAUCUCUUGUACUUCCAAACCUGCAUGUGUUGAGUCUGUCAAGCUGUGCUUUGAAAGGUCCAUUAUGUUCUUCACUCCCAAGACUCUCUUUUCAAAACUUAUCCUUGAUUGGAACCCAAUCUCUUAUUUACCUCCCAAUUUCUUGGAAAUUUCCUCUCGUUUGGUUUCUCUCAGUUUGAGGAACUGCAAUUUGAGUGGCCAUUUCCAACUGAAAAUCUCUUAUCGCCAAAAAUGCAAAGCAUUGACAUUUCAGAUAAUGACUUUCUUAAUGGUCAGUUGCCAGAAUUUCCAGCAAACAAUGCUUUACAGAGUUUGUCGCUUUUUUAUACAAAUUUCAGUGGAAAACUACCCCAAUCAAUUGGUAAUCUCAAGUUCUUGACUAAUUUAGAUCUUGAUGGUUGCAACUUUUUUGGACCCAUUCCAUCGUCAAUUGCAAAUCUUAGUCACCUGGUCAACCUAGAUCUAGGAGGGAACAAGCUUUCUGGAUCAAUACAUUCUUCUUUAUUUACUCUUCCAUCGUUGAAGACCUUGUAUCUUGGAGAAAAUCAAUUGGUUGGGAAAAUUGAUGAGUUCCCCAAUGCAUCUUCUUCUUUGAUUGAAGUACUGUAUAUAGGCAAUAAUUAUUUAAGAGGAGCAAUCCCAAAGUCAAUUCUUCAACUUCCAAGGCUUGAAUGGAUUUAUAUCGAAAGCAAUAGCUUUAGUUCCAUGAAGCUUGACAUGUUUGUCCAAGUCAAAAACUUAAGGACUCACUGGCUAAACAAAAUAAGCUUGUUAAUUGAAAGCGACAACAGAAGUCUUACUUUUCCCCAAUUAGAGAGCCUAAGCUUAUGGUCAUGCAACCUUACUGAAUUUCCAGAAUUCAUUAAAAGGCAAGACAAGUUGGUUGACUUAGAUCUUUCUAACAAUCAUAUCCAUGGUGUUGUGCCUAAUUGGUUGUGGAAGAGCAGUCUUUCAUCCCUACACCUUCCUUUCAAUGUGAUUGAUUUUCCAAAACAGCUUCCCUUAAAUGAUUCAAACUUCUCAUUUCCAAUGUUGACAGAAUUGGAUUUGAGAUCCUGUAACAUAAGUGCGUUUCCAGAGUUCUUAAAGAGUCUAGAAAAUAUAAUAUUUCUCGACCUUUCAAAUAAUAAAAUAAGUGGUGCAAUACCAAACUGGGCGUGGAAGAAAAGUUUGCGGUAUCUGUAUCUUGCUAAUAACCAUCUCUCAUCUUUGGACCAACUUUUACCCAAUCAGAGUUCAACUUCUUCACAAACCUCCUUGACUAGACCUAUUUGCAAUUUGAGUCAACUUAGAAAUUUCAAUGCAUCUCAUAACAAUUUGAGCGGCACGAUUCCAAAUUGCUUAGGCGAAAUGAAUGAUCUCCUAUUGUUGGAUCUGCAAGGAAAUAACUUCAGUGGAAUGUUACCAAAAUUUUCAAAAGCAACCCACUUAUAUAUUCUCAAAGUUAGUGAGAAUAGAUUGGAAGGGAAGUAGCCCAGAUCAUUAGCUGAAUGCACUCAGCUUGAAGUUUUAGACGUGGGAAACAACAAGAUGAAGGAGAAAUUGCCUUACUUGACGGUUCUAAUAUUGCGGGAAAACAGAUUUUAUGGUCAAAUUAAACAUAGAUUUGUUUUCCCAACUUUGGAUGUAUUGGACAUUGCUUCAAACCAGUUUUCUGGUGAACUAUCCAUUGAUUUCCUUCAACCCACUCGACUAAGGUCACUCAAAAUAGGUGGGAAUAAAUUAGAAGGGAAGUUGUCGAGAUCAUUAGCCAAUUGUAAAGCACUUGAGGUUCUGGACCUUGGAAAUAAUAUGGUUCAUGAUACAUUCCCAUUUUGGUUAGAGAAGCUGCCUUCCUUGAAGGUUGUCAUUUUGCGAGCAAGCAGAUUCUACGGCACGAUUACAAAAUUCAACACAGAACGUGGGUUUCCAAAGCUACGCAUAUUGGACAUUGCUUCCAACAAUUUUUCAGGCGACUUGUCCAUUGAAUUUUUGCAAAGCUUGAAGGCAAUGAUGCAGUUAACAAAUGAAGACAAAGCUAAGCUGGAUUACAUUGGGGAGAAUUAUUAUCAAGAUUCAGUGACAAUUUUCAACAAAGGGAUUGAGCUGUUUUACGAGAAAAUCUUAACCACUCUUACUUGUCUUGACCUUUCCAACAAUAGUUUCCAUGGGAGAAUACCAGAAGAAAUACAAAUGCUGAGGUCACUCAAAGUGCUAAACUUGUCCUAUAAUAGCUUCUCCGGUGAAAUCCCAGUAGCAGUUCAAAACCUAAAAGAUCUGGAGUCUUUGGAUCUGUCACAGAAUGAGCUAUCAGGGAAGAUUCCUCCACAGCUUGCAACAACUUUCCUAGAGGCACUGAACUUGUCUUACAACCCACUUGAAGGGAGCAUACCGCAAGGCAACCAAUUCAGUACAUUUUCAAAUGAUUCUUAUCGUGGGAAUCCAAAAUUAUACGGUCAACCAUUGUCCAAGAAAUGCAAUGAAGACGGUCUUCCAGUGCCACCGCCUCCAGGGGAAGAGGAACAGUCAUGGUUAUAUGCUAUGUCAACUUGGAAAAUUGUUUUGAUAGGUUAUGGUAGUGGUAUGGUCGCUGGGCUAUGUAUCGGAUAUACAGUGUUGAAUGAGUUGGGAAACAAAUGGGUUGACAAGUUCAAAAAACAUGGGAAAAGAAACAGAAGAAGAUCUAGGUGAUUGUGUCGGAAUUCAUGUAUUAAAGUCAACAGGUAAACAUUUCCUUUUGAAACUAUAGUCUUUAUAUUUUGAAACGAUUGAUGUUACAAACUAAUUUUGGAUCAUACAACACUGCAAUUCCUUAAUUUAAGUAGCAGGAGUGGUUACACAGUGAUUUUGUUUUUCCUAUGCAAUAUUCCUAUAUUUGCAUGCUUAUGAGAAGUUAUAUUCUUGGUGGUUUGACUUGUGUUUCUUAUUUUGUCACAGGGAAAUGACCUCUGUCCUUCUAAGCUUCAAGUCAUUGCAUGUAAUUGGUGGCAAUGAAUCAUUUCAAGUAGAAAACCACGCAAAGUAUGAUAAAUUUUGUCUUUUUUGUUUGGGUUUUUGUGCUAUAUAUUUUAUCAAACACAUGAUGGGCUUUAGGCUCGGGUGUAAUGGGUAGACCUAUUGGUCCGGGUUUUAGUGCAAUCUGACAUUUAUUUUGUACAAAUAAUUUAUUUAUCUUUUAAUAACAGUUUUAUUAUUUUAAAAAUAAGUAAAUAAAAUAUAAUGAAAAAUUAGAUAUCUUAAAAGAUGUCCGUUUCCGGAGUUGGCAAACUAUGUAAAACACUAUAAAUAUGAUAGCUUAUUCAAAUGAUUCUCCCAUUAUGAAACAUUUAAACGAAUUUACAAAAAUGAAAUAUUUAUUUACAAGAAAUAAAAAUUAGCCAUGUUAUGCAUAUGAAAAACAUAAUAAUUGCAAGUGAAAUGAGAAGCUUCAUAUUCUAAUUUUCAGGCCAACAGUCUGAGAAGAAAGCAUAGAUUGGUAGAAGAAAGCAUAUGGUGAAAAGGGUAAUCCCAAAACCGAUUUGCUGCACUCGAGGUUCUCUUACAUGUAGUUUGUAUCAUACGUGGAUGGUUGGAUCUUAUUAUAUUAGGAUUUAGUUUACCCAACUAUGAACUUCUACUUUAAACACAUUAAUCCUAUUCUAAAUUGGUGUCGAAACCAUUUUUAAAUUUGAAAAAUGGGAAUCGAUUUUGAAAAAUUGAGAUUGGAGUUGCCACCGAUCUUUUAUUGAGGUGUGAUCGGAUCACCUUGAAAAUAAUUUUAGGUCUGCGAAUUUUGAGAAAAUAGGUUCGAGAUUCGGUUACGCACGGGGAAGGGUUAGCACCCUUGUGACGCCCAAAAUUGGUACCAAAUCGAUUGUUUAAUGUACCAAAUCGAUUGUUUAAUGUCUUAGUGUCAAAAAUUUGAAACGAUUUUAAAAUACGAUCCUUUGAAAAGAAAAUUUGAAUGAAAUAAAUUGGAUGAUGAGGCUCUCUUCUUUCAAAGAAAUAAAUUGUCACACUUAGUAAGUUAGAGUGCAACAUUUUAAAUCCUAGAAAUUAAGUUCAUCUUUUGACUUUUAAAACCUAUGCAUUUUGAGAAGGAUAUCUGAUUAUUUGGGUCAAAUGAGAAAAUCAAAACCCAGUAAGUUAGGGUUCGAUUUCACAAAAUUUCUAAAUAUCGAAUAUUGCCUUUAUUUCCAUUUGUUAGAAGAAUCCUCGUCUUAAGAAAACAAUAUGUCAUAUCCAAUGCGUUAGGAUACCACGUAUCGAAUUCCCGAGAAUGAGCUUUUUAUUUAUGUUUUAGUUAAAAAGGAUAUUUGGUCUCUUAGAUCCCGAGGAAGAUUGGAAUCCUGUAAGUUAGGACACAAUCUUUUCAAGGAUCCCAAAUUCCGAGUGUUGCGUUAUUUUGAAAGCUUUUUGAAUAAAAAUGCUUUUGAUAUUUAAAUAAUAUGAAACAUAAUCUUUUGAACAAAUAAAAACAAUGAAAUAAUAACGUACACACGAAAUGGUGAUUUGUAAAUAACAUACAUUAAUGAAUAACAAAUAAUCAAUAGGUAAAUACAAAUAAACAUAGUAACAAUAAUCUCAAUCAUACAUUAUGCCAAUGCUAAUAAUAUCGACAUUCAAAGAUUAAAUGAAUUAUCAAUACAAAAAAAAAAAGUGUUAUAUGUGUAAAAUGUUAAAAUAAACAAUAUACAUAUAUGAGUUUAAAAUAAGUCAAAAAUGAAGAUAAAAAAAAUACUAUAAAAAUAAUAUCAAAAUGAAGUUUAAAAUGAAUAUUGUAUAUGAAGAAAAUCAAAGUACAUGAAAUAAUAUAUGCAUAUUAAUUUAAAUAAUAUUACAUAUGGAUUGGAAAAUUUCUUAUGAUAAUAUAAUAUAAUAGUAUGUAUAAAAGGUUGAUAUAAAUCAAGUAUAUAAUGAAAUAAAAUUUUAAAUGAAACCAGUUAUAUAUGUAAUAAGUAAAAAAUGUAAAUAUGAAAUUGACGAUACAUUAGGUAUAUACGUAUAAUAAAAAAAAAAACUUAAUACAAAUUUUAUAUAGAUAUAAUAGUAUUACAUAAAUAUGUUAUUGAUUUUUAAAGCAUAAAAGUAUAUAUGAAUAAACAUUUUAAGAAAAAAGUAUUAUAAAAAUAAACUCAUUAAUUAAAAUGUAUAAUAAUAUAGUUAACAUAAAAUAUAUACUAAUGCAUUAGAAUAGACAGUAUGUAAUAAAAUAAAAUAGUGUAUAUAUAUAUAUAUGAAAAUAAGUAAAUAUAUAAACUAAUAUGAUAAUAAUACCAAUAAUAACAACAAUAAAGAUAAUAAACUAAACAAUUUUAGCAAUAAUAACAAAACAGAGGACAAAAUUGGCAUUAAAGCAGUAAUUCAGGGGAGAAAUCUAAAAUAAAUAAAAAGAAAGGUCCAAAUUACAAAGAGCAAAUGACAUGGGGGACUGAAAGGGGAAUAUUCCCCACCCUCCAAAACGCAGCGUUGCAUAUGGACCUAGAUGAAAUCUGCAACAAAUUAUGCUACCCAAAAUUAAAGAAACUUAAAGGAUCGAGUUGGAACACAACGCGAAGUAAGAAGGACCGAGCACGCAAUUAUCCCUCUCCAUACCAAAACGCGCAGAUCUAGCCACGGUUGGAUCGGGUCAUCGGGUAUGGUCGUUAAACGGCGUCGUAUUGUUUGCUGUACAAAUUAAAAUCGAAGAAAAUCAAAUCGAAAUUCCACAAAACUAGAGGGACUCGUCGUGAAAAUAGACCAAUGAACAGAAGCACGCGGAUCCUGCCCCGAGUCGGGUCACCACGCGAUUUUGAACUUCCCAACGGCAUCGUUUUUAAAGCUACAUGGCCUGCUUAAAACGCUGUCGUUUCUUUCACCGUACAAAGGCUAAAAUAAACCUAAAACUAAUCAGCCAUCAGUCAUUUACAAAAAAAAAAAAACCUAAAGAAAAUCUAAAACCUAAGGAUUUCUCCCUGCGCCGCUCAACCUUUCAGAUCCCAUUUGCUCUGAUUACGACGAGAGAAGCAGGGAUUCGACGGUCACGUUAUGCAGGUGGACUCUCAUCCUUCCUCGAUUUCUUUUUUUUUUUAAACAAUGAAUAAAAGAAAAAAAGAAAGCAAAGAAUCGAAAAAGAAAAAAAGAUCGAGAGCCAAAAAAGAAAAUAAUACUCGAAAUCACCUUUAGAAACUGUUUUUCUAUUGCUUUUCAAAAUUUUCUCUCUGAUACACUAUUUGUGUGUGUAAUCCCCUUAUACAGAUUUCAAUCGGCCCUCUUUAUAGCCGAACCGAGAAAAAGAAAGAAAAAAAUCAAAUUUUCUCUAUUUUUUUACAUUUUUCUUCUUAUUUACUACCGGUAUUUACUGUCAAAUUGUUGCCUCUUUCUUUGCUGUUGCUAUCUAUUUUUCUUCUUGUUUGUUUGUCCUUCUUGCAGGUACGGCGUACGGAGGGUGGACGUGGCGUGCGUAGAGAGGGAGAGCAGAGAGGCGCUACUGCUACGGCUUGAUGGCUUGCUGGAGCGGCGGCUGAUAUCUCAGAAACCCUAGGGUUUCUGUUUGUGAUUUUUCUUUUGGGCUUAGGUGAUUUGGGCUGGGGUUAGGUGUUGGGCUAAUUGGGUUGGGGAUAUUGGGCUAGGCUAAUAUUUGGGUAGUGGGCCACACAGGCUAUUGUAAAUGGACUGCUAUUGGACUGUUAUUAAUUUUUGGAUUUGGUUUAUAUAUUUGUGCUUUUGGGCCCGGGCAAAUUGGCCUAUUACAAUUGGUAUUGGGAUUAGUCUAUUUAUUCUUUCAAUGAUAGUUUUAUUACUUUAAAAAAACACCCUACAAUUAAACUUUGUAUGUAAUAUGAUAAUAAUAAUUAAAAUAUAAUGAAAGAAAUUAUGUCUUACAGUCUAGUGAAGGCUAACAAUGUGUCACAUUAUCAUUACAAUGUACACAUACUUUGUAGGAAAUUUAUCCAAUGAAACAGAGGAUUAAACUAGUUUCCCAGAUGCAGGGAAGAAUUGGUAUGCUACAAUACUAAGAAAAAUACUAAUAACAAAAAAAUGGUAAUGGAAUCACCCUUGUUAUUAGGCUUAUGAAUUUCAUUGAUGGAUUCUCUUAACAUAUGGGCAAAUCUGGCGGCGGCGGUGCUAACCUCCUUUUGUAUUUUUAUUGGAUCCAGGAGGUUGGAGAGAAGGAGUAUGUGCUCCUCAUAGAGCUGCGGUGCCAUGGCUGUGCGGAAUGGUGCUGAGGAAUGUACUGCUGCAGGCGGUUAUUUGCCAGUGUCCUUGUGCAGGUAGCUGGCCAUUUGUGGAGACCACAAAAAAUAAAAAUUAGCCGUGUUUUGCACGGAUAAAAAAAAAUCAUAUUUUAGAUUUAAAUAAUUAUAUAUUCUUUAAUCUCAUUGGGUUUCAAUUGGUUUGGUAAAUUUUGAAAUAAAAAAAUAAAAAAAAAACCUUUUGGAAUUGGAAUUGGUUUGGUAAACAUUGUUUUCAUGCAGAAAGAUUUAGACAUUUGCAUGCAAUGUCAAAGGCUAAGACUAAGUCUAUGAAUAUAUUGAAAUUAAUAUGAUUAAUAAGACCAAUAAAAUCUCAUAAUUCAGAACUAUGGGGCAUUCUGGAUGGUCUUGGACCAGGUUUGACCAACGUAAAGGCUCUUCAUUCCCUUGUUUCACUUUUUCUUCCUUUCUUCUUUCUCUUCUCAUCCUCUCUUUCUCAAUCUCAUCUCCCAAGCCAACGCUUUGAUGACCAGAUAUCUCCUCUCUUGCAAUUGCAACAUCAUCUUUACUAUAAAUAUAGUAGCUUAUCCAAAUGAUUCACGAAACAUUUAAACGAAUUUAUAGAAAUUAAUACUUAUUUAAAAUAUUUACAAGAAAUAAAAAUUAGCACAUGAAGAAUAAAGAAAGGGAAAAAAAAUCCAUAUUUUAGAUUUAAUAGACUAUAUGUCCUAUUAUUGCGUUUUAAUUGGUAUGAUAAACUAUUUUCGACCAAAGGUCCAUCAAUUGAGCUGAAUUUUAUAUAUGCUGGCCUUCUCAUUGGUAAAUUUUGAAAUAUAAAAAAUAAAAAAACCUUUGGGAAUUGGAAGUAAUUCCAAUUUUGCAUGCAAAACCUUUGGGUAAAUUUUGCAUGCGGAGCCUGUUAUAGACCAUGGAGCACUGAUUGUGGGCAGUACUGGUCGAAGCAUGCAAAACUAUUGACAUUAUCCUAAACUUAUGUAAAACCAAAACUUAGAACUGAAAUUCAAUACAAAAUUUCAGUUUUCAAAAAUCAGCAGCCUAUGGCCCAGUGUAGAGGUGAUCAUGGGCCGGGCCAAGUUUGGGUCGGGAGCAGACAAAAUUUUAGGCUCAUUUUCUAGGCCCGUGUCUAGCCCAGCCCAAAAUAUGUGCCUAAAAAAUUUGUCUAAGCCUGGCCAAAAAGAAAAUUGCUAAGCCCGAGCUUAGCCCGGCUCGGCCCAUAUUAAAUUUUACAGAAACCAAUACGGUUUUGACUCGAACACCAAUGUUGAGGAAACAUGGUCAUGAUGGUGUUGGCGAGUUUAUUGAGUUUUAUGGUUAGGUCUAUGGUCAUAAAUCUUGACAAUGGAAUGCUUUACAAUCAAUAAUAUUGGUUUUAAAGUGCAUAUAGGAGAAGGUGUGACUGAUUAGGUAGAUGGCAUGUUUUUGGUGCUGAUUAGGUAGGCAACCACUUCAACCAUUAUUCCAAGUGAAGUUAGAACAAAAACAUCUGUUCAUUCUACGUGUAAUCAUGGCUCUAAUGAGGUUUAAAGGACAUUAUUAUUGCUAUAAUUUUAUUUUUUAAUGAUUUAAAUUUAAGAAAAUUAAAAUUAGAAAAUCAUUUAUAUAGAAUAAAGAGCCGACAAGAAGAUUGAAACCUGGCAUUAAUAAGAAGAAUAAGAGCUCAACAAAGUGGAUCAACAUAGUUUUCAUGCAUUAAUGAUAUGUCAACGACUAAGACUAAAGCCAAUAAUAUCUCAUAUUAUCAUUUUUUUUUAUAAGUUCAAAGUAUUAAAAUUUUCUUGUAUUAACGAUAAUGUUUAUAUAUGUUCAAUAUUCAUUAAGGAACCAAUUUUAUAUCAUUUUUGGGUCUUUUAUCAAAUUUUACUUAAAAAAAAUCAAUAGUAAACUAUUUUAUUUAAAAAAUUACCAUUAUUUCUUUUUUCUUUUAUGACCUUACUUAAUCAAAUUGGUACAUCAUCAUCAUCAUUAUUAUUAUUGGCAUGCAGUUAUAAAGACUUAGAAUUUUGCAUGCAUAUCAAAGACUUAGAAAUUUCCACUACUUGAUAUUUUAAUGACUUGAAUUAAACAAAGUGGUUGAACAUUACUCUCAUGCAGUUAGGGGCGAGUGUUUGAUCGAAUCGAAUGAAAAAAUUUCUAGUUAACCGAGUUGACAAAUUAUAUUUUAUCAUCGUAAUUUGAUUUGAAAUUUUCUGGAAUUGAGUCGAAUCAGAUGGAAUUCAUUCGAGUUAAAUUUUAAAAAAUAAUUUUGGGUCCUUAUAACUACUGUCACUCACCGUAAUAAAAUUUAUCCACCAUAAUCAAUUUUUUUAUUAACUUACAUCACCUCAUAAUUUAUAUUUUAAUCUUUUUUAUAUGGGUUAGCUUCUUUGCUUGUUUAGUUGUUUCAAUUAUCUUCAGAUUCUUGUCACUAUGUAUUUUGGAAUUAAGAAAUAUAUUAAAUGUAAAAAUGUGAAUUUUUUAAAUAAAAUUUAUAAAAUUUUAACAUAAAGAUCUUAUGGCUUCAUUAAUAAUUCAAUUUUAUGACUAAACAAAAGUAGAAUUAGGAGUUUUUUUAUUUUUUUAUUUGAGAUUUAUGGACAUUUUCUAUGUGAAAAGUUGCUACUAAAAUGUUUAAGAAAUAGGUUUUCUAGUUUCCUUCUGUUUUUUUAUUUGUUUGAGUUUGAUAUUUAAUCACUAGAAUUAAAAAUCCAAUUCUCUACUAAUAAAUCAAACAAUUGUUUGACUCUAUAAAAAAUAUUAUGGUGUAAAAUUGUUUGAUUUAAAUUAAAAAAUUAAAUAUGUCAAAUUAAAAUCUUGUUAUAGUAUAAUUAAUAUUUGAAAUCAUAAAUAUUUGAAAACUGUUUUAAAGUGAAAUAAAAAAAAAUUAUUAUAGUUUUUGCAUAAUAUAAAUUUUAGAAUUUUUAUGAAUAUUUUAACUUUAAAAAUUAUUUUAAUUUUUUUUUGUAAUUUUUGUUGAGUGAGAUUAAUUUGUUAAUUUUUAAAAUUGACAGGAAUCAAAAGAGUAUAUAUAUCAAUUUGUGUUUGAAUUAUUUGAGUUAUUUAAAUUAUAAAAUUCAACUCGAAUCUCGAAUUAUAAAUAUUUUUAAUAAUAUAAAACAUAAAAAAUAUUAAAAUUAAAUAAUAAUUAAAUAAUAAUAUAUUUCUCAGCCUCUAAGAAAGUUUGAAAGCUGAAAUUUAAAUAUGUUUCUUUUCAAAAGUGAAAAAUUGUAUAUAUUCUAUCAUCAAAAUUUUCACUCAUUGUGUCCGUCAAUUUAUAAGGUGGCUUGACUUGUACACAUUGAUUGAACGUUGUUUUUGUGCAAUAAAAACUUGGACAUUUGCAUGCAAUGCCAAAGACUUAAGACUUAAAAGGUCUAUAAUAUUUCAUACUACCAUUUUUUCUGGUCGUAAAUUAAAGAUUUUAAAAAAUUCAAAUUAAAACCAUUAUGAUUUAAAUUUAUUAUAGUUUUUACAUAAUAUAAAUUUUAGAAAUUUUAUGAAUAUUUUGAUUUUAAAAAUUAUUUAAUUAUUUUUUUGAAAACUUUUAUUGGCAGAGAUCAAUUUGUUAAUUUUUAAAAUUGACAGGGACCAAAGGAGCAGGUACACCAAUUUAUUGUUAGAAGUAUUCCACCACUUUAGUUAAGUCUUUUUGGUCAACCUUUUCCGGCAUGGGAUAAUAAUAAUAAUACUAAUAAUAAAUAAUUUAUAUGCCAAACAUGAAAACUACACAUUUGUGUAUCAAUAUGUUGUAUGCCAAGCACAAUCCUUCGUCACACCCAACAAACAUGAACACUCUUCAUUUCCUUAUUUCACUCUUCCUCUUCUCAUGCUUCCUUUCUCUUGUCUUGUCUUUUUCACCUCCUCAAACUCAUCUCCCUAAGCAAUGCCUUGAUGACCAGAGAGCUCCUCUCCUGCAAUUGCAGCAUCAUCUUUACUAUGCCCCUAAUUCUACUUUCUCUUCCAAUUUUGACCUCUGGGAUGUCAACACUGAUUGUUGUUCUUGGGAAGGAAUCACUUGUGAUGCUUAUGGUCAUGUCGUUGGCAUUGAUCUUAGUUACAAAAACCUUUCAGGCAGCUUUCACUCCAUAUUCGAUCUCCAUCAUCUUCAACACCUGAAUCUUGCUGGAAACAACUUUAAUACCACUCUGUUUUCGUAUGGGUUUGAUGAACUCCAAAAUCUAACUCAUCUCAACCUUUCAAGCUCAUGUUUCCAUGGCCAAAUUCCAGUGGAGAUCUCAUUCUUAAAAAGGUUAGUCUCUCUUGAUCUAUCCAAUCAAGGUUCUUGUUAUUUGAGAAAUGGUUACGAUUAUGAUUCAGCUACUUUAAAAUUGGAGAAACCAAACUUCAAGACAUUUAUCAAGAAUUUGAAGUUUCUCACGGAGCUUUAUUUGGAUGGUGUCGACAUUUCAACUCAAAGUACUAAAUGGUGUGAAACCACAUCUCUUGUACUUCCAAACAUGCAUGUGUUGAGUCUGUCAAGCUGUAGUUUGAAAGGUCCAUUAUGUUCUUCACUCUCAAGACUCUCCUUUCUUUCCAAACUUAUCCUUGAUGAAAACCCAACCUCUUAUUUACCUCCCAAUUUCUUGGUAAAUUCCUCUUGUUUGGUUUCUCUCAGUUUGAGGUAUUGCAAUUUGAAUGGGCAUUUUCCAACCGGAAUUCUCUUAUUGCCAAAAAUUCAAAGCAUUGACAUUUCAUUGAACCGCCAACUUAUGGGUCAGUUGCCAGAAUUUCCAGCAAACAAUGCAUUACUGAGUCUGUCACUUUAUGACACAAAUUUCAGUGGAAAACUACCUGAAUCGAUUGGUAAUCUUAAGUUCCUGACAAAUUUAGAUCUUUCUGGUUGCAAUUUUUUUGGACCCAUUCCAUCGUCAAUUGCAAAUCUUAGUCACCUGGUGAACCUAGAUCUAGGAGGGAACAAGCUUUCUGGAUCAAUACAUUCUUCUUUAUUUACUCUUCCAUCGUUGAAGAUCCUGUUUCUUGGAGACAAUCAAUUGGUUGGGAAAAUUGAUGAGUUCCCCAAUGCAUCUUCUUCUUUGAUUGAAGUACUGUAUAUAGGCAAUAAUUAUUUAAGAGGAGCAAUCCCAAAGUCAAUUCUUCAACUUCCAAGGCUUGAAUGGCUUUAUAUCGAAAGCAAUAGCUUUAGUUCCAUGAAGCUUGACAUGUCUGUCCAAGUCAACAACUUAAGGACUCUCUGGCUAAACUAUAUCAGCUUGUUAAUUGAAAGCGACAACAGAAGUCUUACUUUUCCCCAAUUAGAAAGCCUAAGCUUAAGGUCAUGCAACCUUACUGAAUUUCCAGAAUUCAUUAAAAGGCAAGACAAGUUGGUUUACUUAGAUCUUUCUAACAACCAUAUCCAUGGUUUUGUGCCCAAUUGGUUGUGGAAGAGCAGUCUUUCAUCCUUACACCUUAGACCUUUAUUUCAAUAUGAUUGAUUUUCCAAAACAAAUUCCUUUAAGUGAUGCAAACUUCUCUUUCCCAAUGUUGAGGCAAUUGAUUCUGGGAUAUUGUAACGUAAGUGCAUUUCCGGAGUUCUUAAAGAGUCAAGAAAAUUUAGAAUAUCUCAUACUUCCAAAUAACAAAAUAAGUGGUGCAAUACCAAACUGGGUGUGGAAGAAAAGUUUGCAUCAAUUGUCUCUUGCUAAUAACCAUCUCUUAUCUUUGGGCGAACUUUUACCCAAUCAGAGUUCAACUUUUUCACGAGGCUUUUUCUAUUUCGACGUAUCUUAUAACAAUUUGAGUGGCCCAAUUCCAAAUUGGUUAUGCAAUAUGAGUCAACUUCUCAGUUUCGAUGUAUUUUAUAACAAUUUGAGUGGCCCAAUUCCAAAUUGCUUGGGCGAUAUGAGUGCUCUGAGUUGGUUAGGUUUGCAAGGAAAUAACUUCAGUGGAAUGUUACCAAAAUUUUCAAAAGCAACCCAACUGCAAUUUCUGAAAGUUAGUGAGAAUAGAUUGGAAGGUAAGUUGCCCAGAUCAUUAGCUGAAUGCACUCAGCUUGAAGUUUUGGACGUGGCAAAAAACAUGAUGAAUGAUACAUUCCCUUUUUGGUUGGGGAAAUUGCCUGCGCUAAAGGUUCUCAUUUUGCGGGAAAACAGAUUUUACGGUCAAAUUAAACAUUUCAAACAUAAAUCUGUUUUCCCAACUUUGGAUGUAUUGGACAUUGCUUCAAACCAGUUUUCUGGUGAACUAUCCAUUGAUUUCCUUCAACCCACUCGACUAAGGUCACUCAAAAUAGGUGGGAAUAAAUUGGAAGGGAAGCUGUCGAGAUCAUUAGCCAAUUGCACAGCACUUGAGGUUCUGGACCUUGGAAAUAAUAUGGUUCAUGAUACAUUCCCAUUUUGGUUAGAGAAGCUACCUUCCUUGAAGGUUCUCGUUUUGCGAGCAAACAGAUUCUACGGCACAAUUUCAAAAAUUGACACGAAACGUGGGUUUCCAAAGCUACGCAUAUUGGACAUUGCUUCCAACAAUUUUUCAGGUGACUUGUCUAUUGAAUUUUUGCAGAGUUUGAAGGCAAUGGCGGAGAUGACUAAUGACGAAAAGGCUACGCUGGAUUAUAUCGGAGAGAAUUAUUAUCAAGACUCUGUGACAAUUGUUAACAGAGGGAUUGAAAUGUUCUACCAAAAAGUCUUGACAAUUCUUACUUGUCUUGACCUUUCCAACAAUAGUUUCCAUGGGAGAAUACCAGAAGAGAUACAAAUGCUGAGGUCACUCAGACUGAUGAACUUAUCCAACAAUGGCUUUUCUGGUGAAAUCCCAUUAGCACUUGAAAAUCUAAAAGAUCUUGAAUCUUUGGAUCUCUCACAGAAUGAGCUGUCAGGGAAGAUUCCUGCACAACUUACAAGUUUAAUUUUCUUAGCAGCAUUGAACUUGUCUUACAACCAACUCGAAGGGAGCAUACCACAAAGCAACCAAUUCAAUACAUUUACAAAUGAUUCCUACCGUGGGAACCCAAAAUUGUGUGGGCUGCCAUUGUCAAGGAAAUGCAAUGAAGUUGGUCUUCCAAUGCCACCACCUCCAGGGGAAAAUGAAGAUUCAUGGUUAUAUGCUCUGUGUACUUGGAAAAUUGCGUUGAUAGGUUAUGCUAGUGGAUUAGUGGUUGGGCUAUGUAUUGGAUAUACAGUGCUGAAUGAGUUGGGAAACAAAUGGGUUAACAAGUUCAAAAAGUGUGGGAUAAGAAAUAGAAGAAGAUGUAGGUGACUCCAUCAGAAUUCUUGCUUCAAAAUUAGCUGGUAAGCGUUUGUCUUUCUAAUUUGAACAGAUAGUUGUUGAUUUAUAUAUAUGGGUUUUCAUAACCUCAUUUUUUGCUGUCUUUACUAAGUUCACUAUCAUAUCGUGCUUGUAAUUUGAUGUUACCAUUGAGCAAUGCAGGAGGUACUUGAAGCAGGACAUGGAAUGUACAGUUGUGAGGUUCAUGAAGAAUGUAGGCAAUGAUCCUAACAAGAUCAAUCCACUGGUUUGUAAUUUUGCUUUAUAUGCACUUUUUUCCUUUUGUAGUUUUCCACGAGUAUAAGUAAGUGUUUAUUCAUUUUGCAUCCAGGUCCCUGUGGAUUUGGGGGAUGCAAUGUUUCACUGCUACUGAAUUUCCAUGCUAAUAAUGAUAUUAUAAACAAGGAUAUGGCUGCCCAAGCUUUCUUUUAUAUGCAAUUUACUUUUACUUCAAUUAUUUUAUCUUCGGAAUAUUUGUACAGCUGAGGAGAUUUAAUGGCAUGAUGUUGAUGGAAGCCAUAUCUGGUGGACAUUGGAUGGAUUGUGUAAAGAGACGCAGAUGCUGCUACUCCCAUCCUUUGCUCUUCCAAACAGAUAUUAGCUUUAUAUUUUAUCAAUCACGUGUUGGGCUUUAGGACCGGGUGUAAAGGGUGGACCUGUUGGUCUGGGUUUUAGUUCAGCCGGACACUUAUUUUCAUACUAGUUUGUUUAUCCUUUCAAUGAUAGUUAUAUUAAUUUCAAAAAACUUUUGAAAUUGAAAUUAAUUUUUUCAAAGAAUCGAAAAAUUGUUAAUAAUAUAAGAUAUCUUGUCAGUCUCAUUUGUCUUUGAUAAUUUCAAUUAAAUCUAUAGAAAUUUUAAUGUGAAAAUUUAAAUAAGUUUCUUUCAAAGAAAUUGCUAAGAAGAGAAAAACUGUAAACAUUUUAUCAUCAAAAUUUCCGCUACUUGUGCCCAUCAAUCCAUCUUAACUACCUAAGAAACUUGCUAAACAUUGUUUUCAUGGGGUAAAAAAGAUUUAGAUAUUUGCAUGCAGUGCCAAAAGGCUGAGACUAAGUCCAAUAAUAUCUCAUUCCAUAAAUUUCUAUUGAUUCCAUACACUUUAAGUUCAUUGAAAAGUCAUCAAAGUUAUGAGAAAAUUUAGUUUUUGAGCCAUUAAUUUAUCUCAACCAGCUAAAAAAAUUCACCACAAUUCCAUUUUUUUUUAUUAGUUGACUAAAAUAAAAUUAGUGGUACAACAUUAUUUUGAUGCAGUAGUGAUCGGGCUUAGUCCAAAAUUAAAAAUAAUGUAUGGAAAGUACUAAUUUGUGUAUAAAUAAGUUGUAUGGAAACAAUCCUCCUUCACAGCCAGCAAACAUGAAAGCCAUAUCUGAUGGACAUUGUACUGAUUGUGUAAAGAGACAACUGCUGCUGCUUCUCCCACCUUUUGCUGACACAUUGGGUUUUUAUUUUAUCAAACACAUGUUGGGUUUUGGUACAGCCUCGCACUUAUUUUGUACCAAUCGAAGUUUCGCAAAAAUUGUGUGGUCAUCAUAAUUUCCACUCCAUAUAUUCCCAUCAAUCCAUCUAAACCAGCUAACACAAAUGCUUUAUUUUUGUGUUUAUAAUGACUUGACUUAAACAAAGUGGUAAACCAUUGUUUUCAUAUGGUAAGGAUCGGGCAAAGACUUAGACAUUUGCAUGCAAUGCCAAAUCUUGAAUUUAGAGUUGAGCCCAUAAUUUGGGGUGUUGGAUUUAAUUAAACCCGUUGGUAGAUCAUAACAUAUUUAUAAGUUGGAUACUACUUAAUAAUUAGGAUUUAGGAGUACUCAUUAUUGGGUAAAAAGACUUGAACAUUAGCUUGCAUGCCAAAGAAAAAAAACCUUAAUUUCUAAAACACAUUUCAUCUUAUCCUUCAGCAAAUUAUCUCCGUCUCAUUUAUUUUUGAUGAUUUUUUAUGAGUGUUUAAUCGAAUCAAGUAAAAUUUUUUUGAGUUAACUGAACUGAUGAGUCCUAUUUAUCAUCCUAACUUGAUUUGACAUUUUUUCGAAUUGAGUCGAGUGAAAUGAAAUUCGAGUCAAAUUGAAUCGAGUGAAAUUAUUCAAGUUCAAUUAAAAAAUUAAAUAUAUCAAAUUAAAAUCUUGUUAUAGGAUAAUUAAUUUAAUGUUAGGACACAUAAAUUUAAAACUAUAUACAUUUGAAAACUUUUUCAAAACAAAAUAAUAAUAAAAAUUCUUACAAUUGAAAAAAUAUAUAUAAUUUAAAAUUUUUAUAAAUAUUUUGAAUUUUAAAAAUUAUUUUGAAAUAUUAGCAGGUAAGCAUUAGUCUAAUUAAGCAUUAGUCUUUCUAAUUUGAAAAGAUAGUUGUUGAAAAAUAAAUUUCUCUAUCAUAUCCUACUUGUAGCAUUGACAUUCAUUUUCCAUAUUCUAUUGUAAUUUUAUGUUUCAUUUAGCAAUGCAGGACAUGGAAUAUCCAGUCAGGAGGUACGUUAUCUUUGAGGAAAAUGGUAAUUAGUUCCUUAUGACUACAAGCAUUUUUCAAUCACGUUUUAUGCUUUAGGUCCGGGUGUAAAGGGUGAACUCGUUGGUCCGGGUUUUAGUGCAGCUUGACACUUGUUUUUAUAUUAGUCUAUUUAUCCUUUCAAUGACAGUCUUAUUACAUUAAAAAUUAUCGUUCAAUUAAGCUUUGUAUGUAAUAAUAUGAUAAUAAUAAUUAAAAUAUAAUGAAAGAAUUUUUGUGUUACAAUCUAGUAUGUUUUUAUAUUAGUCUAUUUAUCCUUUCAAUGAUAGUCUUAUUACGUUAAAAAUUACUGUUCAAUUACACUUUGUAUGUAAUAAUAUGAUAAUAAUAAUUAAAAUAUAAUGAAAGAAUUUUUGUGUUACAAUCUAGUAUGUUUUCCAAUGUUAGCCAAAGUCCAACACUAUGUCACACUAUUAUUACAAUGUACACAUACUUUUUAGGGAAAUUUAUCCAAUGAAACAGAGCAUUAAACUAGUUUCCCAGAUGCAGGGAAGAAUUGGAAUGCCACAAUACUAUGAAAAUGAUUAAGAAAAAUACUAAUAACAAAAAAAAAAAAAUGGUAAUGGAAUCACAGUAAUUGAAAUGACGAAGAAGGGUGUUUACCUGGAUUAUCAGCGACGAAUCUAAUGGUUGCCCAUCCAUUCACAGGCACUCCAACAGUGUUCCUCACAGGUGGAUCAACAAGGCUGAAUUUAGAAAUAUCCUUUUUAGGAUCGAAGUUCUUUAAACGUUGUGCAAUGAUAUAGAAAUCGUAUACAUGAAGAUGAAUUGGAUGAUUCUCGGGUGUCACUAUGCUUUUGUCUUGGAGCACAAUUUUGUACCCUAAAAAUGUUGGUAUGGGUUAGAGGUGAGAGAGGUGACUGAGAUGAAGAUGAUGAUGUUGAUGCUGAUGCUGAUGUGGUUGGUGGUGGCAAUGAUGAAGGUGAGUGAAGAAUGUUCAGUGAUGGAGGAUGCCUCCAGAGUGCUGGGAGCCGAAAGUGUUAGAAGAAAAAUGGUGGAAAAAGAGCCCCCGGUUAGAAGCUUUGCUACAAUUAAAAUUGAGUUAAAUUGAAUUUACCACAAAAUGCUGAUUUGUAUCCCGAUAAAAUUUGGUGUCUACGUAAAAAAAAAAUUAAAAUAUAAUGAAAGAAAUGAUGCCUUGCAAUGUGGUGUGCUUUUUAGUGUUAGUAAACAAUCUAAAACACUAGAAAAUUGGAAGUGACUUUAGAUUUAAAAAAGAAAAAAAAUCCAUAUUUUAGAUUAAAAAAGAAAUUCCUUUACUUUUUUAUGAAUUGACUAAAAUGAAGUGGUAGAAACAUUAUUUUCAUGCAGUAGUGAUCGGGAUAAGAUUAAGAUUAAUAAUAUUUUAUUCUUAUACUAAGACUUAGAAAUUUGCUUGCAAUGCCAAAUAUUAAAACUAAGACUAAGGCCAACAAUAUAUUUUACUAUUAUUUAGUUAAAAGUUUUUGAAGUUUAGAGAUAAAUUUAGAAUGCAACAUAUAAUUUGGGGUGUUAAAUUUAAUUAAACCCUUUAAUAGAUCAUAGCAUAUUUAUAAGUUUGGUACUGCUUCAUAAAUUAGGACAUAAAAGUACUCAUUAAUAAAUUAAUUUCGUAUAUAAAUUAAUUCUUUUGGGUGUUAUACCAAAUUUAAUUUAAAAUUUUUAAUAGUAAUUUUUAUUAAAAAUUAAAUUAUGUAAGAAUAAUUAUAUAUAAUCUAUAUACCUAUAUAUAAAAAUUGGUUUCCACCUUCUUUCUUUUUAAUUUACAUUUUACAAAAAAAAUUAAAAUUAAAAUUUAGUUUCUUUAAUAUGCCUAAAUUUGAGAUUUAAUCUAUACUUUAUUCUUUAACAUAAUUUAGGCACUAUAUUUUUAUAAUGUAAUAGAUUAGUCCUUACACGUGGCACAUCCAACCAUUUUUGCUGUCCUUUCCUUUAUCCUUUUUUUUUUAAUUUUACAAUAAAAUGUUAAAUUUCAGUUUCAAUCCCUCUAAUAUGUCUAAAUUUGAGAUUUAAUCUAUAUACUUUAAUCUUUAACAUAAUUUGGGCCCUACAUCUUUAAAUGUUAUUAAUUAGUCCAAAUUAUUAAUAUGAUUAACUUUUCGGUGAAACAUUACGUGGUUAUUGAUAGUUUGCAUACAUAAGAGUCUUAGAGACUGACACAUUACUUUCCAUUUCUUUUAGGUUUGCAUCACUUUUUUGUAAGCUAUACUAAAACUUAAUAUUUAAUCUAUAUAUUUAAUUUUUGAUAUAAUUUAGUUCAUCUACUUUUAUAAUGUAAUUAGCUAGUCAAAAUAGUUAAUGUUGUUGGUUAUUUCUAUCAACAUGCUAAUGUCAAUUUUUCUUAAAAACAAUAUGCUUCUGAUAGGAUUUUUUUUAUCGCGGCGAUGUGAAUGAGUGUUGUUAAGGAAAAGUCUUUAUAAAAUAUUUUAAAAGUUAUUUUUAUUGUUACAUGACUACCAAUUGAUUUUUUUUUUAAAUUUCAAAAUAUCACCUCAGAGAAUUUAAUAGAAGAAUUUUAAUGAUAGUAUAAUUGAAUCAAAAAUUUUAAAUUUUAAAAGUAGAAAAUCAUAUUUCUAAAAAUAAAAAUAGAGAAGCUAAAUUCUAAAUGUACAAAAUAGAGAGAAUUAAAAUAUAUUUUAACCUUCAAAUAUUUUACUCUAUAAUUAUAUAUUUUUACUCUAUAAUUCUCACUUCCACUUUAUCUUUGUUAAUUUCCUACUUAUUUCUAUUUUUUAUUUUGCUUAUGAAUCUAAACAGAGAAAAAAAAAGGACAAAAAAAAGAAAGAAAUGAAUAGUAUGAAUUAAAAUUUGAGAUUUGAUCCCUAUUAAAAAUUAAAAAUUUAUUGUUUCUAUUUUUUUAAUUUAAAAAUCAUAGAUAAAUCCUUCUACACGUAAUUUAAAAUUUUUGUGCAUUCAAUCAUCAGAAUUUCCACUCCUUGUGUCCAUCGGUUCAUCUCAAAUCACCUAAGAAACUUGCUAUAAUUUGUCUUUAUAAUGACUUAAACAAAUCGGUUGAACAUUGAUUUCAUGCAGUAGUGGUCCACCAAGAAGACUUAGGGUAGUUUUGGAUAGGUGGUGUAUUUAUUUGCUGUUAGUCUAAAAACAACGGUGACGGUAAGAUUAGAUACUAUAAUGAUACUGUAACAUGAGAUAAAAAAUAAGCUAAACGCACCGCACCGCCCAUCCAAAUCCACCCUUAGACAUUAACAUGCAUGCCAAAACAAUUAAGACUAAGGCUAAUAAAAUCUCAUAUUAUCAUUUUCUUUGUUAGUCCAAAAUAAAAAAAUAUUAAAAAAAUUUAAGUUAGACAAUUAUUGAUAAUUUAAGGACUUAAUUGAAAUAUUUUAAAAUUUAGGUAUUAAUUUAUAAUUUAAUCCAUUAUUCAGGGGAAAAGAUCAGAACCUUGGAAUAUUAUUCAUAUAGAAUAAAGAUGCAGAAAAAAGAAUGGUCUUCAUUUCUUUCGUUCUUUAUCAUUUUAAUUAACUUUAAGGAAGCUUCAAAGUAAAAAUUUAAAUAUGUUUCUUCCCAAGAAAUUAUAUUAACAACUUAAUGUAAAUAAUGAUUUGAAUAUUGGAAUUAAAUAUUAAGUAAAAUAAUAAUGUUGUAUUGAAACUACAAAUUUAUGUAUAAAUGUGUUGCAUGAAAACCAUCCUCCUUCAUACCCAAUCAACAUGAAGACUCUUCAGUCCAUUGCUUCACUUUUUCUACCUUUCUUCUUUCUCUUCUCAUCCUUUCUUUCUCAAACUCAUCUCCUAAUGCAGUGCCUUAAUAAAUAAGUUGUAUGCCAAACACAAUCCUCCUUCACACCCAUCCAACAUGAACACUUUUCGUUUCCUUAUUUCACUAUUUCUCUUCUCAUGCUUCUUUCCUCCUCUCUUGUCUUUUUUACCUCUUCAAACUAAUCUCCCAAAUGCUGCAAUUGCAACAUCAUCUUUACUAUGCCCCUAAUUUUACUUUCUCUUCCAAAUUUGAGCUCUGUGAUGUCAACACUGAUUGUUGUUCUUGGGAAGGAGUCACUUGUGAUGCUUAUGGUCAUGUCGUUGGCAUUGAUCUUAGUUACAAAAACCUUUCCAGUAUCUUCCACUCAAUAUUCGAUCUCCAUCAUCUUCAACACCUGAAUCUUGUUGAAAAUAACUUUAAUACCACUUUGCAUUCUUAUGGGUUUGUGUUAAAGUUGGCCUGCAUGCAGCCAAGAAGCAGAGAAGCAACCCGAGCCAUGAAUGUUGCAGUUGAAGAUGGUGCUGCUGUUUUUGUUUAGUUUUGUUACUUUAAUUAACAUUUUGUAACUUAGUUAGAUUCAAACCAAGUUGUUAAUGUACUUGAUGUAAUUUGUCAAUGCUUUGAGCUGAUAAAUUAGCUUCACUAAGUGUGCAAGUUAUGUUUCAUUAGUUUCAAGGUUACUUAGUGGUAGUAGGUAAUGUUUAGGUAACAAUUUACUUAUUUUUAACUAGCUUAUGUCUGGUAUAUGUAUUGGCAUUAUGCCAUCUUUCAAUGUUAAUGAAAAUUCAUCAAAAUUCAUCAUAAAAUUCCCUUUUCUUGCUUUCUUUUGUCUUUCAAGCCUGGUUAUAUUUUGUUUGCUCAGCAAGUAUCGAGCCUUCAAGCUCAAGAAACUGCUAACUUCAUUCAUUUCACAUUCUUAGUUCCAACAAUUGGUAUCUAGAGCUCAUCUUCUAAGUGGACAUGUCAUUUUUCAUUCCUCAAAACUAUGUCUUCUUCAGGUUCUCUCCAGCUGCACCAACAGUCUUCAAUGGAGAAUGCUACCACAUUUGGGUAGUAAAGAUGAAAACCUACUUGCAGGCAUUCAACUUAUGGGAAGUGGUUAACUCGGAUGUUGAACCAGCACCUCUAAGAGUCAAUCCCACAGUGGCUCAGAUCAGGCAGCACAUAGAUGAAAGAACUAAGAGAUACAAGGCCAUGUCUUGCAUCCAAAACAGUGUGUCUGAUGUGAUUUUCACAAGUAUCAUGGUUUGUGAGUCACCAAAACUGGCCUGGGAUAGGCUGAAGGAGGAGUUUCAAGGGACUGAAAGAACGAGAUAGCAAAAAUUAGUGAAUUUGAUAAGGGACUUUGAAAUUUUGAAGAUGAAGGAAGAAGAAAUAGUGAGGCAAUAUUCAGAUAGAAUCAUGGUUGUUGUGAACAGCAUCAAAUUGCUUGGGGACCAGUUUAGUGAAGCAAGAAUUAUAUAGAAGGUUAUCUCAACCUUGCCUGAAAGAUAUGAGGCCAAGAUCUCAUCCCUUGAAGACUCGAGAGAUCUGAUUAGCAUCUCAUUGACUAAGCUGAUCAAUGCUCUUUAUGCUUAAGAGCAAAGAAGAGCCAUCAAACAAGAAGAGCAUAAAAAAUGUGCAUUCCAAGCUAAAAGUAGAUUUACCUCGAGCUCCUCUAGCUAUAAAGGGAAGAAGACCUAGCAAGAAUGCCUAAAAGAGAUGGAGUAAGAAGAAGAUAUCCACCUUGCCCACAUUACAAAAAGCUUAGUCAUCAGGGAGAAAACUGUUGGUUCAGGUUUGAUGUGCAGUGCAAAGUCUGCAAAAAGAUGGGUCAUGCUGAGAAAGUUUGCAGAAACAAAGGCAAGCUGAGACGAAACCAACCUCAAUAGCCAAGAGCUAAAUCUCAAAUGGCAGAAGAAGGUAAUGACUAAGAAGAGUAAGUCUUUGUUGUUUCAUGCUCAGCUGCCAAAAGAAAAGCCACAAAAGAAUGGCUGAUAGACAGUGGUUGCACAAACCACAUGACUCCUAAUGCUGCUAUUUUCAAGACCUUAGACAGAACCUUCAACACAAGGGUGAAAGUUGGUAAUGGACACUUCAUCAAAGUAGAAGGCAAAGGAGAUGUGCUGAUUAACACUCCUACAAGUAUCAAACUUGUUUCAAAUCUUUUGUUUGUGCUUGAAAUUGACAGAAAUCUACUUAGUAUAGCUCAGUUGCUAGAAAAGGACUAUUCAAUAGUGCUCAAAGGCAAAGAAUGCCUGAUCAGUGAUCCAUAUAGAUCGAAACUCAUGUCAGUGACCAUGGCUGACAGAAGUUUUGUUAUGGACUGGAACAAGGGUUCAGACAGUGCCUAUACAGCUGCUUUGGAUGAAUCCAAGCUGUGGCAUAAAAGGCUAGGCCAUGUCAACUACAAGUCACUGGCUCAGCUAACCAAAGAAGACUUGGUUGAAAACUUCUCCAAAUUAGUUGAGAAAGAAGAAGUGUAUGAAGUGUGUCAGCUAGGAAAGUGAGCUAGACUGCCAUUUCCUUUGAACAAGGCUAAGAGAGCCUCUGAAAAGUUGCAACUAGUCCACACUGAUGUGUGUGGCCAUAUGAAGACACAAUCUUUGAAUGACAGCAGGUAUUUUAUCCUUUUCAUUGAUGACUACUCAAGAUAUUAUUGGAUUUACUUCCUAAAGGACAAAUCAGAAGUAGCCUUAAUAUUCUGGAAGUUCAAGGCUGUAGUAGAAACAGAAACAGGUUACAAGCUAAAGACAUUAAGGUCAGAUAAUGGGACAGAGUAUACCUCAACUAUGUUUCAGGGCUUUUGUGAUGAAGCAAGCAUCAAGCACCAAUUCACCAACACCUACACACCUCAACAGGAUGGUGUUAGUGAAAGAAAGAAUAGAAGCUUGAUGGAUAGGGCAAGAUGUCUGUUGUUUGAGAGAAAUUUGCCCAAAACCUUGUGGGUUGAGGUAGUUAACACUGUUGUAUAUCUUCAAAAUAGGUUACCAACCAAGGCAUUGGUUCAUAAAACUCUAUUCGAGGCCUAGUUUAGGUUCAAACCAUCAGUUGCUUACCUGAGGGUCUUUGGAUGCAUAUGCUAUGCACAUGUCCCGGAAGUAAAAAGAGAUAAGUUGGCCAAGAAGGCUCAACCUGGCAUCCUGGUGGGCUAUAGCAGUGUCAAGAAAGGCUAUAGGGUCUUGGCCCCUUCAUCCAAUAAAGUUUUUGUGAGCAAAGAUGUAGUAUUUGAUGAGAAGUGAGGCCGGAACUGGGAUAAAAAUAAACCAGAGACUGCUACUGAAGACCUGGUGACAAAUCAAACUGAAGCUGAUCGAAAUGAUCCUAAAAUGGGCAUUGAUGAUGUGCCAGUUAGAGGAACCAGACCAUUGGCUAAAAUAUAUGAGAGGGCUGAUGUGGCUGCUAUUAAACCAAAUUGCUUUGAAGAGGCUGAAGCUCAACAAGGUUGGAAACAUGCAAUGCUUGAUGAAAUGAGCAUGAUUCACAAGAAUAAGACCUGGGAGCUCGUUGCAAGACCAGCCAACAAGAAGGUUAUAGGAGUGAAGUGGGUGUUUCGAGCCAAGCAUAAAGCUGAUGGAACUUUGAACAAGCUGAAAGCAAGAUUAGUAGUGAAGGGAUUCAGUCAAAGGUAUGGCAUUGAUUAACUUGAAACAUUUGCACCUGUGGCCAAGUUUGACACAAUUAGACUGCUGGUUGCCUUGGCUGCACUGAAUCAUUGGAAGAUUCAUCAACUCGAUGUAAAAUCUGCCUUCCUCAAUGGUUUUCUUGAUGAUGAGAUAUAUGUUGAACAAUCUGAAGGUUUCAUAAAAAAAUAUUAUAGUUUUUACAUAAUAUAAAUUUUAGAAUUUUUAUGAAUAUUUUGAUUUUAAAAAUUAUUUAAUUUUUUUUGUAAUUUUUGUUAAGAGAGAUUAAUUUGUUAAUUUUUAAAAUUGACAGGAAUCAAAGGAGUAUAUAUAUCAAUCUGUUGUUUGAAUUAUUUGAGUUAUUUAAAUUAUAAAAUUUAACUCAAAUCUCAAAUUAUUAAUAUUUUUAAUAAUAUAAAACAUUAAAAAUAUUAAAAUUAAAUAAAAAAAUUAAAUAAUAAUAUAGAAAUGAAAAUAUUUCUCAUGCUCUAAGAAAGUUUGAAAGCUGAAAUUUAAAUAUGUUUCUUUCAAAAGUGAAAAAUUCUAUAUAUUCUAUCAUCAAAAUUUCCACUCAUUGUGUCCAUCAAUUUAUAAGGUGACUUGACUUGUACACAUUGGUUGAACGUUGUUUUUGUGCAAUAAAAACUUGGACAUUUGCAUGCAAUGCCAAAGACUUAAGACUUAAAAGGUCUAUAAUAUUUCAUACUACCAUUUUUUCUGGUCCUAAAUUAAAGAUUUUAAAAAUUCCAAAUUAAAAUGUUACUCAUAAUUUGAGAACUUAAUUAAAGCAUUGUAAAGUUUAUGUGUCAAUUUAAAAUUCGAUGUAUAAUUUUGCGAUGUAAGGUGAAUUAACCCGUUUGAUAAAUCAUUACAUAUUUACAAGUUGGAUACUCAUUAACAAAUUGAUUUUAUAUUAUAAGUUAAAAUUUAUAUUUUUGGUGCUAUAACAAAAUUUACUUAAAAAAUUAAAUUGUAAUUUUUUUAUUUUAAAAAAAUUAAAUGAUGUAGAAAUAAUUAUAUAUAACAUAAAAAUGAUAAAAUUUACCUAAGUUUAAAAUAAUUUAAAGUUAAAAUAUUUGUAUCAUGGAUUUUUUUUUCUAAAAAGUCGAUACCUAAAAUAUAUAAUUUAAACUCAAAAUAUCGGUUGAAUUAUCAUCUUUGCGUAGUAAUGGUUCCAAUAGGGUUUAAAGUGCUAUAAUUUAAUCUUUUUUAAUGACUUAGAUUUAGACGAUUAUUUAUAUAGAGUAAGGAGUGGGCAAGAAAAUGACAACCUUGGCAUUAAUAAAUUAAUGAGAUCGAUAAAAUAUUAAAAUCUCGUUCUUGAAAAUUAAAAUUAACAAAAAAGAAAGACGUAAGGCAAAUUAAGUGUGGAUUUAACAACUUAUUUCUAAUACUAACAAUAAGUAAUUUAUGCAUCAUAAGUAAUUUAUGCAUCAUGACUAACAGCUUUAAAUAAUACUUGAUGGAGUCUUGAUUUGGCAAAAUGACUUAGAAAUUGCAUGCAAUGCCAAUCACUCAUAAACUGUAACGACCCAAAAUCCGUGGGCAGUGGAAAAGUAUACUAUCGGGCCUCUAUCUUAGUAAACCGAGUUAGUAAAUAAUUAUUAGGAGUAAGUAUGAGUUUAGUUGAGUGCUUAAUUAGGUAUUAAUUAGGUGAAUUUAGUCUAAUUAAGAAUAAUUAGAAAAAAGGAUCAAAUCGAAUAAAGAGUGAAAGUCUAAUUAUAGAUUAAAAGAAAGUAAAAAGGACUAAAAUGAAAUUAAGCCAUUUACAUGAAAAGAGGCGACAUAUAUGCAUUAAAUCCAAGAUUUUAUUUAUAAAUAUUAUAUGUAUAUAAUUGUUAUAAUAAUUAUUAUUUAUUCAAAUUGUAAUUUAUAUUAAUUAUAUUAUUAUAUUAUAGAAUAAAUUAAAAUUAAGACAAGUGUUUGGUGAUAAGAUGGUACAAGUGUAAUAAUAUAUAUAUAUACACUUGUAUUAUAAUUAUUAUUUACUUAAAAUUUAAGUAAAAGAUAUUAAUUAAUUAAAUAAUUAUAUUAUUAGAUUUUUAUUUGAUAAACAAAUUAAAUAGUGACAAUUGUAUGAUAUUGAUGGUGUACAAAUGUGAAUAAAUGAUUGAAUAUUUAAUAGAUAUUUAGAAUAAAAUAUAUAUAUAUUAUUAUAAUAUAAAGUAAAUAAAAGAAAAUAAAAUAAAAGAAAGCAAAUGAAAUAAAAAGAAACAAAAGAAGAACAUAAUAGAAACAGAGAAAGAGACGAAAACAGGGGAAGAAAAGGGAAAGAAAAGAAAAGGGGAAAAUUGGGAUUUUAAAGCUUCAAGUUUAAUUGGUUAGCUAAAUUUAGCAUUUUUCUCUUAAUUUUGAUGUUUUAGAAGCUUUAAAACAAAGUUUUGUUGAAAUUAAGUUGAGGUUUUGGAAGUUUAUAAGUUUAGAGAGCAUGGUUCAUGUUGGACAAUUUGUUAAAUUAGGGAUUUAAUUGAAUGAAUUUCAAGUUAGAAUUGAUAAAAGGAUUAAAUUGUGAAGUAAGUUAUAAUUUUAUAUUGUAGGGACUAAAUUGAGGAAAAUUCAAAAUUAGAAAAAUAUGCUGAAAUUUUAAUAAUUAAAUUUGAGUUUGGAUGAAAUUUGAAUAGAAAAAGAGUGUGAAUUGAAUUAGAAAAGUAAGUAAACUUAGUUAAGAUUAAAUUUAGAAUAAGGUAAGAAUUGAUUAAAAAAUUAAUUAAUUAUUUUAAUUUAAUGUUGUAAUUAAUAGCGAAAAUUAUUAUUAUUUUCGUAGCUAACAAAGAACCCGAGACAUCGGCAUCAAAAGGAAAGGAGAAAGCUAUCGAGGAUUAAAUCGGGAGAUUUACGAUUUGUAUUACUAUAAUUCAAAUUAUUUAUUACUUAUUAUUAAAUUAAAAUUAUUUGUAUGGUAAGUGAAUAAUAAGGUAAGUGACUUAUUUAUAUUGAAUUUGGAAAAUUAAAUUGAAAUGAGAAAAGUAUGUUUCGGUAAUAAAUUGUGUUUUGAAUAGUGAAUGGAAAAGUAUAAUUGAGACCGAUACUGAACUGAAUUAUGAAAUACUGAAUAUUGUUUGAAUACUGAAUUGAACUGUGAAAUUACGGAAGUAAUGAAUUAUUGCAAUACUGUGAAACUGAUUGAAAUAAGGAAUUUUAAUUAAUACUAAACUAAAAUGGAAAUUAUACUGAAAAGUGAAUUAAAUACCCUAUUAACUAGUCGGGCUAGUCGGAUAUAGUUGGCAUGCCAUAGGAUAUGGAAGAGUACGGGGUAUUUGCUGGCUUACUGAUCAGGCACUUAUUGUAAUAACCCGAUUCUAGGCCUAGUCGGAGCAGUGGUUUCGAGACCACAAAUCCGACGAGGGAAAAAUUAUUAUAUUUUUAUGGUCUACAAUUUCAAGAAAAAUUGUUGUAAAAAUUUCGUUCGAAAAUUUUGACGUUUGGGCACUCAAUUUAAUCAAAAGGACUAAAUUGUAAAAAGUGCAAAAGUUGAGUUCUACAUCUUAGAGGUGUCUAAUUGUUAUGAAAUUUUAAAUUGAAGGUCUUUAUGUGGUAACUAGACCAUUAGUUAGUUGAUGGACAAAAAUGAGCAUAGAAUUAGUGAAAAAGAUUUUUUUAAGUAAGGGCAUUUUAGUCAUUUGGUAAUUAAAUAGAAUUAAAUGGGUGAAAGAUGACAAAAUAUGCUCAUCUUCUUCAUGGUGAAUGAAAUCAGUAAGGGGGAAAGCCAUAUUUAGGGUUUUUAAGCUUCCAAGCUCCAUAAUCAAGAAAGAUGUGAAGACCACCUUAAACGGGAAAAAGAAAAGGUCGAGGAGUAAAUCACAAAAUCAAAAUAUUUUGUUCCGAGGUAAGUAUGCAUGUGAUUUAAUGUAUUAUUUUAAUGUUAUUUUAUAUAUAUUGCUGGGAUUUGAUUGAAAAUGGAACGAAUACUCGAUAUAGACUCUAAAAUGUGGUUAAAUUGGAAGGUAGUAAAGCGUUGAAAAUCAAAGUUUCCGGUUGAACACUCGGAAUAAGCCGGGAUACAUUGAACAUAAAAGGGGGUUUCUAAGUGUUGAUUCCCCAAAUCAUCGGUGGUUGCUAAGUGCUGAUUCCACCGUGUCUUCGAAUAUGAAAGGGGUUGCUAAGUGCUGAUUCCCCAAAUCAUCGUGCUGAUUCUCCAAAUCAUUGGUGGUUGCUAAGUGUUGAUUCCACCGUAACGGAUUGUAUAAGGGGUUGCUAAGUGCUGAUUUCCCGAAUCAUUGGUGGUUGCUAAGUGCUGAUUCCACCAUAUUUUUGAAUGUGCAAAAGGAGGUUGCUAAGUGCUGAUUCCCCCAAGGGGUUGCUAAGUGCUAAUUCCCCGACUCACUUGUGGUUGCUACGUGCUGAAUCCACCAAAUAACGGUUAAUAUUCUGAGUGUUCAACAGGAAAAUUGGAAGGGUGAUUGAACAUGUAAAUUAAAUAUGAUUGUGUGGGGAAUAUUGGGUUUGAUAUUUAAUCAACCCAUGUGUAAGAUGAAUGGAAGUAUCAAAACUACAAAAGAGCAAGUUGGUCACAAACAGCUUAAAACAACAACAGUUGGGUAACUUGGAAAAUUCACCAUAAAUGGUGGAAUUUGAAUUAGAGGUUGGGUAAUAUAUGAAAUUGAAGCUGAAUGAGUCUAUUUUCAUAUGAAAGAAUCAUAGCAAGCAAAAGAGUUAUAUAUUUUGAAAUAUUUAAAUUUUAGUGAGACAGGGCUGAAUUGCUUUUGAGAUCCCCUGUUCCAACUUUGGAAAAUCACCAAAAAUUGUAAAAAAAUAAUUGUGGGUUGAAAUUUAUAUACUUAAAUUUCUUCAUUAAGUCUAUUUUCUGUAGAAAUAAACAAGAACCUUAUAUGAAUUUUGCACAGAGAGUAUAGAUUUUAGUAAAGGGUGGUCAGAGCUGUCGAGCAGUGAAAAGGGGAAGGUUUGAAGAAUAAAAUGUACUAAUUUCCAAAACCAAAAAUUCUGAAAAUUUUAUGGUAGAAAGGUAUAUGAGUAUAGUUUCAGAUAAAAUUUACAGAACUCAAUUUGGAGCUCUGUAGCUCCAGAUAAAAAUAAAUUAGUGACUGUGAUGCAGAAAAACAGGUUGCUGGAAAUUGAGCAAACAAUGAAAUUUAUGAAUGAUUAAAAUUAUAUCACUUUGUAAUAUUAUGAGAAAUUUAUUAAUUUUUCAUGUGGUUACUUACUAAGCUAUAUGCUUACUCUUCUUUAUUUUUCUCUUGAUUAUAGUGAUAACAAUCUGCCUGAAGUUGGACGAAGUCAGAAAUCAUCCACACUAUCGUCAUCUCUCGGGGUAUUUUGUAAUCAAUACUUUUGAAACAUGGCAUGUAUAGAUGACUUAAUUUAAUAUGAUAUAAAUAUGUUUGUAAAAUAUUGUUCGGUUAAAAAUGUUGGUGUUUAUUAUUGAAUAAAUUGUGUAUGCAUAUAUAAUACUGUAAUUGGUUGAAAUAUUAAGAUCGUUUGAAAUUGUUCUUUGAAAAUUUGCAGGAGGUUUUAUGUAAAAAUAAGCAGAAAUGCUGCCGAAAUUUUACAAAAAAAAAUAGUAAUACCUCGUGCUCUAUUCCAUCAAGGAAUACGGGUAAGGGGUGUUUCACUUAUGUGCCGACUACUGUUACUGUUACCGAUUCGGCACUUUGUGUGUCGAAUACUGUUACCAUUACUGUUACCGAUUCGGCACUUUGUGUGUCGAAUAUUGCUACUGUUACUGGUUACUGUUUAUUAGUGUGUUUGGUUGGAAUCCGUGUAUCCGCCGAGUCCGAGUUAAGUUAAUAGGGAUAAAUGAAAUAAAUUUACUGAUAAAACCAAUCUCGAAUGAUAUAGUAUAUGUGAAAAAUGAAAAUUGAAAUAAAGAAAUAAGAAUGAUAUUUAUAUAUAAGAUUAAUUGAUAAUAUAAAAAGAUCGAAUUGUUUAUUAGUAGUGAUGAUUGUAAUGAAAAAGUAUGUGUGUGAUUUAAUGUAUUUAAUUGUAAAUUGAAUUAUAGUGAUACCACUGAGUAUGAAAUACUCAGCGUACAGUUGUUUCUGUGCGCAGGUCGAUAGAAGUCAAAGGUUCCGUUUCAGCAUCCGAAGCCAGACCCGACUUCAGCAAAUUUUGGUGAUGAAUAUUUUCUUUGGUAAUGUGGCAUGUACAUAGGAUGGGUAUAAAAGUUAUUAUGUUUUGAAUAUAAAUGGUUAAAAAUGUUAGAAUUAUAAGUCUAAGAAUUAUAAUGAAAGAAGUUUAUCCAUUUCAAUUUAAUUAGUACGUUGAUAAAUUUAAAUUGAUAUUAUAUUGAUUGAGUUUGGUUAGAAGGUAUUUAGAAUAGAAUGAGAAUGUGAAAUGAAUUGGUUGAAUUGGUUAUGUUUGGAAAUGAUACAGUUUUAAUUGCAGGAGGUUUUAUGUAAAAAUAAGCAGAAGUGCUGUCGAAAUUUAUAAUAAUAAAAAAAAGAAAAAAAAAGAGAAAAAUUCGGAGUACUUAAACGAGUCCCAUUCAUUAUUAAUACAUGUUUUAGCCUUCGAAAGUUCAUUACAAGGACUUAGUUAUUCAAUUAUAUUACAAAUGUUAUUUUAUUUAUAAAUUAUUCGUAAGUUGUCUGAUAUGUUCGGUAAUGCCUCGUAAUCCUGUUCCGGUGACGGUUCGGGGUUAGAGGGUGUUACAUAAACAUUUUUCUAUGGAAAAUACACACUUGUGUAUAAAUAAGUCGUAUGCCAAACACAAUCCUCCUUCACACCCACCCAACAUGAACACUCUUCAUUCCCUUAUUUCACUCUUUCUCUUCUCAUGCUUCCUUCCUCUUCUCUUGUCUUUUUCACCUCCUCAAACUCAUCUCCCAAUGCAAUGCCUUGAUGACCAGAGAUCUCCUCUGCUGCAAUUGCAACAUCAUCUUUACUAUGCCCCUCAUUUUACUUUCUCUUCCAAAUUUGAGCUUUGGCACCCCAACACUGAUUGUUGCUCUUGGGAAGGAGUCACUUGUGAUGCUUAUGGUCAUGUCGUUGGCAUUGAUCUUAGUUACAAAAACCUUUCAGGCAGCUUUCACCCCAUAUUCAAUCUCCAUCGUCUUCAACGCCUUAAUCUUGUUGGAAACAACUUUAAUACCACUCUGUUUUCGUAUGGGUUUGAUAAACUCCAAAAUCUAACUCAUCUCAAUCUUUCAAGCUCAUGUUUCCAUGGCCAAAUUCCAGUGGAGAUCUCAUUCUUAAAAAAUUUAGUCUCUCUUGAUCUAUCCAAUCAAGAUUCUUGUUAUUUGAGAUAUUACAAAGUUCUUGUUGAAAGCUGGACUGCAAAGCAACAUGUGGCCAGCAGCAUGGUUGGCUGUCGAGCUUGGUGAUAAUGCUUGGUGUGCAAGACUGAAGCUGAACCAGAUGAAGCAAUCAACUUUGGAUGUUUUGUUCUUUUGUAAUUUAGUUUAGUUCAACUUUAACUAGUUUCCAAAGUUAGUUGGAUUAAGUUUGUGAUUGGAUUGAUGAUGUAAAAGCUGGUAUGUCAGCUUAUUUUGUAUUUGACUUAAGCUUGUAUUAGUUUAGUUUAAGUGGGAGCAGUUAUGUCAUUAGGUAACUGUCAAAUGAAUCAAAUUUGUAACUCUUUUAUAUAUUCAAAUUUUGAAUGAAAAAAAAAGGUGAAUGUUCAGUUACAAUUUGCUGAGUAUUCAAUUUUGUUCACUGUUUUUUGCUUUGCUUUGAUUUCUUUUGCUUCGAUACUUCUUGCUUCAGUUUUGCAAAUUCUGUUUUGCAACUUUGUUUUCUUUUUGCUGCUGCCAUUGUUCCAACAAAUGGUAUCAUGAGCCCGAGUCUUUGAGGGGCCUUUGUAUGCAAUCUGCAGCCACUUCAAUUAAAGAAUCCAAACUUCAAGACAUUAAUCAAGAAUUUGAGGUUUCUCACAGAGCUUUAUUUGGAUAGUGUGGACAUUUCAACUCAAAGUGCUAAAUGGUGUGAAACCACAUCUCUUAUACUUCCAAACCUGCAUGUGUUGAGUCUGUCAAGCUGUAGUUUGAAAGGUCCAUUAUGUUCUUCACUCUCAAGACUCUCUUUUCUUUCCAAACUUAUCCUUGAUUGGAACCCAAUCUCUUAUUUACCUCCCAAUUUCUUGGAAAUUUCCUCUCGUUUGGUUUCUCUCAGUUUGAGGAACUGCAAUUUGAGUGGCCAUUUUCCAAUUGAAAAUCUCUUAUCGCCAAAAAUUCAAAGCAUUGACAUUUCAUUCAACUUCCAACUUAUGGGUUAGUUGCCAGAAUUUCCAGCAAACAAUGCAUUAUUGAGUCUGUCACUUUUUGAGACAAAUUUCAGUGGAAAACUACCCCAAUCAAUUGGUAAUCUCAAGUUCUUGACUAAUUUAGAGCUUGAUGAUUGCAAUUUUUUUGGACCCAUUCCAUCGUCAAUUGCAAAUCUUAGUCACCUGGUCAACCUAGAUCUGGGAGGGAACAAGCUUUCUGGAUCAAUACAUUCUUCUUUAUUUACUCUUCCAUCGUUGAAGACCUUGUAUCUUGGAGAAAAUCAAUUGGUUGGGAAAAUUGACGAGUUCCCCAAUGCAUCUUCUUCUUUGAUUCAAGAAUUAAGUAUAGGAAAUAAUUAUUUAAGAGGAGCAAUCCCAAAGUCAAUUCUUCAACUCCCAAGGCUUGAAUGGCUUUAUAUCGAAAGCAAUAGCUUUAGUUCUAUGAAGCUUGACAUGUUUGUCCAAGUCAACAACUUAAGGACUCUCUGGCUAAACAAUAUAAGCUUGUUAAUUGAAAGCGACAACAGAAGUCUUACUUUUCCCAAUUAGAGAGUCUAAGCCUAUGGUCAUGCAACCUUACUGAAUUUCCAGAAUUCAUUAAAAGGCAAGACAAGUUGGUUGACUUAGAUCUUUCUAACAAUCAUAUCCAUGGUGUUGUGCCUAAUUGGUUGUGGAAGAGCAGUCUUUCAUCCUUACACCUUCCUUUCAAUGUGAUUGAUUUUCCAAAACAGCUUCCCUUAAAUGAUGCAAACUUCUCAUUUCCAAUGUUGACAGAAUUGGAUUUGAGAUCCUGUAACAUAAGUGCGUUUCCAGAGUUCUUAAAGAGUGUUGGAACAAAGAGACAAUAACAGGCUGUUUGUAUCUUGCUUGAAUAGCAAGCCUCGAGCCUUGUUGAAGAAACAAACUCAGAAGCAAAACAGAAAAUGAAACUAGCAGGCGAAUAACAGAAAAGAGAGAAGAAGAAUGAAUGAAAAAUGAGCUGAUAUUUUUUUCAUUAACUCAAAACAAGGCAUUAAGCCAUUACAUAUUUCAGUCAACAAGUAAAACAAACAAGUAAUCACCUAAUCAACUACCUAACUCCACUAAUUUGCAUUGAAACUUACAAGAUUAGCUUGUACAACUUGCAUUGCUGACUUUUCAGUCAAUCAAUAUCAAAACAUUUACCUACUUAGUUCAACAUGAACUAGAUUACAAAACAAUCAAAAUGAAACCAAAACAGCAAGUGGAUUGGCAGCUUCAAACUUCAGUUGCUGCACACAAUGGCACCACUGUUUGCUGCUAUUUCUUCGAGCAUGACCACCUUUGCAUGUCGUGCAUGGCCACCUUUGCAUGGGAACUAAACUUAACAAAGAGUCUAGAAAAUUUAAUAUUUCUCGACCUUUCAAUUAAUAAAAUAAGUGGUGCAAUACCAAACUGGGUGUGGAAGAAAAGUUUGCGGUCUCUGUAUCUUGCUAAUAACCAUCUCUCAUCUUUGGACCAACUUUUACCCAAUCAGAGUUCAACUUCUUCACAAACCUCCUCGACUAGACCUAUUUGCAAUUUGAGUCAACUUAGAAAUUUCGAUGCAUCUCAUAACAAUUUGAGCGGCACGAUUCCAAAUUGCUUAGGCAAAAUGAAUGAUCUCCUAUUGUUGGAUCUGCAAGGAAAUAACUUCAGUGGAAUGUUACCAAAAUUUUCAAAAGCAACCCACUUAUAUAUUCUCAAAGUUAGUGAGAAUAGAUUGGAAGGGAAGUUGCCCAGAUCAUUAGCUGAAUACACUCAGCUUGAAGUUUUGGACGUGGGAAACAACAAGAUGAAUGAUACAUUCCCUUUUUGGUUGGAGAAAUUGCCUUACUUGACGGUUCUAAUAUUGCGGGAAAACAGAUUUUAUGGUCAAAUUAAACAUUUCAAACAUAAAUCUGUUUUCCCAACUUUGGAUGUAUUGGACAUUGCUUCAAACCAGUUUUCUGGUGAACUAUCCAUUGAUUUCCUUCAACCCACUCGACUAAGGUCACUCAAAAUAGGUGGGAAUAAAUUGGAAGGGAAGCUGUCGAGAUCAUUAGCCAAUUGCACAGCACUUGAGGUUCUGGACCUUGGAAAUAAUAUGGUUCAUGAUACAUUCCCAUUUUGGUUAGAGAAGCUGCCUUCCUUGAAGGUUGUCAUUUUGCGAGCAAACAAAUUCUACGGACCAAUUACAAAAUUCAACACAGAACGUGGGUUUCCAAAGCUACGCAUAUUGGACAUUGCUUCCAACAAUUUUUCAGGCGACUUGUCCAUUGAAUUUUUGCAAAGCUUGAAGGCAAUGAUGUAGUUAACAAAUGAGGACAAAGCUAAGCUGGAUUACAUUGGAGAGAAUUAUUAUCAAGAUUCAGUGACAAUUUUCAACAAAGGGAUUGAGCUGUUUUACGAGAAAAUCUUAAACACUCUUACUUGUUUGACCUUUCCAACAAUAGUUUCCAUGGGAGAAUACCAGAAGAAAUACAAAUGCUGAGGUCACUCAAAGUGCUAAACUUGUCCUAUAAUAGCUUGUCCGGUGAAAUCCCAGUAGCAGUUCAAAACCUAAAAGAUCUGGAGUCUUUGGAUCUCUCACAGAAUGAGCUAUCAGGGAAGAUUCCUCCACAGCUUACAACUCUAACUUUCCUAGAGGCACUGAACUUGUCUUACAACCCACUUGAAGGGAGCAUACCGCAAGGCAACCAAUUCAGUACAUUUUCAAAUGAUUCUUAUCGUGGGAAUCCAAAAUUAUGCGGUCAACCAUUGUCCAAGAAAUGCAAUGAAGACGGUCUUCCAGUGCCACCGCCUCCAGGGGAAGAGGAACAGUCAUGGUUAUAUGCUAUAUCAACUUGGAAAAUUGUUUUGAUAGGUUAUGGUAGUGGUUUGGUCGCUGGGCUAUGUAUCGGAUAUACAGUGUUGAAUGAGUUGGGAAACAAAUGGGUUGACAAGUUCAAAAAACAUGGGAAAAGAAACAGAAGAAGAUCUAGGUGACUGUGUCAGACUUCAUAUAUUAAAGUCAACAGGUAAACAUUUCCUUUUGAAACUAUAGUCUUUAUAUUUUGAAAAGAUUGAUGACGUUUCAAACUAAUUUUGGAUCAUAUAUACAACAUUACAAUUCCUUAAAUUAAGCAGCAGGAGUGGUGACACAGUGAUUUUGUUUUUCCUAUGCAAUAUUCCCAUAUUUGCAUGCUUAUGAGAAGUUAUAUUCUUGGUGGUUUGACUUGUAUUUCUUAUUUUGUCACAGGGAAAUGACCUCUGUCCUUAUAAGCUUCAAGUCAUUGCAUGUCAUUGGUGGCAAUGAAUCAUUUUAAGUAGAAAACCACGCAAAGUAUGAUAAUUUUUGUUUGGGUUUUUGUGCUAUAUAUUUUAUCAAACACAUGUUGGGCUUUAGGCUCGGGUGUAAUGGGUAGAUCUAUUGGUCCGGGUUUUAGUGCAGUCUGACAUUUGUUUUGUACAAAUAAUUUAUUUAUCUUUUAAUAACAGUUUUAUUACUUUAAAAAUAAGUAAAUAAAAUAUAAUGAAAAAUUAGAUAUCUUAAAAAUAUGGUCCGUUUUCCGGAGUUUACAAACAAUGUAAAACACUAUAAAUAUGAUAGCUUUUUCAAAUGAUUCUCCCAUUAUGAAACAUUUAACAGAAUUUGCAUAAAUGAAAUAUUUAUUUACAAGAAAUAAAAAUUAGCCAUGUUAUGCAUAUGAAAAACGUGAUAAUUUGCAAGUGAAAUGAGAAGCUUCAUAUUCUAAUUUUCAGGCCAACAGUCUGAGAAGAAAGCACAGAUUGGCAGAAUAAAGUUGAGAAAAGGAGAAGCAUAUGGCGAAAAGGUUAAUCCCAAAACCGAUAUGCUGCACUCGACGUUCUCUUACAUGUAGUUUGUAUCAUACGCGGAUGGUUGGAUCUUAUUAUUUUAGGAUUUAGUUUACCCAACCGUGAACUUCUGCUUUAAAUACAAUAAUCCUAUUCUAAAUUGGUAUUGGGAUUAGUCAAUUUAUUCUUUCAAUGAUAGUUUUAUUACUUUAAAAAAAUACCCUUCAAUUAAACAUUGUAUGUAAUAAUAUGAUAAUAAUAAUUAAAAUAUAAUGAAAGAAAUUAUGUCUUACAGUCUAGUAAAGGCCAACAAUGUGUCACACUAUCAUUACAAUGUACACAUACUUUGUAGAGAAAUUUAUCCAAUGAAACAGAGGAUGAAACCAGUUUCCCAGAUGCAGGGAAGAAUUGGUAUGCUACAAUAUUACUAAGAAAAAUACUAAUAACAAAAAAAUGGUAAUGGAAUCACCGUUGUUAGUUUUUAGUGUUUUUUUUUGAGGUAUUAUAUAUUUGUAUUUGACCUAUGUUUAUAAUGGUGACCAGACCUGUUAUUUAUAUUUUUGAGAUCCUAGGCGAAACAAUAAAUUAGGGUCUUGUUUAAAAAAUAUUAAAUGUAAUACAAUAAAACAAAAAAAAUAAGCCCUUUUAUUUUAUAUUUUUUUUUGCCUGCAAUAAAUCGAAAGACUUAAAAAGUUAAAAAUUUCAUGUUAAAAACUGGAAAAAGAAACUUUUUGAGCCCUAAACGGUCACACUCCAAAACUACUCUAAAGUCGGGUUGAAAACAACCCAACAAAUUCCAAUCAAAUCCCAAGCUCCAAAAUUGGAAUUAACAAAUGGAAAAACAAAAAGACGUUGGUAAAGCAAAGUAAGUGUGAAAGAUAUGAAGAGUAAGAAGAGAGUAUGAAAAUUUUGAAAAUUGUAAAUUAGGAUGACUUUAAAAUAUGGGGAAGAUUCAUGGGUUUGAAAUCAAUGAUUUUGCAGUUUCUCUUUGUUGAUUUGGUGGAUGUUUCCCACUACUUUUGCUUUUAAUGCUUCCCAUUAUAUACUUGGAAAUUGGGAUUACUUUUGCCACUCAUUUCUCAUGUUUGUUUGGCCAAUAAAGAUUAUUUGCAUAAAGCAACAAUGGGGCAAUAGGCUGCAAUAUUUCCACAUGCCUCUCAAACAUUUUACUCCAAUUUUAUGGAUUUUUUAUAUUUUUUUAAAAAAUUAACAUAUUUUUCUACCUUUCUUCUUUCUCUUCUCAUCCUCUCUUUCUCAAUCUCACCUCCCCGAAAAGAGCAAUGAAAGAAGCGACAAAAGGGUCCUUGGCUGUUUGUGAUGAUGCACUUACAUAUACUCACUUCUAUACGAUUCAUGUAAAUCCUUUCUAUAACUUAUUUCCUUGGAAGCAUUCCUCUGUUAGAGCAACUAAUCCAAAUUCUUAAAUCCAGAUACUGAAUUUUUUUUUUCUUUUCUCUCGAUUUUGUAGCAGGGGCCAAACUCCCCAAUGUCUUGGCUACCAAUCUUCUUUAAUUUAAUCGAACUCAUUUAUGGUAAGGAUGAGUUUUGGAAUGCUCUAUGAAUAUUGUGAGUUGAACAUGAGUAGCAUACUUGACAUGCAAAAUCUAAUAUCAAGAAUCUCCCUUGUGAGAUUCAUUUUUGCUUCAAUUCACAGCCAUUUGGGGUAUGUAAUUUGUCUCUAGCACUGAACUUUCAUGCCAAUAAUGCUAUAUUAUAAACAAGGGUCAUGGCUUUUCCAAGCCUUCUUUAAUAUGAAUUUACUCUUUAGUUCAGAAUUUUAUUUUCAAAUUAUUUUUGUGCAGCUUGGAAGAUAAUAUGAUGAGUUAGUGUUGAUGAAAGCCACAUUUAACAGAGUGAUUCUGCAAAGAGACACCACUGCUAGAUGUGCCUCUUUGAAACGGGACAAGCUCAAGCAAAGAUCGUUAACUUUAUCUUUGAAAACAAUGGUAAAAGUUUCUAACUAAUUAUCUUUUCCUUGACAUCUUCUUUAAUCAUGAUUGAAUUAAGUUUAAGCAUAUGAAAGACAUGACUGUUGGUAGAUAAAUGAGAAGCUUCAUAUUCUAAUUUUCAGGCUAAUGGUCUAAGAAGACAGUAAGGCGUGUUGAUUGCAGUUUGUUAUCUAUUCUAUGGAAAAGAAAACGUGCAUUGCCAACAUAAAGUACAGAAAGGAUAUGCAUAAGGUGCAAAGGCUUAUCACCGAAGCAAGUCUGCAUCUUGUUUAAGGUGGCUCAUGUUCUCUUACAUGUAAUUUGCAUGAAAUCGUAUUAUCUUAGGAUUAUACUGGAGUGCCACCAGCAGUUGACCUCACUGGCAUGUGAGACACUGUUAAGAAUCUUGACAAUGAUCUUAACAAGAUUAAUCCACUAGUUUGUAAUUUUCCCUCUAUAUUUUACCAGGAGUAUAUAACUUAUUUACUUCUAUAUCUUGCAAUUUAUGCAGCCCCUGAGCAUGGUAUAGCUUGGUGUUGGUAGACACAUCGUCCAAGAACUUACAAGAUGUUGAGAAAGCAUAGUGUCGGCAAAAUUUUUGAGUUUUAUGGUUAAGUCUAUGAUCAUAAAUCUUAACAACAGAAUGAUUUUACUAUAAACAAUUUCAGGUUUAUAGGACUUUAUCAUCAAUGUAACUAUUUUUAAUGUGGUUAUAGGAGAGGGUUUGGCUGAAUUAUCAUUAGCUAAUCAUGGUCGAGCCAUUAGGACUAAUAGCUUCAUCAUCAUCCUUUGCUGUGAUAUGACUCUGGCUUGAAUUUAAAGAAAAUAUGAAGUACUUAUAAUGAGAGAGAAAAUUACUUAGCUAAGAGAAGAAAUCAUUUACUUCAACCAAAUUAUCCCCGGUAGAAAUAAAAGCCAAAAGAAUUAAAUUCAUUCAAAACAAAAAUUGUAGGGAUUAGUUUUAUAAUUUUACUUAAAUUUUCAUUUCAACAGGAGGACGCAGGUUCGAGUACAUUGAAGUGCAUUAUCCUCUUAUUUAUGGGUUGGGGAGAGACUAUGGGUAGUUUUAAGGCAUUGUAUCAAAAUAAUAGAUUUAAUCAAAACCUAUAAUGUAAAAAGUUGCUACUAAAAAGUUUAAAAAAUAGAAUUUUUAGUUUCCUUUUGUUUAUUUAUUUAUUUUUUUCAUAAUAUCUUUUAUGUAUAUUUGAAGUGUUUUGGGUUUGAUUUUUAAUCAUUAUAAUCAAAAACCCAAUUUUGUACUAAUAAAUCACACCAUUGUUAGUUUUUAGUGUUAUCUUUUGAGGUAUUAUAUAUUUGUAUUUGACCUAUGUUUAUAAUGGUGAUCAGACCCGUUUUUGAUAUUUUUGAGACCCUAGGCGAAACAAUAAAUCAAGGUUUUGUUUAAAAAAUUAUUAAAUGUAAUACAAAAAUUAAAAAAAUUGAGCCUUUUUUAUUUUAUAUUUUUUCUGCCUGCAAUAAAUCGAAAGACUAAAAAAGUUAAAAAAAUUCACUUUAAAAAUAAAUAAAAAAAAAAACUUUUUGAGUUCUGGACGGCCACACUCUCAAACUACCUUAAAGUCAGGUUGACGGUGACUAGAAAACAACCCAACAAAUUCCAAUCAAAUCCCAAGCUCCAAAAUUGGAAUUAACAAAUAGAAAAACAAAAAGACGUUGGUAAAGCAAAGUAAGUGUGAAAGAUAUGAAGAGUAAGAAGAGAGUAUGAAAAAUUUGAAAAUUGUAAAUUAGGAUGACUUUAAAAUAUGGGGAAGAUUCAUGGGUUUGAAAUCAAUGAUUUUGCAGUUUCUCUUUGUUGAUUUGGUGGAUGUUUCCCACUACUUUUGCUUUUAAUGCUUCCCAUUAUAUACUUGGAAAUUGGGAUUACUUUUCCCACUCAUUUCUCAUGUUUGUUUGGCCAAUAAAAGAUUAAUUGCAUAAAGCAACAAUAGGGCAAUAGGCUGCAAUAUUUCCACAUGCCUCUCAAACAUUUUACUCCAAUUUUAUGUUUUUUUUUAAAUUAACAUAUUUUUAAAUUUUUAAAUUUGAUAUUUGAUCCAUAUACUUUAAAAGUUAAAAUUUCAAUUCUUCUACUUUUUUAAUUUAAAAAUCAUAAUCAAACCAUUAUCGUCGUUGAUAGUUUUUGUCAAAAUUUGUCAAUUUAAUAUGUUUAUUUCUAUCAAUCAUAUGUCACGUCAUAAGAUGACACGUUAAUCAAAAUUUUAAGUUAACAAGUUUUAUAAAAAAUACUUGCGAUUUAAUGAUUGCACUGAGAUUUUUAACUUUCUAACUUUUUAAAUAUAUGAACUAAAUCUUAAAAUAUUUAAUAAUAGAAAAUAUAAAAAAUAUUAAAAUUAAAUAAUAAUAUAGAAAUGAAAUUUUUUCUUCAAAUUUCUCAUCCAAAUACAGUCUAGAAAAGUUUUAAAGAUGAAAUUUAAAUAUAUGUUUGUUUCAAAAGUGGAAAAUUCUAUAUAUUGGAUCAUCAAAAUUUUCACUUAUUGUGUCCAUCAAUCUAGCUAAGACUUAACUUGUACACAAUAGUUCAACGUUGUUUUUGUCCAUUAUUAAUUACUUGGACAUUUGCAUACAAUGCCAAAUACUUAAUACUUAAGGCCUAUAAUAUUUCCACACUAUCAUUUUUGGUCCAAAAUUAAAGAUAUUAAAAUUUUCAAUUUAAACCAUUAUGAUUUAAAACUCGAUGUAUAAUUUUGAGAUAUAAAGUGAUUUAAUUCUUUGAUAAAUUAUAACAUAUUUACAAAUUCGAUACUCAUUAACAAAUUAAUUUUACAUUAUAAGUUAAAUUAUUUUAUAAUUUUUGUUGAGAGAGAUCAAUUUGUUAAUUUUUAAAAUUAACAGGGACUAAAGGAGUAUGUACAUCAAUCUGUUGUUUGAAUUAUUCGAGUUUUUCAUUAUAAAAUUUAACUUGAAACUCGAAUUGUAAACAUUUUUAAUAAAUAUAAAACAUAAAAAAUAUUAAAAUAAAAUAAUAAUUAAAUAAUGAUAUAGAAAUGAAAAUAUUUCUCCAAAUUUCUCACCCAUAUAUGCUCUAAGGAAGUUUCAAAGCUGAAAUUUAAAUAUGUUUCUUUCAAAAGUGAAAAAUUCUACAUAUUUUAUUAUAAAAAAAAUUCACUCAUUGUGUCUAUCAAUCUAUAAUGUGACUUGACUUGUACACAGUGGUUGAACGUUGUUUUUGUGCAAUAAAAACUUAGACAUUUGCAUGCAAUGCCAAAGACGACCUAAGACUUAAAAGUCCUAUAAUAUUUCUAACUAUCAUUUUUUCUGGUCCAAAAUUAACCCUUUGAUAAAUCAUAACAUAUUUACAACUUGGAUACAAAUUAACAAAUUGAAUUUAUAUUAUAAGUUAAAUUUUAUUUUUUUGGUGCUAAAACAAAAUUUACUUAAAAAAAUAAAUGAUGUAGAAAUAAUUAUAUAUAACAUAAAAAAUGAUAAAAUUUACCUGAGUUUGAAAUAAUUUAAAGUUAAAAUAUUUGUAACAUCGAUUUUUGUUCCUAAAAAGUCCAUACCUAAAAUAUAUAAUUUAAACUCAAAAUAUCCGUUGAAUUAUUAUCUUUGCUCAUUCUAUGCGUAAUAAUGGUUCUAAUAGGGUUUAAAGUACAUUUUUAUUGCUAUAAUUUUGUCUUUUUAAUGACUUCGAUUUAGUAAGGCGUGGACAAGAAAACUACAACAUUGGCAUUAAUAAGUUAAUGAGAUUGAUAAAAUAUUAAAAUCUCACUCUUCAAAAUUAAAAUUAGCAAAAAAAGAAAGAGGUAAGGCAAAUUAAGUGUGAAUUUAACAACUUAUUUCUAAUACUAACAAUAAAUAAUUUAUGCAUCAUCACUAACAGCUUUAAAUAAUACAUUAUUAUCCCUUGCUUUUGUAUGUUGGAAAAAAUUGACCAAAAAGACUUAACUGAAGUGGUGGAACAGCAUUUUGAUGGAGUCUUGAUUUGGCAAAAUGACUUAGAAAUUGCAUGCAUUGCCAAUCACUCAUAAAUAAGUUGUAUGCCAAACACAAUCCUCCUUCACACCCACCCAACAUGAACACUCUUCAUUCCCUUAUUUCUUCACUCUCUCUCUUCUCAUGCUUCCUUCCUCUUCUCUUGUCUUUUUCACCUCCUCAAACUCAUCUCCCAAUGCAAUGCCCUGAUGACCAGAGAUCUCCUCUGCUGCAAUUGCAACAUCAUCUUUACUAUGCCCCUCAUUUUACUUUCUCUUCCAAAUUUGAGCUUUGGGAUCCCUACACUCAUUGCUGCUCUUGGAAAGGAGUCUCUUGUGAUGCUCUUGGUUAUGUCGUUGGCGUUGAUCUUAGUAAUAGAAACCUUUCCGGCAGUUUUCACUCCAUUUUCCGUCUCCGUCAUCUUCAACGCUUGAAUCUUUCUGGAAACUACUUUAAUACCACUUUGCUUUCUUAUGGGUUUCACAAACUCCAAAAUCUAACCCAUCUCAAUCUUUCAAGCUCAUGUUUCCAUGGCCAAAUUCCAGUGGAUAUCUCAUACUUAACGAGGUUAGUCUCUCUUGAUCUAUCUAAUCAAGAUUCUUGUUAUUCGCGAUACUACAUCAUUCUUGACCCAUAUAGAGGCGUCCGCAACUACUAUGAUCCAUUGCCUUACGAACUUCAACAGCCUCUUAAAUUAGAGAAACCAAACUUCAAGACAUUAAUCAAGAAUUUGAGGUUUCUCACAGAGCUUUAUUUGGAUGGGGUAAACAUUUCAACUCAAAGUGCUAAAUGGUGUGAAACCACAUCUCUUGUACUUUCCAACCUGCGUGUGUUGAGUCUGUCACACUGUGUUUUGAAAGGUCCAUUAUGUUCUUCACUCUCAAGACUCUCUUUUCUUUCCAACCUUAUCCUUGAUUGGAACCCAAUCUCUUAUUUACCUCCCAAUUUCUUGGAAAUUUCGUCUCAUUUGGUUUCUCUCAGUUUAAUGGGUUGCAAUUUGAGUGGCCAUUUUCCAACUGAAAUUCUCUUAUCGCCAAAAAUUCAAAGCAUUGACAUUUCAGCUAAUUACCAACUUAUGGGUCAGUUGCCAGAAUUUCCAGCAAACAAUGCUUUACAGAUUUUGUCACUUUUUUAUACAAAUUUCAGUGGAAAACUACCUGAGUCGAUUGGUAAUCUUAAGUUCCUGACAAACUUAGAGCUUUCUUAUUGUAAUUUUGCUGGACCCAUUCCAUCGUCAAUUGCAAAUCUUAGUCAACUGGUGAACUUGGAUCUAAGAUUAAAUGUUAUGGUUUCAUUAACGGUCACAUCUUUGUUUAUAUUUCUGUUAAGACUGUUAAAAUAAUACUUAGUUAAACGCUGCGUUUCAUUUAAGUGGCUUAGUGAUACGGUGAGUUUUACUUAGUCAAAACGGAUGCGUUUUGUCUAUUGCAGUAUAGCGGUUAUGGUUGUCCAUAUAUGAUUUGUGACCGAAAAGGAAAGGCAGGCAAUUUUGAAUCCUGUUUUCAGUCUCUAUUUCUUCCUACUGUUUUUUUUCUCUCUGAAUUUUCUCUCUUAUUCUCAUUUCAAUCCCGAUCUCAAUUUAUUCUUCAACAUUAAACAAGCUUUCUGGAUCAAUACAUUCUUCUUUAUUUACUCUUCCAUCGUUGAAGAUCUUGAAUCUUGGAGACAAUCAAUUGGUUGGGAAAAUUGAUGAGUUCCCCAAUGCAUCUUCUUCUUUGAUUGAAGUACUAUAUAUAGGCAAUAAUUAUUUAACAGGACCAAUCCCAAAGUCAAUCCUUCAACUUCCAAGGCUUGAAUGGCUUUAUAUCAAAAGCAAUAGCUUCAGUUCCAUGAAGCUUGACAUGUUUGUCCAACUUAAGAACUUAAAGCGUCUCUACUUAUCCAACGUAAGCUUGUUAAUUGAAAGCGACAACAGAAGUCUUACUUUUCCCCAAUUAGAGAGCCUAGGGCUAAGGUCAUGCAACCUUACUGAAUUUCCAGAAUUCAUUAAAAGGCAACACAAGUUGGUUCACUUAGAUCUUUCUAAUAACCAUACCCAUGGUUUUGUGCCCAAUUGGUUGUGGAAGAGCAGUCUUUCAUGGGUGGACCUUUCUUUCAAUGUGAUUGAUUUUCCAAAACAGCUUCCCUUAAAUGAUGCAAACUUCUCAUAUGUUGGCAGACUUGGAUUUGAGAUCCUGCAACAUAAGUGCGUUUCCAGAGUUCAUCAAAACACAAGACAAGUUGGUUGACUUAGAUCUUUCUAACAAUCAUAUCCAUGGUGUUGUGCCUCAUUGGUUCUGGAAGAGCAGCCUUUCAAGGGUAAACCUUUCUUUCAAUGUGAUUGAUUUUCCAAAACAGCUUCCCUUAAAUGAUGCAAACUUCUUAUUUCCAAUGUUGACAAGAUUGGAUUUGAGAUCCUGUAAUAUAAGUGCGUUUCCAGAGUUCUUAAAGAGUCAAAAAAAAUUUAGAAGAAUUCGACGCAUCUUAUAAAAAUUUGAGUGGCCCAAUUUCAAAUUGGUUAUGCAAUAUGAGUCUACUUUACACUUUCGAUGCAUCUUGUAACAAUUUGAGUGGCUCAAUUUCAAAUUGCUUGGUCAAUAUGAGUCAACUUGACACUUUCGAUGUAUCUUAUAACAAUUUGAGUGGCCCAAUUCCAAAUUGCUGGGGCAAUAUGAGUGCUCUGAUUUUGUUGCGUUUGCAAGGAAAUAACUUCAGUGGAAUGUUACCAAAAUUUUCAACAGCAACCCAACUGCAAUUUCUGAAAGUUAGUGAGAAUAGACUGGAAGGGAAGUUGCCUAGAUCAUUAGCUGAAUGCACUCAGCUUGAAGUUUUGGACGUGGGAAAGAACAAGAUGAAUGAUACAUUCCCUUUUUGGUUGGAGAAAUUGCCCUACUUGAGGGUUCUAAUAUUGCGGGAAAACAGAUUUUAUGGUCAAAUUAAACAUUUCAAACAUAAAUCUGUUUUCCCAACUUUGGAUGUCUGGGACAUUGCUUCAAACCAGUUUUCUGGUGAACUAUCCAUUGAUUUCCUUCAACCCACUCGACUAAGGUCACUCAAAAUAGGUGGGAAUAAAUUGGAAGGGAAGCUGUCGAGAUCAUUAGCCAAUUGCACAGCACUUGAGGUUCUGGACCUCGGAAAUAAUAUGGUUCAUGAUACAUUCCCAUUUUGGUUAGAGAAGCUACCUUCCUUGAAGGUUCUCGUUUUGCGAGCAAACAGAUUCUACGGCACAAUUUCAAAAAUCGACACGGAAUGUGGGUUUCCAAAGCUACGCAUAUUGGACAUUGCUUCCAACCAUUUUUCAGGUGACUUGUCCAUUGAAUUUUUGCAGAGUUUGAAGGCAAUGGCGAAGAUGACUAAUGACGAAAAGGCUAAGCGGGUUUACAUUGGGGACGUCUAUUAUAAAGACUCUGUGACAAUUGUUAACAGGGGGGUUGAACUAUUUUACCAAAAAAUCUGAACUGUUCUUACUUGUCUUGACCUUUCCAACAAUAGUUUCCAUGGGAGAAUACCAGAAGAGAUACAAAUGCUGAGGUCACUCAGAGUGAUGAACUUAUCCAACAAUGGCUUUUCUGGUGAAAUCCCAUUAGCACUUGAAAAUCUAAAAGAUCUUGAAUCUUUGGAUCUCUCACAGAAUGAGCUGUCAGGGAAGAUUCCUGCACAACUUACAAGUUUAACUUUCUUAGCAGCAUUGAACUUGUCUUACAACCAACUCGAAGGGAUUAUACCGCAAAGCAACCAAUUCAUUACAUUUACAAAUGAUUUUUACCGUGGGAACCCAAAAUUGUGUGGGCUGCCAUUGUCAAGGAAAUGCAAUGAAGUUGGUCUUCCAAUGCCACCACCUCCAGGGGAAGAUGAAGAUUCAUGGUUAUAUGCUGUGUCUACUUGGAAAAUUGCGUUGAUAGGUUAUGCUAGUGGAUUAGUGGUUGGGCUAUGUAUUGGAUAUACAGUGCUGAAUGAGUUGGGAAACAAAUGGGUUAACAAGUUCAAAAAGUGUGGUAAAAGAAAUAGAAGAAGAUGUAGGUGACUCCAUCAGAAUUCUUGCUUCAAAAUUAGCUGGUAAGCGUUUGUCUUUCUAAUUUGAACAGAUAGUUGUUGAUUUAUAUAUAUAGGUUUUCAUAACCUCAUUUUUUUGCUGUCUUUACUAAGUUCACUGUCAUAUCGUACUUGUAAUUUGAUGUUACCAUUGAGCAAUGCAGGAGGUACUUGAAGCAGGACAUGGAAUGUACAAUUGUGAGGUUCAUGAAGAAUGUAGGCAAUGAUCCUAACAAGAUCAAUCCACUGGUUUGUAAUUUUGCUUUAUAUGCACUUUUUUCCUGUUGUAGUUUUCCAUGAGUAUAAAUAAGUGUUUAUUCAUUUUGCAUCCAGGUACCUGUGGAUUUGGGGGAUGCAAUGUUUCAGUGCUACUGAAUUUCCAUGCUAAUAAUGAUAUUAUAAACAAGGAAAUGGCUGCCGAAGCUCUCUUUUAUAUAUAAUUUACUUUUACUUCAAAUUUUUUUAUCUUCAGAAUAUUUGUACAGCUGAGGAGAUUUGAUGGCAUGAUGUUGAUGAAAGUCAUACCUAAUGGACAUUGGAUUGAUUGUGUAAAGAGACGCAGAUGCUGCUACUUCCAUCCUUUGCUCUUCCAAAUAGACAUUAGCUUUAUAUUUUAUCAAUUACGUGUUGGGCUUUAGGAUCGGGUGUAAAGGGUGGACCUGUUGGUCCGGGUUUUAAUUCAGCCCGACACUUAUUUUUAUACUAGUUUAUUUAUUGUUUCAGUGAUAGUUUUAUUAAUUUCAAAAAAUAUGGUUGAAUUAGGUAAUAAUAUGAUAAUAAUAAUAAUAAUAAUUAAAAUUUAAUGAAAUAAAUUAUGUCUUAAAAUCUAGUAUGUUUUCCAAUGUUAGCCAAAGGCCAACAAUAUCUCACACUAAUAUUUUCUUUGUUAGUCCGAAAUUAAAAAUUUCAAAUUAGAAUGUUAUUUAUAGUUUGAGGACUUAAUUAAAUUUUUAUUUUUAAAUUUAGAGGUCAAUUUUAAAUUUAAUCCAUAAUUUAAGGAAUUAAUCCUUUGCUAAAUCCUAACAUAUUUAUAAGUUCCAUACUCAUUAAUAAAUUAGUACUAAAAAUGCUCAUUUGGAUUUAGACAAAAGUAAAUUAUGAUAAAAAUUAAAAUAUAUGAAAGAAAUGAUGCCUUAUAAUGUGGUGUGUGGCAAACAAUCUAAAACAUUAGAAAUAAAUAUGUGACCUUAAUAAAGAAAAUCAAUUCUCUUAUUGUAAAACAUUUAUAAGAAUUAAUUCAAGGGACAAUUUUAUCAUUGUAAAACAUUUAAAAGAAUUUAUUUAAGGAAAAAGAUGGUAUAAAACUGUGAUUUCACGUUAUCUCUAUCCCUUCCUAAUAGAAGAGGAAUGACAAAUUAGAUUUUUAUUCUGAUUUGUAGCAUUUUUAAUUAGAUUUGAAUUUUUCUAAGAGGAAAAAGUUAAAAAUCAAGAGAAAAAAUCUGAUUUGUUAUUCUCCUAUUAGAGAGGGAUAAGGAUGACAUGGAAUCACAGUUUUAUACAAUCCAUUCUCUUUGUUCAAAUAUUUAUUUACAAAAAAUAAAAAUUAUAUGUUGCUUAAUCUCAUAGUGUUUUAAUUGGCUUGAUAAACUUUGAAAAAAAAAUUUUAAUUGAAAUUAAUUUUUUCCACUACUUGAGCCCAUCAAUCCAUCUCAACUACCUAAGAAACUUGCUAAACAUUAUUUUCAUGGGGUAAAAAAGAUUUAGACAUUUGCAUGCAGUGCCAAAAGGCUAAGACCUGAGUCCAAUAAUAUCUCAUACCAUAAAUUUUUUGGACCCAUUCCAUCGUCAAUUGCAAAUCUGGUCAACCUAUAUCUGGGAGGGAACAUGCUUUCUGGAUCAAUACAUUCUUCUUUCACUCUUCCAUCAUUUAAGACCCUGUCUCUUGGAGAAAAUCACUCGGUUGGGAAAAUUCUGCCCGGCCCAUAAAUGAAACCCAAAUAAAUAAAAAUCCAAUGUAAGUCCAAGUCCAUUACAGAAAAAAAUAUCAGACACAAAUUUAAAAGGCCCGAAAGCCUAAAAAAAAAAAUAUAGUAGCUAACCGAACCCAAGCCGCCGCUCCUCCCACGUCAGCCACCAACUACUCCUGCAAGGAAAAGACAGAAUCAGAAGCAAUAACAGUGAAAAAAUAUAAAAAUUGUAUGAAACGGCUAUAAAAGCCAUUUGGACAGAUUUGUAAGGGGCUUUUUUGUUUUUGAAGAAAAAAAGGGGAAAAAGAAAUAAAAGAAACAAAAAAAAAACUUUCAAAAGGUGAUCUUUUUUCUCUUAUUUAUUUAUUUUGAAAAAAGAACAAAAAAAGAAAAAAAAAAUCAAAACUUUCUUAUUUUUUCGGACGGUGAUCGACAGAUCUAAGCUCGGGAGGCCGAUAGAGAGAGGAAAGUAAAAAGGAAAAUUUUACCACGAAAUUUUAAUUUUAUUUCAUUUUAGUCCUGCAUAAGGGCAAAGGAUAUUUUCCUAUUCGGUCCAUGUUUUUUUAACGUGUUACAUUUGAAUCCUUAUUAGCCUAUUUUUAUUUACAAUGUAUACCCCUUAAUUUUAUUCCAAUUUCAAUACGAUCCUUAGUUUAUUUAACUUCAAAUUUUUUUUACAAACUGUUUCAUUUAUUAUUUAUUUAUUUUCAAUUUUUAAUCAAUUUUUUUACAUUAUUUAUUUAUUUACUUAUUGUUCCUUUUGUUUUUAUUUUUAAUUGGCUUGCUUUUUGUAUUUUCCUUUUAUUGUGCAUUUUUUUAUUUUGCCUUUAUUAUUGUUAUUAUUCCAUUAUUUAUUACCUUUUAUGUACUUAGAAAAAUAGAUUAUUUAUUAUUAUUGUUAUUAUUAUUGUUGUCAUUUAUAUUAUCAUUUUCAUUAUUAUUAUUAUUAUUUGUUUAUGCAUAUUAAUAUUAUUAUUGCUAUACUUUUAUAUUUUAUUAUGCAUAUUAUUAUACCGUUAUUAUAAAUUGGUGUUGCGUUAUUAUUAUUUUUCAUUAUAUUAUUAAAUAAAAUAUCAAUCAUAUUAUAGUCAUUAUCGUUAUUAUUAUAAUCAAUUUGUGUUGCAUUAUUACUAUUAUAUUAACGUGAUCUCAACUACCUACUUAUUAUCAUUUUUACCAUGACCAUUUCGAUUUCUUUUCUCUUUAUUCGUGUAGCCAUUUUAUUUUUAUUUUAGACCUAACCAUAUUUUCCCUUAGGUUUAGAUAUAUUUAUUUGCUCCUCACUAUGGCCCAAUCUCGUAUUGUGUUAAAUAGUGAAUCCGUUUUUUACACAACUUAUAAGAAAUAAUUAAAAUUAGGGCUGUAAUAGGCCAUUUUAGCCCGGGCCCAAAUACAUAAACCUUAAAAUAAAAAUACAAUAAAUUACAAACCCAUUUUUAACCCAAUAACACCCCGACCCAAUAGCUGAAUUAAAAGCCCAUUUUUUGUGACCCAAUUACAGAGUGGCCCAAACAAAACAAAAUCAGAAACCCUAGCAGUUAGCAAGCCAGCGCCGCAACUGCCCACGUUCUUCUCUCACAACAACGCCCCAAGUCGCAGCAAUCUCCAGCUCUACAUCACUCCACGUUCAGCACUCGCGCACGCCACACGUUUGUACCUGCAAUAACCACGAACAGUAAAAGGUGGAAAAGAGGUUCUCGGGGGUUUUUUUUUCUUUUCGUUAUUUUGGCUAUUUAAAGCCAAAUCAAAUCUGUAAAAGGGUUACACACACAUAUAUCGAAAAACUGUAAUAGGGGUUAGCAAAUUUUUUGCUGAAAACUGAAAAAGAAAUACCAGAGAAAGAAAAAACAUUUUGAAGGUGACGAAUUCAGGUUUCUUUUCCUUGCUUCUUUUUACUGUUUUUAUUCUUUUAUCUUGUUUUUCUUUGAUUUCUUUGAAUAACAAAAAGGGAUAAGGGGAAAAUAGGAGGGCUUACUGUUUUUUGGAGGCGAUUGAAGGCCUCUUUUCGCCGUUGUCUGGUCGGAGUCGGAGCGGCAGAGAAGGGGACUUUGAGAGGAGUUGCGGCGCACCACAAAAAUGGCAGAGAAAGGGAAUGGCUUUAGGGUUUUAAAAUGGGCUUUUAUAGGGGUUCAAAAGGGGCCAUUUGCGCGAUUGGUCCUUUGCUUUUUGGGGUUGUUUAAAUUAAAUUUAUAUUUCCUUUAAAUUUUACUGCAUGUUUUAUAAUUGUUUUAAAUUGGUCCUAUGCUGCGCAACAUUGUAGGUUUGGGUAAAUGUCUCGUUCAGUCCUCCCCCUGUUGUGCGUGUUUUAAUUUACUCCCUUUCAUGUUAUUUUGUAAUUAGCUUUUUAAAUUCUGUUGAUUUUUUUUUAAUUUAAUCCUUAAUUUAUUAUUUUUAGUUUUUAUUAUAUUGUCAAUAUGGUUCAUUGACGUUAUUAUUACUGUAUGGUUAUUAGUUCAUUAUUAUAUGUUAUAUUAUUAUUAUAUUUAUUUAUAUGCGCAUAUGCCUCUUAAUAUACACAUAUACCUUUUUAAAAUGUUUUAAAUAUAUACUAUAUACAUAUCAUAUAUUUUAUUAUUAUUUUAUUUUUCUUAGCUUUAUAUUCGUAUGUAUGCGUAUAUAUUUUUAUAAUAUUUAUAUUUUUUAUACCUUAUGAUCCAAAAAUAAAUAUUUUUUAUAAUAUAUAUACACAUAUACCUAUGUUAUUCCAUAUUUUUAUAAAUAUAUCCGUUAAAUUAUAUAUAUAUAUACAUACAUAUGUCAAUAUUUUUUAUAAUUACUAAAUAUUAUGCUUAUAUUUUAGUUUUUAUAAACUUUAUAUAUAUACAUAUAUUUAUUUAUUUAUUUAUUUAUUUAUUUAUUAUGUUUAUUAUUUUUGUAUACAUGAAUAUAUAUGCAUCAAUAUUUUGUCAUACUUUAAAAAAAUAAAUAUUUUGAUUUUAUCAAAACAUUAAAAUUAUUUUUAUGAUUCAAAGGUUUUCAAAAUAAAAAACGAUAUUCAAAGUUAGGGAUUUUCGAGGAAAAUUGAGCCCUAACGCAUUGGGUUCCGAUUUUCUUUGUUAAUUCCAAAUGACCGAGAAUAUUUGUUAUUUAAAAUAUAUAAGUAAAAAUCAUUUUUGGAACUUAAUUUGUUAUGUCCUAACGUAUUGGGCAUGACAUAAUUGCUUCCUCGAAACGAAUAUUUACUUAUAAGGCAAAAGUGAUAUUCAAAAUUCAGGGAUUUUGAGAAAUUGUACCCUAACGUAUUGGGUCUCAAUUUCUUCACAUGACUUGAAUAAUUGAUUAUCCUUUUCAGAUUUCAUCAUUUGAAUUUUAAAAAUCUUUUUAACCCUCGACAUUAAGAUAUUAAAUAAUCAAUUUGGUACCGAUUUUUGGGCGUUACGAGGGUGCUAAUCCUUCCUCGUGCGUAACUGACUCCCGAACCUGUUUUCUCAAAUUUCGUAGACCAGAGUCGUUUUUAAGGUGAGCCGAUCACACCUCAAUAAAGGAUCGGUGGCGACUCCAAUUUUUGUUUUUUAAAGUCGACAACUAAAUUUUUGUUUUCAAAAAAGAUGGUUUCGACAAGGACAAUGUUUUGUAUUUGGGGAUUCAAGAAGUCGUACCCUAACUUACGGGGCUUGGCUUUCUUGUUAAACUUAGAUGACCAAAUAUCUUUUUAAAAUUAAAACACGUGAAAUUUAUAUAAUAAUUUAAAUAAAGAGCAAGCUUAUUUUCAAAGAUUUGAGAUGUCGUAUCCUAAUUUACGGGAUAUAACCUUUUGUUACCUCGAGAUAAGAGGGCCUUUUACAUAUAUUUUUGAUUUAUUCAAGUGAUUUUUAGUAACAUGAUGCAAAGUGCGAUCAUGUUUUAAACUCUCUUCAAUUUUUUUAAUUCAUGACACUAAGACUUUAAUUAAUCAACUAAGUACUAAUUUUAAAUGUCGCAAGGGUGCUAAUCCUUCUUCGUGCGUAAUUGACUCCCGAACCCGUUUCUUGAAUUUUGUAGACCUUAAAUAUUUAUUUUAGAAAAUCAAAGCGAUCAAAUUACGAGGUGACCCGAUCACUUCGACAAUGACUACAAGCAUUUUUUCUCACAAAGUUCACUAUCAUAUCAUAUUGUAUUUGUUCUUGUGGCAAUGAAAAAUUUACCUUGUUGAAGUGCAUAGGUACUUGAUCCAAGACAUGGAAUGAACAGUUACGAGGUACAUGAAGAAUCUAGGCAGUGAUCCCAACAAUGAUCCUAACAGCUGAGGAGAUUUAAUAGCUUGAUGCUGAUGAAAGCCUUAUCUAAUGGACAUUGGACUAAUUGUGUAAAGAGAUGCAGAUGUUGCUACUCCCACCCUUUGCUCUUCCAAAGAGACAUUAGCUUUAUAUUUUAUUAAUCAUGUGUUGGGCUUUAAGUCCGGGUGCAAAGGGUAGACCUGUUGAUUCGGGUUUUAGUUCAGCCCAACACUUGUUUUUACAGUAGUCUAUUUAUCUUUUUUAAUGAUAAUUUUAUUACUUUGAAAAAUACCAUUCAAUUAAACUUUGUGUGUAAUAAUAUGGUAAAAAUAAGAAUUAAAAUAUGGUGAAAGAAAUGUCAUCUUAGAAUCUGGUAUGCUUUCCAAUGUUAGCCAAAGGCCAACAAUAUCUCACACUAUUAUUUUCUUUGUUAAUCCAAAAUUAAAAAGUUCAAAUUAGAAUGUGAUUUAGAGUUUGAGGACUUAAUUAAAUUUUUUUUAAGUUUAGAGUUCAAUUUAAAAUAUAAUCCAUAGUUUAGGGACAUCAAGUGAAUUAACCCUUUGAUAAAUCCUAACAUAUUCAUAAGUUGCAUACUCAUUAAUAAAUUAGGACUAAAAUGCUUAUUGGUAAAUUGAUUUCACAUAUAAGUUAAUUUAUUUUUGGGUGCUAUACCAAAGUUUAAUUAAAAGAUUGUAAUGCUACACUUCUACAUUUAAAAAAAUUAAAUUAUAUAUAAGCAAUUAUGAUAUAAAAUCAAGGCAGCCCGCAUCUAAAAUAUUUUAAGCAUCAAACACAUGAAAAAAAAUCCAAACCCAAAUAUUUUAAGCAUCCAAAACAUUGGCAUUGGCAUCAAUAAGAACACUUGGAUUGGAUAAUGAAAAAAAAAUCCAAUCUCAACUAUUUAACAACGACAUGUUUAUUAUAUGAUUUUCAAUACAAAAUCAGAUAAUUAAUCCGACUCUGUUGAGUUAACUCAUACUUAUAAUGUUCAAUUAAAUGAUUUUUUCAAAAAAAAAUUAAUUGUUUAUAUUUCGAAUCCAAUUCAACCAAUAAAAAGCCAGUUAUAUUUGAAUGCGAAUGCAAAGCAGUGGAUAUAACGUAAGGGACUCAAUCCAAUUUGGCAUUCUAAAUGAUGUCUUAAUUACAAUGUGGUGUGCUUUCCAGAGUUGGCAAACAACCUAAAGCACUUCUUUAAUUUAUCUUUGAAAAGUGAUAAAAAUAUUAAUAACUAAAAUUAAAAAACUGCAAGAACCAUUAUCUUUCACAAAUUAUUCAAAAUCAUAUGGUAUUUGUAGUCGUUGGCUUAUAUUUUGAAAAGAUUGAUGUUACAAACUAACUCUGAAUUUCCUAAGCUUAUUUUUUGUCCCUUGACACACUUCGCUAUCAUAUGGUAUUUGUAGUCGUAGGCUUGUAGCAUUGACAUUCAUUUUAUCAUUUCGCAAUGCAAGAGGUACUGAAACAGGCUAAGCUGAAACGGCUCAUUAGGUUUGCAACUCCAAAAGACUCUUCGAAAAGAGCAAUGAAAGAAGCGACAAAAGGGUCCUUGGCUGUUUGUGAUGAUGCACUUACAUAGACUCACUUCUAUAUGAUUCAUGUAAAUCCUUUCUAUAACUUAUUUCCUAGGAAGCAUUCCUCUGUUAGAGCAACUAAUCCAUAAUUCUUAAAUCCAGAUACUGAAAUUCUUUUUUUUUCUCUCGAUUUUGUAGCAGUGGCCAAACUCCCCAAUGUCUUGGCUACCAAUCUUCUUUAAUUUAAUCGAACUCAUUUAUGGUAAGGAUGAGUUUUGAAAUGCUAUAUGAAUAUUGUGAGUUGAACAUGAGCAGCAUACUUGAUAUGCAAAAUCUAAUAUCAAGAAUCUCCCUUGUGAGAUUCAUUUUUGCUUCAAUUCACAGCCAUUUGGGGUACGUAAUUUGUCUCUAGCACUGAACUUUCAUGCCAAUAAUGCUAUAUUAUAAACCAGGAUCAUGGCUUUUCCAAGCCUUCUUUAAUAUGAAUUUACUCUUUAGUUCAGAAUUUUAUUUUCAAAUUAUUUCUGUGCAGCUUGGAAGAUAAUAUGAUGAGUUGAUGUUGAUGAAAGCCACAUUUAACAGAGUGAUUCUGCAAAGAGACACCACUGCUAGAUGUGCCUCUUUGAAACAGGACAAACUCAAGCAAAGAUCGUUAACUUUAUCUUUGAAAACAAUGGUAAAACUUUCUAACUAAUUAUCUUUUCCUUGACAUCUUCUUUAAUCAUGCUUGAAUUAAGUUUAAGCAUAUGAAAGACAUGAUUGUUGGUAGAUAAAUGAGAAGCUUCAUGUUCUAAUUUUUAGGCUAAUGGUCUAAGAAGACAGUAAGGCGUGUUGAUUGCAGUUUGUUAUCUAUUAUAUGGAAAAGAAAACGUGCAUUGCCAACAUAAAGUACAGAAAGGAUAUGCAUAAGGUGCAAAGGCUUAUCAUCGAAGCAAGUCUACAUCUUGUUUAAGGUGGCUCAUGUUCUCUUACAUGUAAUUUGCAUGAAAUCUUAUUAUCUUAGGAUUAUACUGGAGUGCCACCGGCAGUUGACCUCACUAGCAUGUGAGACACUGUUAAGAAUCUUGACAAUGAUCUUAACAAGAUUAAUCCACUAGUUUCUAAUUUUCCCUCUAUAUUUUACCAGGAGUAUAUAACUUAUUUACUUCUAUAUCUUGCAAUUUAUGCGGCCCCUGAGCAUGGUAUAGCUUGGUGUUGGUAGAUUCACAUCGUCCAAGAACUUACAAGAUGUUGAGAAAGCAUAGUGUUGGCAAAAUUUUUUAGUUUUAUGGUUAAGUCUAUGAUCAUAAAUCUUAAGAAUAGAAUGAUUUUACUAUAAAAAAAUCAGGUUUAUAGGACUUUAUCAUCAAUGUAACUAUUUUUAAUGUGGUUAUAGGAGAGGGUGUGGUUGAAUUAUCUUUAGCUAAUCAUGGUCGAGCCAUAGUUGCAGACAUGGGACCUGAAUAAUGUGCAACCAUGGGUUGUCUUUCCUGUGGAUCAUACAGCCUUGCAAUUCCUUAAUUUAACCAGCAGGAGUGGUGACACAGUUCAUUCUCUGCGUGGUGAUGACUCCAACAAGGUUUUAUGUUAUUAUUGCUACUAUUUUGUCUUUUUAAUAAUUUAGAUAUAAGAAAAUUUUCAUAUAUAUAUAGAAUAAGGAUGAGACAGAAAGACUAAAAUAUUGGCAUCAAUAAGAACACUAAGACCAAUAAAAUCUCAUUUCAAAAUUAGAAUUGAAAAAAUAUAUAUAUAAAAAAUUGAAGAUGCAAAGCAAAUUAAGUGUGAAUUGAAAACCUUAAUGCUAAGACUAAGAAUAAAUAAUUCAUCCAUUAAGACUAAUAGCUUCAUCAUCAUCCUUUGCUGUGAUAUGACUCUGGUUUGAAUUUAAAGAAGCAAAUAUGAAGUACUCAUAAUGCGAGAGAAAAUUACUUAGCUAAGAGAAGAAAUCAUUUACUUCAACGAAACUAUCCCCGGUAGAAAUAAAAGCCAAAAGAAUUAAAUUCAUUCAAAACAAAAAUUGUAGGGAUUAGUUUUAUAAUUUUACUUAGAUUUUUAUUUUAACAGAAGGACGUGGGUUCGAGUACGCCGAAGUGCAUUAUCCUCCUAUUUAUGGAUUGGGAAGAGACUGGGUAGUUUUAGGCAUUGUAUCAAAAAAAGAAAUUUUUAGAGCCCUAGACGGCCACACUCCCAAACUACCCUAAAGUCGGGCUGAUGGUGACUAGAAAACAACCCAACAAAUUCCAAUCAAAUAUCAUGCUCAAAAUUGGAAUUAACAAAUGGAAAAACAAAAAGACAUUGGUAAAGCAAAAUAAGUGUGAAACAUAAAGAAAUUGAUAUGAAGAGUAAGAAGAGAGUAUGAAAAAUUUUAAAAUUGUAAAUUAGGAUGACUUUAAAAUAUGGGGAAGAUUCAUGGGUUUGAAAUCAAUGAUUUUGCAGUUUCUCUUUGUUGAUUUGGUGGAUGUUUCCCACUACUUUUGCUUUUAGUGGUUACCAUUAUAUAAUUGGAAAUUGGAAUUACUUUUGCCACUCAUUUCUCAUGUUUGUUUGGCCAAUAAAAGAUUAAUUGCAUAAAGCAACAAUAGGGCAAUAGGCUGCAAUAUUUCCACACGCCUGUCAAACAUUUUACUCCAAUUUUAUGUAUUUUUUUAAAAAAUUAACAUAUUUUUUAAUUUUUAAUUUUAACAUUUGAUCCCUAUACUUUAAAAGUUAAAAAUUCAAUUCUUCUACUUUUUCAAUUUAAAAAUCAUAAUCAAGCCAUUAUCAUCGUUGAUAGUUUUUGUCAAAAUUUAUCAGUUUAAUAUGUUUAUUUUUAUCAAUCAUAUGUCACGCCAUAAGAUGACACGUUAAUCAAAAUUUCAAGUUGACAAGUUUUACAAAAAAUACUUGCGAUUUAAUGAUUGCACUGAGAUUUUUAACUUUUUAAAUAUAUGAACUAAAUCUUAAAUUUGACCAAAAUACAAGAACUAACAACAUAUUUUAACCAAAAUUUAAAUAGUUUGCACAUUGAAUCAUCAUAACUAAUUUAAGGAUUUAAUUAAAAUAUUUCAAAAAAUUUCCAUAUUACCUUUACUUUUGUAAAUAAUGAUAUGCAUUGGAAUUAAUUAUUAAGUAAAAGGAUAAUGUUUUAUGGAAACUACAAAUUUAUGUAUAAAAUGUUGCAUGAAAAUAAUCCUUCUUCAUACCCAACCAACAUGAGACUCCAUUUCCUUGUUUCACCUUUUCUACCUUUCUUCUUUCUCUUCUCAUCCUCUCUUUCUCAAUCUCAUCUCCCCCAAAAAUGUAAAAUAAAAAAAAUAUUUUAAUUUUUAAAAAAUAUAAAAUUUUGGAAUUUUUAUGAAUAUUUUGAAUUUUAAAAAUUAUUUUGAAUAUUUUGAAAAUUAUUUUAAAUUAUUUUGUAAUUUUGGUUGAGAGAGAUCAAGUUGUUAAAUUUUAAAAUUGACAAGGACCAAAGGAGCAUGUACACCAAUUUUUUGUUUGAAUUAUUCAAGUUAUUUAAAUUGUAAAAUACAACUCGAAAUCAAAUUAUAAAUAUUUUUAAUAAUAUAAAACAUAAGAAAUAUUAAAAUUAAAUAAUAAUAUAGAAAUGAAAUUUUUUCUCCAAAUUUCUCCUCCAAAUACAGUCUAAGAAAGUUUGAAAGCCGAAAUUUAAAAAUGUUUCUUUUAAAAGUGAAAAGUUGUAUAUAUUGUAUCAUCAAAAUUUCCACUCAUCCAACUAAGAAACUUACUAUAAUUUUGUCUUUAUAAUGUGACUUGAUUUGUACACAAUGGUUGAACGUUGUUGAUAAUACUCUGGAAUGACAUAUCUUUAUAUAUUAAUUACAUAUAUAUUUUAUUUUGAGUAUGAUCCUACUAAAUUGAGCUAUUUAUGGUUUUUAUAUUGUAGGGACUAAAUUGAAGGAAAAAUAAAAUUUAGGGGCAAAAAUCAUGAAUUUGAAGAUAAAAUGGGUCAGGAUGCAAAAUAGGAAAGAAAUGGUGCCGAAAAUGCAAAGUGUGGAAAACUUGGGGGCAAUAGUUCAAAAAAGAGAUUUUAUAAACACAAGACUCUAUUUGAAUUUUAAUUAUAUUAGGAUUAUUGUUAAGAUUAUUAUUUAGAUUUAAUUCUAGCUUUUAUCUUUAUUUAUCUUUUAGAAUUUAGAAAGGAAUAAACUAGGUCUUUUGAGUACUAUAAAUAGGGGAUGGAGUGACAUAGAUUUAACUCAUCUUUUCUGUAAAAGCUCUCUCUCCCAAAAAGCUUUAGCAUUUGUUUCUUUCAUUUAUUCAAUAAAAUUUCAUUUUUAUUAAGUUUAUUUAUUUUUCCCCAAAAAGCAUGAGCCAUUAAAUUCAUUUAGCCAAAUGUUGUCGAGAUUCCCCAAAAAGGGUUCAUGAGGCUUAGAAUCCGCACUUAGCCUUCUCAACAAAUGUUUAUCGUUUCUCCGUACUACGGGACUGACGCUUCCGUCCAUGUCCCUUCAAAAGUGAUCUUUUCAUCUUAAAAAAUUGAUUUUAUAUUAUAAGUUAAAAUUUAUAUUUCUGGUGCUAUAACAAAGUUUACUUAAAAAAUUAAAUUGUAAUUUUUUUAUUUAAAAAAAAUUAAAUGAUGUAGAAAUAAUUAUAUAUAACAUAAAAAUGAUAAAAUUUACCUGAGUUUAAAUAAAUUAAAGUUAAAAUAUUUGUAAUUUUUUGUGCUAAAAAGUCGAUACCUAAAAUAUAUAAUUUAAACUCAAAAUAUCAGUUGAAUUGUCAUCUUUGCUCAUUCUAUGCGUAGUAAUGGUUCUAAUAGGGUUUAAAGUGCUAUAAUUUAGUCUUUUUUAAUAACUUAGAUUUAAAUGAUUAUUUAUAUAGAGUAAGGAGUGGGCAAGAAAACUACAACCUUGGCAUUAAUAAUUUAAUGAGAUCCAUAAAAUAUUAAAAUCUCAUUCUUCAAAAUUAAAAUUAACAAAAAGGAAAGACAUAAAGUAAAUUAAGUGUGAAUUUAACAACUUAUCUCUAAUACUAACAAUAAAUAAUUUAUGCAUCAUCACUAACAGCUUUAAAUAAUAAAUUAUUAUCCUAUGUUGGAAAAAAUUGACCAAAAAGACUAAGUGGUGGAACAGUAUUUUGAUGGAGUCUUGAUUUGGCAAAAUGACUUAGAAAUUGCAUGCAAUGCCAAUCACUCAUAAAUAAGUUGUAUGCCAAACACAAUCCUCCUUCACACCCACCCAACAUGAACACUCUUCAUUCCCUUAUUUCUUCACUCUUUCUCUUCUCAUGCUUCCUUCCUCUUCUCUUGUCUUUUUCACCUCCUCAAACUCAUCUCCCAAUGCAAUGCCUUGAUGACCAGAGAUCUCCUCUGCUGCAAUUGCAACAUCAUCUUUACUAUGCCCCUCAUUUUACUUUCUCUUCCAAAUUUGAGCUUUGGCACCCCAACACUGAUUGUUGCUCUUGGGAAGGAGUCACUUGUGAUGCUUAUGGUCAUGUCGUUGGCAUUGAUCUUAGUUACAAAAACCUUUCAGGCAGCUUUCACUCCAUAUUCAAUCUCCAUCGUCUUCAACGCCUUAAUCUUGCUGGAAACAACUUUAAUACCACUCUGUUUUCCUAUGGGUUUGAUAAACUCCAAAAUCUAACUCAUCUCAACCUUUCAAGCUCAUGUUUCCAUGGCCAAAUUCCAGUGGAGAUCUCAUUCCUAAAAACGUUAGUCUCUCUUGAUCUGUCCAAUCAAGAUUCUUGUUAUUUGAGAUAUUACAAAGUUCUCUACCCUGGCUUCUACAACCGUUUUUCAUUGCCUUACGAACUUCAACAGCCUCUUAAAUUAGAGAAUCCAAACUUCAAGACAUUAAUCAAGAAUUUGAGGUUUCUCACAGAGCUUUAUUUGGAUAGUGUGGACAUUUCAACUCAAAGUGCUAAAUGGUGUGAAACCACAUCUCUUGUACUUUCCAACCUGCGUGUGUUGAGUCUGUCAAACUGUGAUUUGGAAGGUCCAUUAUGUUCUUCACUCUCAAGACUCUCUUUUCUUUCCAAACUUAUCCUUGAUGGGAACCCAAUCUCUUAUUUACCUCCCAAUUUCUUGGAAAUUUCCUCUCGUUUGGUUUCUCUCAGUUUGAGGGAUUGCAAUUUGAAUGGGCAUUUUCCAACCGGAAUUCUCUUAUUGCCAAAAAUUCAAAGCAUUGACAUUUCAGGCAAUGACCAACUUAUGGGUCAGUUGCCAGAAUUUCCAGCAAACAAUGCUUUACAGAGUUUGUCGCUUUCUUAUACAAAUUUCAGUGGAAAACUACCUCAAUCAAUUGGUAAUCUCAAGUUCUUAACAGAUUUACAUCUUUCUGGUUGCAAUUUUUUUGGACCCAUUCCAUCGUCAAUUGCAAAUCUUAGUCACCUGGUGAACUUGGAUCUUGGAUAUAAUUAUUUCAGUGGUUUAAUCCCUUCGUUUCAUAGAUUUGGAGCUCCUAAUCUUGAAAAUCUCAAUUUGGAGACGAACAAGCUUUUUGGAUCAAUACAUUCUUCUUUAUUUACUCUUCCAUCGUUGAAGACCUUUUAUCUUGGAGAAAAUCAAUUGGUUGGGAAAAUUGAUGAGUUCCCCAAUGCAUCUUCUUCUUUGAUUGAAGUACUAUCUAUAGGCAAUAAUUAUUUAACAGGACCAAUCCCAAAGUCAAUCCUUGAACUUCCAAGGCUUGAAUGGCUUUAUAUCGAAAGCAAUAGCUUCAGUUCCAUGAAGCUUGACAUGUUUGUCCAUCUCAAGAACUUGAGGUAUCUGACGCUGUUCAACACAAGCUUGUUAAUUGAAAGCGACAACAGAAGUCUUACUUUUCCCCAGUUAGAGAGCCUAAGCCUAAGGUCAUGCAACCUUACUGAAUUUCCAGAAUUCAUUAAAAGGCAAGACAAGUUGGUUGACUUAGAUCUUUCUAACAAUCAUAUCCAUGGUGUUGUGCCUAAUUGGUUGUGGAAGAGCAGUCUUUCAUUCUUACACCUUUCUUUCAAUGUGAUUGAUUUUCCAAAACAGCUUCCCUUAAAUGAUGCAAACUUCUCUUUUUCAAUGUUGAGGGUAUUGUAUCUGGAAUCUUGUAACAUAAGUGUGUUUCCGGAGUUCUUAAAGAGUCUAGAAAAUUUAGUAGUUCUCGACCUUUCAAAUAAUAAAAUAAGUGGUGCAAUACCAAACUGGGUGUGGAAGAAAAGUUUGCGGUAUCUGUUUCUUGCUAAUAACCAUAUCUCAUCUUUGGACCAACUUUUACCCAAUCAGAGUUCAACUUCUUCACAAACCUCCUUGGCUAGACCUAUUUGCAAUUUGAGUAAACUUAGAAAUUUCAAUGCAUCUCAUAACAAUUUGAGCGGCACGAUUCCAAAUUGCUUAGGCAAAAUGAAUGAUCUCUAUUUGUUGGAUCUGCAAGGAAAUAACUUCAGUGGAAUGUUACCAAAAUUUUCAAAAGCAACCCAAUUAUAUAUUCUUAAAGUUAGCGAGAAUAGAUUAGAAGGGAAGUUGCCCAGAUCAUUAGCUGAAUGCACUCAGCUUGAAGUUUUGGACGUGGGAAACAACAAGAUGAAUGAUACAUUCCCUUUUUGGUUGGAGAAGUUGCCUUACUUGACGGUUCUGUUGAAGUUGGUCAGCAUGAAGCCAACACUCGAUUCCAUACAGGCCAUGAAGACCAAGCAAAGCUGGAACAGAUGCAAGGGCUGCUGAUGCAAGCUCAUUUUGUUCAUUUUGUUAUAUUUAGUUGAUGAAAUGAGUGUUAGUUCAUUUCUAACNNNNNNNNNNNNNNNNNNNNNNNNNNNNNNNNNNNNNNNNNNNNNNNNNNNNNNNNNNNNNNNNNNNNNNNNNNNNNNNNNNNNNNNNNNNNNNNNNNNNUAUGUAUGAGCUGUAAACACACUUUUGUAUAAGUUUACAAGCUAAGAUUUCAAGUUUCUAUGUAAUUAGUGGAGGUAGGUAAUUACUUGUUGAUUUUGACAAGCCUUAUGCUUGAGUUAUGUACUGGCUUCAAGCCAUUGUUUUUUUGUAUGAAUCAAAUCAGUUUUGUUCAUCAAUAUUCUCUCAAAUUUCCCCAGCUUAUUUUCUUCUUUCUUUAACUCGAAAUUGUUUAUUUGCUCAGCAAGUUUCGAGGCUUGCUCGACAAGAUACUUGCUGAGUCUGCUUGAUUCUAUUGUUGCACCAACAGGUUCUAAUAUUGCGGGAAAACAGAUUUUAUGGUCAAAUUAAACAUAGAUUUGUUUUCCCAACUUUGGAUGUGUUGGACAUUGCUUCAAACCAGUUUUCUGGUGAACUAUCCAUUGAUUUCCUUCAAGCCACUCGACUAAGGUCACUCAAAAUAGGUGGGAAUAAAUUAGAAGGGAAGUUGUCGAGAUCAUUAGCCAAUUGUAAAGCACUUGAGGUUCUGGACCUUGGAAAUAAUAUGGUUCAUGAUACAUUCCCAUUUUGGUUAGAGAAGUUGCCUUCCUUGAAGGUUCUCAUUUUGCGAGGAAACAGAUUCUACGGCACAAUUACAAAAUUUAACACAGAACGUGGGUUUCCAAAGCUACGCAUAUUGGACAUUGCUUCCAACAAUUUUUCAGGCGACUUGUCCAUUGAAUUUUUGCAAAGCUUGAAGGCAAUGAUGCAGUUAACAAAUGACGACAAAGCUAAGCUGGAUUACAUCGGAGAGAAUUAUUAUCAAGAUUCAGUGACAAUUUUCAACAAAGGGAUUAAGCUGUUUUACGAGAAAAUCUUAACCACUCUUACUUGUCUUGACCUUUCCAACAAUAGUUUCCAUGGGAGAAUACCAGAAGAAAUACAAAUGCUGAGGUCACUCAAAGUGCUAAACUUGUCCUAUAAUAGCUUCUCCGGUGAAAUCCCAGUAGCAGUUCAAAACCUAAAA
rnacentral:lncRNA from 1 species